UCAAGGAUUGGUUAUUAUAGUAUGGAGCAUUUUUGUGUUGUUAUUCUCUGAUUUAAAUAUGCACUGAAAUAUGUCUUGCUGUAAUUUAGUUAGAAAUCAGCUUGCAACAGGUUAAAUGAGUUUCUUAGAUUAGGAGAAUUGACUGCAAACUCGAUUAGUUGAAGUUGUGAUUGACAUUUAUAGCUCAUUUCAGUUUUUUUUUUUGUGUGUGUGUUAGAAUUAUCCUUGGUUUUCUGUCCAAAAUUGUUGUUUCUUGUUAUCCAAAAAAAAAAUACUUUUCGUGUUCAUGUAUUGACUAAAAUUGACUAUACAUGGUUAAGUAUUUUACUAUGCGACUAAAAUGAAAAUACUGCUCUGUUUGAUCCUAGUCCUAUCAAAUAAUUUGAACUGAUGUUGAAUGUGUGAAAAUGUUCAUGGAGUCUAAAGUUUUUGUGUUAACUUUUUUUUUAAAAGAAUGGGUUGUUAAGCCGAAACUAGUUUUCUAUAUCUAACUAUUAAUUUAGAUAGGAGUGAUUAGCUGAAUAUUUUCUUGAGAAUAUCUUAGUACUCUAUUGAUCCUAAUCUCAUUUUCAGAGUUCUCAAAGUACUGUUUCAAAUUUAGCUAAAAAAUGUAUAGAUUCUCAAGAGAAGAUUUUUUUUAAAUUGGUAAUAUAAGGUAGGAAGUACCUCCUAAAGUCAAAUGUUAACACUCAUAAGAAAAUUGAUAUUUACAUGAUUUUGUUGACAAAUUAGCUCGUCUUUAGGUUCGUAAAUUGUUGGACUUAUAAGAAUUGAUGUCACUGUAUUUAUUUACUUUUGUUCAUGUCUGUUUGUGUGUUUGCAUCACUGUACUAUUAAUUAAGUUGCUAAUCUUUACCCUUUUUUUUCAUAUGUUUCAUGUACAACCGGAGAGCUAGAGUUUCUACUUUGAAACUCGGUUUGGCCUAAAAUAUUAGGCCAACAACAAUUAGGAUCAUCAGAAUGCUUGGAGUCUCAUAAUUAGGAGUCUAAUGUUCCUCAGCCUUUCUUUUGUUGCCUUAUGUUUUUUUUAUGUUGGCUAACUUUUACUCUUAAGUUUCAUCGUCCUACUUAUAUUGUUUUUGAUAUGUUAGCUAACAUUUACUCUUAAGUUUUGAUACAUUGCUUGUCUUCUUUUAUUUUUAAAGAUUAUUCAUGUGAGCCAAUAUUUGUUUGCUUGUGAGUUUAGUUGAAACAUUUUUUAGGAAAUGGGUUAGCAUUUUUACCUAUAGUACUCUUUUUAUGUUUUUUUUUGAGUUGAGGAAAGGGGCUUAUAGUUUAAGAAUUUUCCAAACAAAGUUUCAAAGGUUAAAAUAUAUUACUAAAAUAUUUUAAUCUUGUAACACGCUAUUUCAAAAUUUUAUUUUUUAUGCUCUUUACAUCACCUCUUUAUAAAAUAUAUUGACUAUUCUUACUUUUUUGAAUCAAACAUUGCAAAAANNNNNNNNNNNNNNNNNNNNNNNNNNNNNNNNNNNNNNNNNNNNNNNNNNNNNNNNNNNNNNNNNNNNNNNNNNNNNNNNNNNNNNNNNNNNNNNNNNNNNNNNNNNNNNNNNNNNNNNNNNNNNNNNNNNNNNNNNNNNNNNNNNNNNNNNNNNNNNNNNNNNNNNNNNNNNNNNNNNNNNNNNNNNNNNNNNNNNNNNNNNNNNNNNNNNNNNNNNNNNNNNNNNNNNNNNNNNNNNNNNNNNNNNNNNNNNNNNNNNNNNNNNNNNNNNNNNNNNNNNNNNNNNNNNNNNNNNNNNNNNNNNNNNNNNNNNNNNNNNNNNNNNNNNNNNNNNNNNNNNNNNNNNNNNNNNNNNNNNNNNNNNNNNNNNNNNNNNNNNNNNNNNNNNNNNNNNNNNNNNNNNNNNNNNNNNNNNNNNNNNNNNNNNNNNNNNNNNNNNNNNNNNNNNNNNNNNNNNNNNNNNNNNNNNNNNNNNNNNNNNNNNNNNNNNNNNNNNNNNNNNNNNNNNNNNNNNNNNNNNNNNNNNNNNNNNNNNNNNNNNNNNNNNNNNNNNNNNNNNNNNNNNNNNNNNNNNNNNNNNNNNNNNNNNNNNNNNNNNNNNNNNNNNNNNNNNNNNNNNNNNNNNNNNNNNNNNNNNNNNNNNNNNNNNNNNNNNNNNNNNNNNNNNNNNNNNNNNNNNNNNNNNNNNNNNNNNNNNNNNNNNNNNNNNNNNNNNNNNNNNNNNNNNNNNNNNNNNNNNNNNNNNNNNNNNNNNNNNNNNNNNNNNNNNNNNNNNNNNNNNNNNNNNNNNNNNNNNNNNNNNNNNNNNNNNNNNNNNNNNNNNNNNNNNNNNNNNNNNNNNNNNNNNNNNNNNNNNNNNNNNNNNNNNNNNNNNNNNNNNNNNNNNNNNNNNNNNNNNNNNNNNNNNNNNNNNNNNNNNNNNNNNNNNNNNNNNNNNNNNNNNNNNNNNNNNNNNNNNNNNNNNNNNNNNNNNNNNNNNNNNNNNNNNNNNNNNNNNNNNNNNNNNNNNNNNNNNNNNNNNNNNNNNNNNNNNNNNNNNNNNNNNNNNNNNNNNNNNNNNNNNNNNNNNNNNNNNNNNNNNNNNNNNNNNNNNNNNNNNNNNNNNNNNNNNNNNNNNNNNNNNNNNNNNNNNNNNNNNNNNNNNNNNNNNNNNNNNNNNNNNNNNNNNGGACUAUCUUUGGAUAGGCUUUGAGGGGUGCUUAACACCUUCCCCUCGAGUAACCAAAACCCUUACUCAGAAUCUCACUGGUUUCGCAAAUCAAAACAGAGUUUACAUUUACAUAAAUAAAAAUGGUUUUCCUAAUAUUUUCCUUAAAAUUUAGGUGGCGACUCUAAAACAAAACAAUUAUUUUUCCAAAAUCAGAGUGUCAGCCACAUUGUGUUGUGAACUGUUUCGGCCUGGUUCGAAAUAGGGUGCGACAACAUCAGAGGGGGUUUUGACCUGCAAAUUACGGGGUUUCAACCCCAUUUCACCAUUUUUAGAUUUGGGAGCGUUGGGGUGGCGAUUUGGACCAGAUUUUUUAGCAAAAUCUUUUGGGUAAUGAUUCUUAACUCUAAAUCUUCAUUCACCCAUUAUUAUUUAUUGAUUUAUGUAAUCAAAUCAAGCUUUUAAAUUUUUGACUCUAUAAAAAAUUUCCAUAUGAUUUAUUCUUGGUAAAUAUUUGAGGCCCCCCAAAAUUGGGGCCCUAAGGCAUAUGCCUUAUUUUUUUACAAAAUAGAGCCACCCCUGCACCCAUGGUAAGUAAAACACACUUAGAUGUUGACUAGACAAAACAUUUAUCAAGAAAUGCUUCUAGGCGUGUUUGCCCAUAAAAUCUCCAUCCAUCUAGUAUAUAUUACAACUUUAUUAUUAAAUUAAUAAUUUUUAAAUCCUUAACUCUCCCCUCUCAAGUCAGAGAUAUCGAGAUCACGCCUAAGAUAGUGGAUGUCACGGUUGGAACAAAUCAAUUUAUACGAUGAUAGUUUUAACUUUUAACUUAAUAUUAAUUUAUUUAGAUUUGCUACACGGGAAUUAACUUUUAACAUGAAAUGCCACGUGACAGAAUUUUUAAACAAAAGAGAGAGUAUACACACAUCAUCAGAAAUUUGUUGAGGUGUGUUUCACUAAUUAUCAUAGUUCAAGUAUGAAACUCAUACUCUUAAUAGUUCAAGUGUGAAACUCAAAAAGCUGAUUAGUUUAGAUAUGACGUUUUUUACCCUUUGGGGUCGUUUUGUAGAGAGUAUUAGGAGCAAUAGUUCAUGUAUUAUGUAUGGUAUUAGUUAGGGUACUGUGUUUGCUAGAAUUUUGGGCUUAUAUAUAAUUAAUCUAUGUAUUAGUUAUACACCCUACAAGGUAUUAUUGGAUGUACAACUAAUACCUUCCAUUUGGUGGUAUUAGUAAAUACAUACUUCCUUUGUCCCACUUUAUAUGACUUACUUUCACUUUAAUAAUUCCCAAUAAAAUGACACAUUUCUAUAUUUAGUAACAAUUUAACUUUAAAAUGUCUAGUUUACCCUUAGUGAAAUGAUUUUUAGCCACACAAAUAUCUAUGACUCAUUUUAGACCACAAGUUUCAAAAGUCUUUUUUUCUUUCUUAAACUCCCUACCAAGAACUAACACAUAUAAACUGGGACGGAGGGAGUAGGAUUUAAUACUAUGGGAUGAAUCUAUGUAAAGACAAAAAUACCCCUCAAAUCCUUUUAAUCAUUUGAUUUAUUUUCUUGAUUUUAUGUUUUAUAUUUGUACUAGUAAAUUUAUUUAAAUAAAUUAGCUUACAAAUUUUAUUAUUUAGAGAGAGUUGUUUGUUGCUAAAUAAAUCCAAAAAUACAAAUCAAUACAAUAUUUGAAAUGUGAGUUAUUUAAUAUUUACUAAUUGAAAAAGGCAAAUAUAUGACCACAUGACAUUUAUGAUCUUAAUUGAAUUUAUUAUUUGCUGAUAUAUAAGUAUGUGGUUUUCUAUUUUUCGUAUUUUAAAUAAUUUAUAAAAUUGCAUAGAUAUUAAAACUACAACUUGUAAUUUGUAUAUGUAAACGUAGAUGAUUUAUUCGAUUUUACUAUUGCUUACCGUCUUUUCGAUUUUAAAAUUAGAUGGUCUAUCUUUUAAAAUUGAAUAUUGAUGUUUUAUUAGGAGAUCAAUUUAUUAAGAUGACAAUUAUUUACCCUCAAAUAAUUCAAGUGAAAAAAUUACAAACAUGACAAUAAAAUUGUUCUUCUCCUAACUAGUUAGAAGGCGAAAAAAAUAAUAUUGUCCAGCUGUUAUCUACUUUGAUCCAAUUACAUAAAAUAGAAAAUCACAUGACAAUUCUAGGAUAUAAUUGAAAAGAAGAUUUUGUAGAGUUUUAAUCCAAACACAAAAUUAGAUGGGAAGCAAUGAACCAAACCCUUAUAGAAAAUAAAUCAUGCAUUACUAAUUCAUGUAUUACUAAUCCCUACGUUAUUAAUAUUUGUACCAAACAAACCCUCAAACAAACCCUUAAUUCAAUAGACAUACAUCACCUACUGUAAUUUAGACCCAUUUAAAGACCUAAUUGAAUGCAACGUGUUGGCUUGUUGACGAGUAUCAAUAGAUUACUAAUUAAAAAAAGGCUAACUUUUACAUUUAGCAAACAUAAAAAUCAUAUUUGUAUGUUUUAGCUAUAGUUUGCAUAAUUACGCUCCAUAGCAAAUUUUAUGUUUGCUAUGGAGCUUUUGAUUUGUAUAAUUCGCUAGAUUCAUUCAAUUUUAUACAAAUUGUUCAGUUUUGUAUAAAUUCAUUUAUACAUUGUAAUUUGUAUAAUAAGAUCUGUAUUUGUAUAAUUAUAAGUGUAUAGGAUGAAAAUAUAUGUAUUUAUAUUUGUAUAUACAUUUUUCUCUCAUUUUAUACAAACACAAAUGCAUUUUAUACAUUUUAUAUAUUUGAUACCGAAUGGGUAAUUGUAUACCGAAAAUGACUAAUUGUAUACCGAACCAGAUGACAAAAAAUUGGAAUGUUUGCUGCGAAUUACAAAUAAAAUAAACUAUGGCUAUAACAUUUAAUUUGAAUUAAUUGUUUGUUAUUUCAUACAAUUUUCCCUUAAAAUAAUACUCUUCGCAAACAAUAAAUAUAGAAUCAAUCAGCUCAUGAUUGAAAAGAUAACACAUUAUAACUCAAUUAUUACAAUACUUUCUUGCAAACUUCCAUAAUAUUUCUGAGUCAAUAUAAUAUAAAACCCUUCAUCAAGUUGAGAUGGCAGGCAGAAAGGAAACUUACAUUUGAAUAUAUGUUUGAUCAGAAGAAUGAUUAGUUGUUGUGGAUUAGAUAAUAACUAGUCAUUAAGUUUAAUUUAACACAAUUAUAAAAAUUACAAUAUUUUCUAUACUCCUUGGUCUGAAUUUACGUGACACUUUUAAUUUUGACUAGACCCUUCAUCAAGUUGAGAUGGCAGGCAGAAAGGAAACUUACAUUUGAAUAUAUGUUUGAUCAGAAGAAUGAUUAGUUGUUGUGGAUUAGAUAAUAACUAGUCAUUAAGUUUAAUUUAACACAAUUAUAAAAAUUACAAUAUUUUCUAUACUCCUUGGUCUGAAUUUACGUGACACUUUUAAUUUUGACUAGACACAAAAUUUAAAAAUAAAUAAAAAAUGAAGACUUUUGAAAUUUGUGAUCUAAAACACUCUUUAACCAUUGUGUGGCUAAUUUCUUUAAAUGGAAUUUAAAAGUUAAGUUAUUUCUAAUUAUAGAAAGGUGAUAUAUUUUCUCAGAAACGGACUAAAAAAAUAAUGUGUCACAUAAAUUGAGACAGGGAAAGUAAUAAAGAAAUCCAAUGCAUCCAUGUGUAGAGGCUUUGAGCAACCGUUAUCAUUUUGGAAUGCCAAUCCUCAGAUCAAGCCCAAGGUCCAUUCCGUUGUAGGCAAUGGGAGCAUACAUCCAUAGAUCUUCAGAGCUCAAUAGCUGCAUGCACAAAACACACCACAUUAACAUCCAUCUCUUCAUUCCAAAGUAUCAGAUAGAGCACAUUUUUAUUAGUUAAUUAUAUCUUCAACACGCUUCUCACGUGCAAGUCAUAUUCUUUUUCAUGGGACAAGCACAUGUAAAUUCCUUCCUAGGACCUUUGUCUGCUCUAAUAUCAUGUUAAAGUGUAUGACUAUCUCAUCUAAAAGCUUAAGUUGUUUGAGAGAACGCACUUUUAUUAGUUAAUUAUGUUCUCAACAUAGUAAAUCUUAUCUAGUAACAUAAAAAAAGAAAAUGUUGUUCAGUUUUAGUGUCAGAUCCUCCAAAAGUAGUGCAUUUUUGGAAGAUCCAAUACAGAUAUAGAAACAUUUUUGUGGAGUCUGAGCUCAUAGAUUGUUCUCUCCGUGUGAAUAUGAUUGUGUAUGUUUAUUGUCUUCGUGCAGUUUAAAUCCUUAAUGCAUUGCAACACUUUGUGAAGGGAAGAUAAUAAACCUUACCUUGAUUUGGAGUUGCAAAAAUUUAACAUACUGAACUGCCUCUUCAAGCAUGGUGCUAAUGUCAACCUGUCAUCAAAUAUUUUGCCAUUUAGGUUCACAUUCUUUCAGCAGAUAUAUAACAGAACGAUCGAUCACUAAUGCAGUUACACUGACUUAACUUACCUUGGUUCCAUUAGGGAUGAGACUCUGCAAGGUCUUCAAUCUCUCGUUAAUUCGCUCUCUUCUUUUCUGUUAGAAGAGAAAGAAGAAAAUCAUUUACAUAUUUACUAGCAGAUCAACAAAAUGUAACAGGCAGUUAGUUACAUACCCUGGCAUACAAGCUCUGGGGGUCAGUUGCUGAACCCCUGCUUGCUCUGGAUUUUUGAGUCAACUCGAGAGAAACAUUAGAUUCAUCUUCUGAGCAACAACUGAUCAUUGAGUUUUGCCUCUGAAGCACAGCCUUGUUUUUACCAUCCAUCUCGCCAGUCUUAACGUCUGUUUGCAGCUUUGUGCUUCUCUUGUUCUUUGGUACCUACAUCAGGAAUCAUUAAAUCUACAAUUCUGAAAGAAAAUUAACAACAACUACUAAUAAUAAUAAUAAAUCAGAUAGAAAGGUUUUGAAGUUUAUGAAUAACACUCACAUGACCAUGUAACCGCGCUCUUUUCUUAGAACUUUCUGUUGGACUAUGAUCUUCUGGAAAUCGCUCAUAAUCUAUUCUUCCUAGCUGCAAGCCUUUUCCAUCAAGAAGAGGUUCAGCCAUGUUUCCAUCAAACUCCAUGUUAUUAACGAAGUACUCAUCUGCUUCAAUUGGAUUAUUAGUAUCCAUCAGACCACGUUCUGUUGUUAUUGAACUAUCAUUUCUCAUCAAGAUAGGCCGAGAAUAACUUGAGUAGUAACUUUCAUGACUCGGAGGAGGAAAGAGAAAACCACUAUGUUCUCUUCCUCCUGACGAUCCAAUAUUUGAUUCAUGACCAAUAUUCCAAUAACCAGAUGAAACUCCGUAGUUAUUAGAAUCAUUUGGAAACGAACAGUUACCAAGUAACUGUGCCAUGAAAUCCGCCUCCUCAGUAAAACACAUUCCACUCAAGGAACUCCAAUCUCCUUCAAACAUUGAUGCCACAUGCUCCAUUCUCUUAACAACUUAUUUAUAAUAGAGAAACUCAAUGUUGGAAAUAGUGAGAGAUAGAAGCGCGUAUUUAUAGCAAUAUAUAGGAAUAACAGAAGGGAUUUGACUUUGGUAGGUAUAUCAAUAUUCUAUGACUGAGCAACCAAUAAACAGAAUAUGCCCCCGAUUGUUUUAAAUAUAAAUAGAUUAUGUAUAAAAUGGGGCAAAUUACAACUAAGAUAGACUUAGUUCAACCAGAUAGGGACUAAAUUGAGGGAAUAUAAACAUUUAUAAUUAUGUAAUUGUGACAAUGACUAGAGUAUAUAUAGCAAUGAUUGAGAAAAGGAUUAAGUAUUAUGAGUAACUAUCAAUUGUCCAAAUUUUAUAAUUAGGAAAAUAGGGAAAAGAGAUUGAGAAUCAUACCUGGAGAACGUGGGAGUCUUUUUCAAUACAUUAUAAAAUGAAACCACAAAUGGCAUCACCUGAGAAUAUGCAGAUCUAUUGUGGUGCUGAGUUUGACAUUUUAGAAGGGAAAGAUUGAAAUGUAUCUUUCAAAAAACUCUGAUACCGGUACUUGUUGGUGUAGUCGAAGUGCCUGGAAGCUAAUCUCUUACACUAUCGUCAUUAAAAAGAAAAAAGACUAUUGCUUAAUAUCCUCAGUUUCCCAAGACAGGGGCAUAUCCAGGAGGGGAUCACCGGGUUCACGUGAACCCAUGCUCCCCUCCUGAAAUCAUAUAUACAAGUGUUAUAUUUUUUUUUAAAAAUAUUUAAAUAUAGAUAUGUGAACCCACACUCGAAGUAUCAUAUAAUGUCGUGUGAUGAUAAUUGGGUGGACCUAUCUAAGUUAGGUUAGAAAUUUGAAUUUUUUAUCUAUCUUGUGAGAAAAGGCCCAAAAUAGUCCCUCAUCUUUGGAUUAAGACUUAAAGUCAUUCUUGAGUUUUCACAUGGAGCAUUAAUAGUCCCUCAUGUUUGCAAUAUUGGUGCAUUUUUGGUCCUCCUUCAAAAUUUUGCCUAUUUUUUAACAUUGAUUUUAUUCAUAAUUUAUGUAUGGAAUGUUUUAUCGCCAUUUUAUAUAUUUAGUAGAAAUAAUAACUCCAUGUGAGAGAUUGUGAGAAGAAAAACACUUUGUUUUGUUUAGUAGAAAUCGUAUUGCAGGUACAAUCGAGAGGUUCAUCACGACAAUUUCACGUGCAAUAGUACAAAUUUUUCUUUUCUUGCAAUGUCAUAUGUCAAAAUGUUCUUAGUUUAGCUGCAGUAAUAUUUAUACUGAACAGAACAAGGUGUUCUUCUCACCUUCUCUCACUUAGAGUUAUUUUUUCUAUUAAAUAUAUAAAAAAAAAUUGAUGAGACAUUCCUUACAUAAAAUUAUGAACAAAAUUAAUGUUAAAAAAUAGGCAAAAGUUUAGGGGAGGACCAAAAGUGCACCAAUAUUGCAAACAUGAGGGACUAUUAGUCUGCAUGUGAAAACUCAAGGAUGACUUUGAGUCUUAACCCAAAGAUGAGAGACUAUUUUGGGCCUUCUCUCUUUUAUUUUCCUUUUUAAAAUUGGAUAACACUUCUCUAAUUGGUUUGGAUAGAUAAAAAAUAAUUUUAGACCUAUAAUUUUAAAAUUUUAAUGGUUUUCAGUGAUAAGAACAUAAAUAUUAAAUAAAUCAAAUUUAUAUCUUAGAUUCACCUUUUCGUAAUAGUGCAUCCAUAAUUUCAAAAUUCUGAAUACGCCUCUGGCUGCGGAAAUUAGACUUGUCAUCACCGAACAUAUCAAAUAUGCCGUUACCAUUAUGUGCAUGUGCGACUAUGAGAUAAGCCGUCACAGCUUGUUAGUAAGUAGUAAUUCACAACAAGGGCAUGUCUGGAAAUCAUGUGUAGGGAUGGCCAUGUGCGGGACGGAUGCCGAGCGGGGUGAAUUUAAGGCUAUACGGGGCGGGACGGGUGGUAAAAGGUCCUCUAUAAAGUUUGAUAUCGUAACAGCAAUUUCGGCCAAAAUUGGAAUAUUUUUUAGACCCUUUUCCCAAUGUGUAAAUAAGUUUUAAUGUGUGGUAAAUUUUUUGCUUCUCUUUGAAAAUUGAAUAGUAUAAUUAUUCCUUAUUAUAUACAUCAAUUUUAUAUUGAUUAAAUUGCUUAUCAAACAAACACAUAAAAGCUAUAAAACUACCAUUAGAAAAUGUAUAAAGUCCACCUUAAGUUAGUACGUAUUUCAUAAAAAGACACUUGCAUCCCUUGAACUACUUGAAAGUAAUAUUAUUACUUCUUUUUUUUAUCAAGCCCAGUUAUUAAAAAAAGAAACAAUUUUUACUUACCAAUCUCGAAUUUUCAUAUAUUAAAUAUCAUAAAUUAUAAAAAUAAAUAUGAGAAAAUAUUAUUCUUUCAUAAAUAAAGAAAAAUUCUUUCCAAACUCCUCCCCAAACUCUUCCCCAUCCCCACUUACUUUUCGCCUUUCCCUAACCUUGUUCACCAAAUAAAAAACAGCAGUUACCUUCAUUAAGAAAUGAAAAACAAGAAUCAAUCCACUAUUUUGUGUUAUUUAUCAUUGUAAUAUUAGAAAAAUAAUCAUCAUUUUAUUCUAUUUUUCUAUCCUUGAAAUUAUAUAAAUAUAUCUAUGGGUAGUAUCUUAUGAUAUAGUGAUCGAAUAUAAUAGUGAUUAAUCGUAAUUGUUGAUGGUAACGACUGAUAAUUUGUAGUGAAAUAAUAGGUGGUGAAUGAUGAUGAUUGCUAGCGGUAUAUAAUGUUGACUAAUGAUAGUAAUUAUUGACGGUGAUUAGUAGGAUGUAGUAAUGGAUUAUGGUAAUGAUUGUAACUGAUGGCUAAUGUUGAUGAUUAUUGAUUUUGGGAAUUAGCGAUAGUUGUGACUUGUGAUUGUAGUUGGGCUAAGGAUGGACGUGAUUGUGGAUGGAAGGCAGUGAUGAUUGACUCAGUGGUUGUAGUUAUGGAGGUCAUAGAAAAGUGUCACAUCACCUUUUCUAUGUUUCUCCUUUAUUAUAUAUAUAGAUUUUAGAAAAAUAAUCAUCAUCAUUGUAUUCUAUUCCUCUAUUCUUGAAAUUAUCAUAUCAUCAUAUAUUACUAUAAGUGGGAAGAACCUAGGUCAAAAGUCGAAUUACGAAAAUACCCUUUAACUGUUAAUUUAUUUUCUUGAAAUUAUUUAAUAUAUUAUUUUUUUCAUUUAAUAUUUAUUUUGUGAUUCAAUGUAACCCUUUAAAUAUUAAUCUAUUUUCUUAAAAUUAUUUAAUUAUUAUUUUUUUAUUUAAUAUUUAUUUUGGGAUUCAAUGAAUUUUGAUUUUUCGUAUUAUGGUAAUUAAAACUCCUAUUUCCAGCUAGACUUACAAUUUAGUACUCAUUAUUAAAUUGCAAAUUAUUAUUAGCAAAAAAAAAGGCAACAAUCUUUACAUCUUCCACGUAGUAAUAGUGAUGAUUUUUCAUAAUCAUAGUUACUAUAAAAUUUUUAAUACUUAGUCAUUAUGAUUUUCCAUUACACAUUUAAUAUAUUUGAAUUCUUUUACAUAUUUUAUCAUUAGAUUACAGUUUUAUUUCCACAUUACAUUUAAAUGUUAUAAAUUGUUUAAUAAAUUAAUUAUUAAAUAGUAAUAAUAAAUCAUCAUAUUAGUAUACAUAAAUGUCCCGAGCCUACACCCCGGAAGCGACACGGCGUACAAGACUCCGAAAAAUCUCAUACAAGCCUCAUAGCAUUCAUAACAUUCAAUAUAAGGAAAAUGGUACAUAAUUAAAACUUUAUUUAAAACCAUACAAUCAAAAUACUCAUUUAAAACAUUCAAAAAUAGCGGAAGUCUAUCGUCUCACAUGGCCAUCUAAACAACAUCUUGAAAACUAAAGUAGGGACACGGUCCUUUACAAUCGAAAGACUAACAAAUCUCUAUUACAUGAAAGAAAUGGAAACUACAAUACUUGUCCUCGAUCUAUGAGGACAUACCACUUUGCCUUGAAAGAAUCUCAAAUCCAAGCUUCUACUAGAGAGAGUCAAACCGUACCAAUCUCUACACUUCAUAAAGGUAAAGAAUGUGGGUUAGCACACUAAAGUAAUAAGUAUGGUAGCCAUGCAAAAAUAUGCUUAAAACGGAUAUUUUAUUUGAAAGUCAUGAUAUAUUCAUGAAUAUAAGCAUAAGAGGCAUAAUACAAGACAUAAUCAACAUAUAAGACAUUUCAUUACCUUUAGCUUUCACCUCAAGUAACCCUCAAGCUAUACUUUCUGCAAUGUAUGAAUAGCGUCCCAUACCACUAUUCACACUAAGUACCACCUCAAGGUCACCAAAAGUGAACUUACCAUUCAACCUUUCCAUCUUUACACAAUACUCAUACAUAAGAGACAUAAACAUUACAAAAGUCAUAUCAUCACAUUAGGACCAUCAUCUAGGGCAACCUUAAGUCAUAUUUGUGCAAUGUAUGAGUAGCAUCCCAUACUACUACUCACACUAAGUACUCCUUUGAAGUCACCAUAGAGAAGGCACCUUCAUACUCAAUAAGUCAUGACAAGGAAGUAACUCAUAAUACAAUCCAAGUAUAGCAUACAUCAUUACAUUAAAUACAUAAAGUCAACAUUCCCCAUUAGCUUCAUUAAGAACACCUUCAUUGAUUAGAGAUUAAACCAACAUUCUCCAUUAGCAUCAUCAUAAGAGCAUACUCAUUUCAUUUAACAUUAUAAAGGAACACACUAUGACUACUCUUAAAGUCUACUUGUGCAAUGCAUAGAUGGCAUCCCAUACUACCACCCAUACUAAGUAGUACAUUCUUGAGAAGCCAUAGUUCAUUAACAUUCUUUGUGGGGUAAACCUUAACCUACAUAGACCAUGUGAGCAAUUCAUGGAAUCCCGGUGUCACCCUCACCGGAUAAGGGAUUCGUACUUGCAUAAGGUAGGACCAUUGAUUUUAGCUUAAGUGGAUCCACUAGCUAGACCUAUGUGGGCACAUAGUUAUGGGAUAAGGAGAUUGCUACUAGAUACCCCGCCUCAACUCACGGAUGAGCAUCCAUCUCAAGAGAUAGUUACUAGAUACCCCGCCUCAACUCCCGGAUGAGCAUCCAUCUCAAUUCAUAUCCACUCGGUGCUUACCAUUAUUCCCCACAGAGUAUUUAGCAUUCAUUACAUUAGUCAUCAUUAUGGGAUAAGAGAUUGUUACUAGAUACUCCGCCUCAACUCCCAGAUGGGAAUCCAUCUCAACCCAACAUUCAUUCAUUAGAUAGCUCAUAGAUUCAAAGAUGAGAAUAUCCUUUCACCUAAGAACCCCUUUAUUGUGAGAAAGUAAUUUCACAACAAGUCAUUAACAUUCAUUAGAGUACAAUUGAGAAUAGCCCUUUCAAUAGACUCAUCAUCAUUAACAUUAUCAUAGAANNNNNNNNNNNNNNNNNNNNNNNNNNNNNNNNNNNNNNNNNNNNNNNNNNNNNNNNNNNNNNNNNNNNNNNNNNNNNNNNNNNNNNNNNNNNNNNNNNNNNNNNNNNNNNNNNNNNNNNNNNNNNNNNNNNNNNNNNNNNNNNNNNNNNNNNNNNNNNNNNNNNNNNNNNNNNNNNNNNNNNNNNNNNNNNNNNNNNNNNNNNNNNNNNNNNNNNNNNNNNNNNNNNNNNNNNNNNNNNNNNNNNNNNNNNNNNNNNNNNNNNNNNNNNNNNNNNNNNNNNNNNNNNNNNNNNNNNNNNCCAUAAAUCUAAGAUACUACAAUAGAUAAGGAAAUUGACAUGAUUCAAUAACUAAUCCAAUAUAAACAUCAACAAUUCAACAUAUUUACAUAAUCAACCAAUUCCGAAUCUCAAUUCACCACUUAAGAAUUUGGGGGAAAACAUGGGUUCUAGGAAUAAAUCAUCUUAAUUCAUCUUUAAAACCACAACUCAUUCAAAAUUCAAUGCAAUAAAGCCUUUGAAAAUCGUUUGGAAUCGAACCCAUGCCAAGAUUGAAAACUAGGGUUUUUGGGGAAACAUUGGGGAUUUGAAAUUCACUUUGAAACUGGCUCCUUGAAAGAAACUAAGUCAAGGAUGAAGACUACCAUACCUUGCUAUUGAAUCNNNNNNNNNNNNNNNNAACACCUUGAAUCCACAAACCCUAGCUCCCACCUCUUCUUCUUCUUCCUUGGAAACUUCUAUAGAGAGAAUUUUUUAGAGGAAGAACUCUUUGAUUUGAUUUGGGGAAAUAAGUAGUAAAUGACUUGUUUAAGACUUCAAACUAUAUAUACUAGUGAUAUAAAACAAUUAAAAACAACCCCACCUAAUAAUUAAUAAAAGGGAAAUUACUCAAAACCCCUCAACUUAGGCAGCCCCGUCAGGGACCACGCCCAUUUUGACGGGUCGUGAGGGGAACCAAUGCUCGUGGUGGUGCCCGUGGUCCCUUAGGUAGUGUGCCUCUCUAACUUGCCAAGCCUUCAAGGGCAUAAGGCAAGUCCACGAAACCUCCCACGAUCCGUGGUCAAGACCACGAGUCAUGGUUGAGGUCGUGGUCUUGAGGCAGUGUCAUGGCUUCCCAAGCCUUGCCUCCACACGCCUAAGUGAUCUUCACGAUCACUCUCCCAUGGCUCAUCAAGGGCACCACGUCCCAUGGUGGCGCCCGUGGUCCCUUGACCAGUAGCUCCCUCAUCAUCCACCAAUUCCCAUUAAGCUAAGACAACCCAACGAGCCUUCCCACGGCCCGUGGUCAUGACCAUGAGUCGUGAAAUGGCUUGUGAAGUGGUGCUUUGGCUUGGCACCUUUCUAGGGCUCACUGCCAUGACAACCACGGGUGGCACCACGACUCGUGGUGGCCACCACGGGUCGUGAAGACCCUCAUGGUCUUGGUAGGUAGUGGUUAGGCCUAGUUUUUAGGCAGCCUUGGCCCCUCACCAUGGCCUACACCCAAAACCUUUAGCCCUUGCCCUUAACCCUUGACGUUAACCCUCACGUUUAGGCUCUAUUUCAAACUAUCAUUUUCCGAGUCGUUACAUUAUCCCACCCUUAGGAACAUUCGUCCUCGAUUGACACUUUGAAUACAUUAAGGGAUAACGACUCAAGACUAGCAGCCCAUCAUGCAUGACACAUCAAUACAAUGCACAAAAAUCAUAGGAGGAAACAUCAACUCCACAUCAAUUAGCUCAAUGCAACACAAGUAAGUAGGAACUACAUCUACAAACUCAUUAUGCACGAAAACAUCAACAUUUCUCAUUUCGUUGGAGGAACUACCUUCCCCAACUCACAUCUGCUUAUCAUAACAUCAUUAGGCAAAUUAUGCAACUUUUCUCAAAACCACAUUUAAGCAUGAUCAAUAAUUCAACUCAUGAAGAAUUUAGGCAACUCAUUAUAGAUGCACAUCAACAUGAGGAACAUAUAAAUAAAAAAUCCCAUUUCUCAUUAAACAUAAAUUUCAUCAAAACAUGCAUAACAUAAGGAGAUCAUGGAAACACAUAAAUCACACAUGACUCCAAAAUAUGAAACAAGCUACAAGGAACUCUUGGUCUCAAGCUUGAAUAGGAAUAGAAGGAAAGAGAUAAAGAUCUUGGAACUCUCAAUAACCUUACUAUUCACAUACCAUCUCUCCCUUAAGAGUAAACCCAUUCUAAGGCUACCAUGAAAACAACAUAGGAACCUCAAUACAACAUUCACAACCAUAAGGAACUAUCACUUACCGGUACCUUUAAACUAGAAAGGUCCUCAUUAAGCAACUCUUGCUCACAAACAACCUUACUAACACCUCUCAAGGUCUCAUAUGAGUCUACCACACCGGGUCUAAACUCCUCAAACUCACUACACCUCAUAGGGUGAGAAUAUCAAGCAAGCCUAACUCAUGAACAUCAAAGACACUCAAUGACCUUACCAUCUAAGCUCAUUAUCCCCCCAUUUGGGAGUAAGCCUAUACAAGCCCUUUUAAACUUCACUUCUUUCCAUUCUAAGGUCGGAGCAAUUCAUCACCAAACCUUCACACUCAUCACACAAGAUGAUUCUAAACCAAGGUGAGUUACACUUCUACCAUUCUUACAGAAGCCUACUUACUCAUCCCAUAAAGACAUUUCUAAGGCACCUCAUUCAUCAAAUCUUUCAACAUACCUCAAAACUCAUCAUAACUAAGGCGAGUUCUAUCAUCAACUAGACAUAUCCAUAAAGCAACUCAUUCAUACUAAGGACAACAUUACAAUAUAUCACCUCAAAUCUAACAAGUCACAUAGCCAUAAUUGGCAUCAAAACCAACCUUCCUCCCCCACUCUUUCUAGCAUAAGCCUUUCAAAUGGUCAUACCCUAAAGCCCAUCGGAUAAGGAAUAAGAAAAAGACAUUCUAGAGUUAAACUCUAUGGCACGACUUGAAGAAUAUGAAAGAAGUGUAACUUCCUAACGUCCUAUAACCUCUCACUCAUAUAUGUGUCGCGACUCACACCGAUGAACAAGACUCUACCGUGAGAAAUCAAUCCUAAAAACCAUUUCCAAAAUCUUGUGCUCUGAUAUAAUGUUUGCCAUGAACCGAGACUACACCACGGAAGCGACACGGCGUAAACGACUACAAAAAGUCUCAUACAAGCCUCAUAGAAUUCAUAACAUUCGAUAUAAGGAAAAUGAUACGGAAUUAAAACUUUAUUUAAAAUCAUACAAUUAAAAUACUCAUUUAAAACAUUCAAAAAUAGCGGAAGUCUAUUGUCUCACAUGGUCAUCUAAACAACAUCUUGAAAACUAAAGUAGGGACACGACCCUUUACAAUCGAAAGACUAAAAAUGUCUAUUACAUGAAAGAAAUGGAAACUACAAUACUUGUCCUCGAUCUAUGAGGACAUACCACUUUGCCUUGGAAGAAUCUCAAAUCCAAGCUUCUACUAGAGAGAGUCAAACCGAGUACCAAUCCCUACAAUUCAUAAAGGUAAAGAAUAUGGGUUAGCACAAUUAAGGACUAAGUAUGAUAGCCAUGCAAAAAAUAAACUUAAAAUAGUCAUUUUAUUUGAAAGUCAUGAUAUAUGCCAUUUUAAGAAAACUUCAUGAACAUAAGCAUAAGAAGCAUAAUACAAGACAUAAUCAACAUAUAAGACAUUUCAUUACCUUAAGCUUUCACCUCAAGUAACCCUCAAGCUAUACUUUGUGCAAUGUAUGAAUAGUGUCCCAUACCACUAUUCACACUAAGUACCACCUCAAUGUCACCAAAAGUGAACUUAUCAUUCAACAUUUACAUCUUUACACAAUACUUAAACAUUACAAAAGUCAUAUCAUCACAUUAGGACCAUCAUCUAGGGCAACUCUAAGUCAUACUUAUGCAAUGUAUGAGUAGCAUCCCAUACUACUACUCACACUAAGUACUCCUUUGAAGUCACCAUAGACAAGGCACCUUCAUACUCAAUAAUUCAUGACAAGGAAGUAACUCAUAAUACAAUCCAAGUAUAGCAUACAUCAUUGCAUUAAAUACAUAAGUCAACAUUCCCCAUUAGCUUCAUUAAGAACACCUUCAUUGAUUAGAGAUUAAACCAACAUACUCCAUUAGCAUCAUCAUAAGAGCAUACUCAUUUCAUUUAACAUUACAACGAAAUACACCAUGACUUCUUUCAAAGUCUACUUGUGCAAAACGUAGAUGGCAUCCCAUACUACCACCCAUAAUAAGUAGUACAUUCUUGAGAAGCCAUAGUUCAUUAACAUUCUUUGUGGGGGUAAGACUUAACCGACAUAGACCAUGUGAGAAAUUCAUGGAAUCCCGGUGUCACCCUCACCGGAUAAGAGAUUCCUACUUGCCUAAGGUAGGACCAUUGUUUUUAGCUUAAGUGGAUCCACUAGCUAGACCUAUGUGUGCACAUAGUCAUCGGAUAGAGAGAUUGCUACUAGAUACCCAGCCUCAACUCACGGAUGAGCAUCUAUAUCAAGAGAUUGUUACUAGAUACCCCGCCUCAACUCCCGGAUGAGCAUUCAUCUCAACUCAUAUCCACUCGGAGCUUAGCAUUAUUCCCCACAAAGUACUUAGCAUUCAUUACAUUAGUCAUUAUUAUGGGAUAAGAGAUUGUUACUAGAUACUCCACCUCAACUCCCGGAUGGGCAUCCAUCUCAACCCAACAUUCAUUCAUUAGAUAGCUCGUAGAUUUAAAGAUGAGAAUAACCUUUCAACUAAGAAUCCCAUAUUGUGAGAAAUUCCUUUCACAACAUGUCAUUAUCAUUCAUUAGAGUACAAUUGAGAAUAGCCUUUCAAUAAACCUUUCAUCAUUAACAUAAUCAUAGAACUUCAUUCAUUAGACAUUCAUGAGUGUGUAUGUGAGAAUCACCUUUCACAUAUAACCUCAUCAUUCAUAGGUGUUAAUUAAGAAAUAAUAUUCAAUCAUAACACAUUUACAUUCUAAACAUGAUCAUAACACUUUCAUUGAGAUCACAUAGAUAUACUUCACAUCAUAAUCAUACAUAAUCCUUUAUGAAAUUGCCCCUUAGGGCUAUCAACCAACAUCAACCCAUAAAUCUAAGAUACUACAAUAGAUAAGGAAAUUGACAUGAUUCAAUAACUAAUCCAAUAUAAACAUUAACAAUUCAACAUACUUACAUAAUCAACCAAUUCCCAAUCUCAAUUCACCACUUAAGAAUUUGGGGAAAAACAUGGGUUUUAGGAAGAAAUCAUCUUAAUUCAUCUUUAAAACCACAACUCAUUCUUAAUUCAAUGCAAUAAAGCCUUUGAAUAUUGUUUGGAAUCGAACCCAUGCCAAGAUUGAAAACUAGGGUUUUUGGGGAAACAUUGACAAUUUGAAAUCCACUGUGAAAUUGGCUCCUUGAAGAAACUAAGUCAAGGAUGAAGACUACCAUACCUUGCUAUUGAAUCCCUAUGAAAUUUGAGGAAGAAAUACCUUGAAUCCACAAACCCUAGCUCCCACCUCUUCUUCUUCUUCUCCCUUGGGAACUUCUAGAGAGAGAAUAUUUGAUUGGAAGAACUCUUUGAUUUGAUUUGGGGAAAUAAGGAGUAAAUGACUUGUUUUAAGACUUAAAACUAUAUAUACUAGUGAUAUAAAACAAUUCAAAAUAACCCCACCUAAUAGUUAAUAAAAGGAAAAUUACUCAAAACCCCUCAACUUAGGUAGCCCCGUCAGGGGCCACGCCCACUUUGACGGGUCAUGAGGGGCACCACGGCUCGUGGUGGUGCCCGUGGUCCUUUAGGCAGUAUGGCUCUCUAACUUUCCAAGCCUUAAAGGGCCUAAGGCAAGUCCACGAGACCUCCCACGAUUCGUGGUCAAGACCACGAGUCAUGGUUGAGGUCGUGAUCUUGUGGCAGUGUCAAGGCUUCUCAAGCCUUCCCUCGACACACCUAAGUGAUCUUCGCGAUCACUCCCCCAUGGCUCGUCAAGGGAACCAUGGCCCGUGGUGGCGCCCGUGGUCCCUUCACCAGUAGCUCCCUCAUCAUCCACCAACUCCCAUUAAGCUAAGACAACCCCACGAGCUUUUGGUCAUGACCACGAGUCGUGAAGUGGUGCCUUGGCUUGGCACCUUUCUAGGGCUCACUGCCAUGCCAACCACGACUCGUGGUGGCCACCAUGGGUUGUGAAGACCCUCGUGGUCUUGGUAGGCAGUGGCUAGGCCUAGUUUUUAGGCAGCCUUGGCCCCUCACAGUGGCCUACACCCUAAACCCUUAGCCCUUGCCCUUAACCCUUGACGUUAACCCUCACGUUUAGGCUCUAGUUCAACGUAUCAUUUUCCGAGUCGUUACAAUAAAUUACCACUAACUCUUCUUAAACAUAUGUAACUCUCACUAAUUAUAUUCAUUAUGUUUUUUACUCUUAUCUCUCAUCGAUAAUCUCAAAUGGAUUAAUAUCAUAUUUAUGACAACUCUUUGUGUUCCUCAAUGUUAUCUUCACUAAUUAUAUUCAUUAUGUUUUUUACUCUCAUCUCUUAUCAAUAAUCUCAAAUGGAUUAAUAUCAUAUUUAUGAAAAAUCUUUGUGUUCAUCAAUUCUAUCCUAUAAAUAAUGACAUUUGACAUCAUAAUAUACAAACUUAAACCAAUUGGAAAAAAAACAUGAGAAAAUAUCUAUGCCCGAUCUUCUCGUCUCUUUUUAUUUGUUUAGUUUAACAUUUAUGUUUCUUGUUUGUUGUUAUUGUACAACUUUCUAUUGUUGUGUUGUUAUUAUUUUUGAGAAUUUACCAUGGUUUGUUGCUUUGUAUACAUUAGCCUAACAUCUUGUAUUUUAGUAUCCACAUUUGAAGGGAUAAGACACAAGUACCCCCCUAGACUAUGACUAAAAUCUCAGAGACACACCUUAACUAAACUAAGGUCCUAUUACCCCCUGAACUUAUUUUUUAAAAAUAAUUUUGUACAGCUUUUGUCUUAUGUGGCACACUCUGUGACUCCACACAAUUGAGGCGCGUGAGAGAUAUUUGGAUACCACAUAAGCCAAAAAGGUGCACAAAAUUACAAAAAAAAUGGGUUCAGGGGGUAAUAGGACCUUUGUUUAGUUAAGGUGUGUCUCUAAGAUUUCGGUCAUAGUCUAGGGGGGUACUUGUACAUUUUCCCCACAUUUGAAUAAUAAAUUUGUGUGAUAGUUAGUUAUUUUUACUUUAUGCACUUUUAGUCAAUUUUAUAGUUACAGGUAUAUUCUUUUUAUUAUGAAGAUAUAUGUAGUUCCUAUCGAAACAAUAAUGAAUCUUUCAAUACAAAAUUUAUAUGAAGUAUUUUGGGAUAAACGUGCAACGCACGUUCCCAGAUCUAGUAUAAAUAUAUCUAUGAGCACCAAAAAACCUUCCUCCUCCUACUAUUGAAGCAACCAUGGCUAACCAUCACUAAUCGGUUAUUGUCUUCGAGAAAUACAUUUUCACCAGAUAAAAUGGUGGUCGUAAUGACCUUCUUGCUCUCUUUUUUAAAUUCAAAAUGGCUUAAGAGGGCCAUAUUGCACUACAACAAAAACAACCUCUAAGGAAGGGAAAUCUAGUCCCUAAAAGUUCAAAACUGGUCCCAAAUGGUCUAUUGAUAUGGGAAAAGGAUGGUCGCCACCCAUCCUAAUAGCUUUCUUCUCUAAAAGUUAUUUGUGACGGGUUCUCUUUUUUGUUCGUUAAAUGUUUAUAGAGAUGGAAACUACGUUGGUCGCCAAAACACUUUUAGUGACUAUAUUUCUCGUCCCAAAUAGAUGAUUUUCUUCUUUGAAAUGUACUUAUUUUCUAGGCGUUAAAUCACUUUCGCGACAAGCAAAUACCUCAUCCUAGAUUGACCUUUAGGGACGAGAACCUACCUCAUCCUAGAUGAACCUUUAGGGAUGAGAAACUACAUCGUCCUAGAUAAAAUUAAAGGAAAAAAAUGUCUCAUCCUAAAUGAACCUUUAGGGAAGAGAAAGUACCUCGUUUUUAAUUGACCACGAAUGGUUCUAGAGCUUCGUAUCAUAAAAUUAAAAAAAUUAUCAAUCAAUAUAAGAUUGCUACUGAAAUCUCCAUACAAAACGCUGAUAUAUAUUGGAUAACAAAACUUAGAUUUCAAUAUUUUCUUAACAAACAAAACUUUGGUAAUUAACAUCUCGAGCUAAACUAUGACAGCAUGUUCUACAUAACUUUCAUAGCAUAAUGAUAUUGAUCUUGUUCAUCUUCGAAACUUGCAUCUAGACAUGUAACUUCAGUUUCCAAAAUCCUCCAAGAAUUAUCCAGAAACGUGAACAGGCUGCAAGGAUGUAAAAAAAUUAAUUAGGAAUGCUUUGAGAUGUAUUAACCAAUAAUUCAAAUUUUUAUCACAAGUGCAAGAAUAAGUAUCCAUUCCGACCUCUUGAAUCAGAACAACCAUCAUGAUCAAGUAACCAUUUUGGUCAUUUUCAUUAAAAAAAAUGUUUUAAUACAGCUCCAAUGUUCAUUAUCACAUUAUCUGCUACAAUGAAGAGCUUCUUCACAGCUAAACAUUAUAGAUAUCCAUUGAACUGUGAUAAUCUUCUAGGAAAAAGAUUCAUAUAUGUUACAAAUCAUUCAUAGAGCUUUCUUUUUCUUUUUCAUCAAAUAAGGAUAAAAAUGUUCUGGAUAUAAGAAGUCUACCAAAAGAACAGAAAACCGUACUAAAAGAUAGAGACAUUGUUGCUUCAUUACAAAUAAUAUGCUAAGAAACCAUCAAAUGAUGCACAAAAAUAGAACUUUAAGUGUCUAUUUGGUACUAUAUCUCAAGUCUAAAACGUCUAUAAUUUUCAAGUUUAUACAUCUUGAUGAGGUGUUUGGAGACAAAAACAGAUGAGAGUACUGGACACAAUGAUUUCAUCAAAUUGUUAUCCUCUGUUGCCAUUUACCGAAAACAUUUUUUUUCCCUUUGUGGUUGCCUCCUAGAGUUACCUAUUAGAAAUUCAAUUGUACAUUCGAUAGUGUAUCAGAAGUCUAAAACAUCUAUAAAUUUUAAGUUUAUAUGUAUUGAUGUAGUACAAUAGGUGAAAGAAUAUCAGGGUUUUUUUUAUCUCGUUGCGAGAGUACUACACUGGAAUUGCUUUACUUUAUCAUAGUUGCAGUUCUCAACAAAUCACAAAUCUAAGCCAUCUCUCAGAAACCAUUUAAAGAUUCUUCAGUCAGAAUUCUAGUUAAGGGAGUACUACAUAUCUUAUGAAAUCACAUUUCUAUGUUCUUAUUGAAGAGUAUGAUUAGGUACAGAUGUGCAGAAAAUAAAAAAUGUGUGCACGUAGCUAUGUAGAAAAUAAAAGAUGUGUGAACGCAGCUGUGCAGAAAAAAAUGAUGUGCAUGCGCUGAUAUUUAGAAAAUAUAAAAUGGAAGAAGACGUGUGUGCAACUGUGUAUAAAAUAAAAUAAAAAGAGGAAGAAUAUGUAACGUGCAGUUGUACAAAAAAUAAAAAAUAGAUGAAAAGGACAAGCACAUAUAGCUGUGCAGGAAAUAAAAGACAGAGGAAGCAACUUCAGCUAUGUAUCAUGAAUCAGAUCUAUAUGAUUCUCGCACAAUGAUCAUAUUCAAUCAUACCUAUUAACAGGGACCUACUUUUUCAUUAGCUAUUUCAGUAUGUAUGUAGUUACAGAACUAUUUUUUUCCUUUCAGUCACAUCAUCAAAUUUCUCUCACAAAAGCUAGGCAAAGAUAUGACUCAUGAGACAAAUAACUCGAGCUAUAAAGCGUAGGUCCAAUAACUGAGAGCCAAAGGCUAUAGGUAAUCAAAAAACCACUAGCUAAGAGAAUAAAAUCACCCAACAAAGGACCUCACAAGGGAAGAAAGCAUUCAAACAUAAUCUACAAUCUUAUUAGCUUUCUAACAGUUCAGCCUUACAAUAACCUUUUAAACGACUAUACGUAAAUCAAUAUGGGUAUAUGCUUACUUACUUGGUCAGAGAAAUAUUCUAGUGGUCAUUCAGUUGAAAUGUAUGCAGGUCAGACCACAACUGAAAAGAGAGAUACGUGAGUAAGAAUAACUAGGAGCUAGUUUAGUUGUUAGUUUUUUCAAUACUUACAGGUGUUAUCAAGAAGAAAUUAUUCUAUUCGAUCAAAAAAUAUAUUGUUCGACCUAGUCGAUAUGGGGCUUAAUAUAUUGAACUUGUCAAAUUGGAAUAAGGUUGGAAUACCAAAGUUAUAUAGUGUACUAUAGCAAAGAAGAAAGACAAGUUAAGGAUUCAUAACAUUUACAUCAAAGAUAACUCUAUAAAUAAUGUCCCUACACCUAAACAAUCUGGUUGGGUGGUUAAAAAAGUUUUGGAUGAAAGAUCCUUAUUAGCUAUUGGAACUCUGUUGAAUUGAACUGGAUUGAUUCAUCGGCUGUGGUGGGUUCAACAUAAAGAGUGCUUAUAAAUCUUUUCUUCCACAAUAUCCUACAGCUACAUGGAAGAAAUUCUCUAUGGAAAAAGAAAAUCUGAUAAACAUCAGCUCGUCCUCUGUCUAUCCCUGUAAACAAGACUAGCAACAGUUGAUGCACUAACAAAAUGGUGUAUUUAAGUUGACAUUAGCUAUAUUCUAUGCUAGGAUUCCUAGAAAUACCACACUAUAAUUCUACAUGCUUCCAUUGUCUACCAUACUCGAAUGGAAGGAACAUCCACAAGUUACAACAGAAAUGUUGAGGGUCAAUCAUAAUUUUGAUGGAGAUUGCUAAAGAGCUACACAUAGUUGUCCAGAAGCAAAGUAGAUCAAAAGGCAUGAUGAUACUGUAGUCUUAUGACUUAUCUAUAGGAUCCAUUUGUAUAUACAGCUGAAAGUAGUAGUAGUGGUCUGAAUACUGAAACUAGUCCUUGAGUCCAAAAUGACUAGCUAUACAUAUUAGUCAUUUAAUUAAAUAAACUCAUAUCUUUUGUAUAAUUUAUUUUUUGAAAAAACAUACUUGUUUCAACUUCUUGUAUGUAUAGCUUAACUAGUUCAUUAGAUUGAGAAAAUAAAAUUCAUAGUAAGAAAUUUGCCUUUUGAUGUCAAAGACUUAAUCCCUCGUCGGCUAGUCCUCAUCCCUUUCCAAUUGCACCAGGCGCGACGAAUAAAUAUCUCAUAGUACAAUUCAUUCUUGAUCAUCCCCAUUUUCAGUCUUUAUACUGAACCUACAGAGAGAGGCAAAAGUACAAAAUUAAUAGGUAAAAUUCUUAUCCAGUGAACCGAAGGAUAUAAUCCAACUAAUCUUUGACCUUUGCAAAAUGUCAAAACUAUACAAAAAGUACUAUAAAUUAUCAUUUUCUCAUACAACAAUAAGUAAUUAUCAAAAAUGGGCCUUUUUAAAGCGUUGUUGAAACUUUACUGUGGUAUAAUUAAAGUGUAUUAUUGUUCCCUACAUAAUACAAAGACCUUGAUCCAGAAUCAAAAGGAGAAAUCAGUCUCGUGACUAUUUCCCAUCAGUAAGCAGCCUGUGCGAUAAUAAAGAUAUGCCUAUCAGAAUGGGUUACAACAAACAUAUUAGUUAAUAGAAGAUAUUUUACAUCAUUAGUUCCUUUUUGUUUCUUUUGUGAAAGAUUUUCUAAGUCAUCUACAACAUCAUCAACCAUUUGAAUGACGAGGUCGAGUCUUUUUCACUACAUGCCAAUCUUUUUUGGAAUUAUCAUUAGCAUAAAACACUUGAGAUGCUUAAUCCUCUACAACAAAAUGCUCAUUUUUUUCUAAUAAUCUACUUAGAUUCACACUUACGAAGUCAUAUAUACUUAUAUCUUUUAAUCAUCCUUUCUCUGUUUUGAAAAGCUACAACAUUUUUAAUGAAAGUUGGCUUAAAUUUGUGAUUUGCCGAGAACUGCCAUUAAGAUAGAGUACAACAAAAGUGACAGAGAAUCUCAUCUACAUUCAAAACCUAUAGGAUAUUCUACAUAAUAUAUAUAAUCCAUUAAAUUUCUAUUAAUUUUGUUCCAACUUUAAUAAUAGUAAGAGUAGAUGUAGUAAAUCGAAGAGGAAAGAACAUAUAUUGUUUGAGGUUGACAAGAGACGAACUUGAACUAGGUUUAAACCAAAUUGCUAAUUGAAUAUAAUAGAUUACAAAACCUAAUGUUUCAACAACAACAACAGGAACAUAGCAGUGUGAUUUCAUAAGAUAAAUAGUUGUAAGAAAUAUAACAAUAGGUAACAAAGUUUGUAUUUCAUCAAGCCAAACACCAUACACACACCAACUCGGAAUUCCAACUCAACAAUCUUUCAGAUAUUGUACAAAAAAAAAUAAAAAUUACUACUCCCUCAACUAGGACUCCCAAAUCAACAAUAUUUCAAUAAUUGCACAAAUAAAUUACCAUCAGAUUGUGCAAGAGAUUAAGAAGAUAAAGAGUUACUUCAGUAAAGCAAAUUUAGAAAAGAAAAAGAUAAAGUCACAGAAGAGGAGACAUACCCAAUAUUAUAGUCGAUGAAAAUAGAUUUGGGCGAACUAUUGUGCUUUCUCUAUUUUAGGCGAGCUGCUGUGAUGAGCAACAAACUCCAUGCUUUCCUUGUUUUGAGAAACUACAAUGUUUUUUUUGAGUGCUGGCUGAGAAUAGCGAUUUGCAGAAGAGCUGCUGCUAGGGGACAAUAGAAAAACGAGAUAUGUAUUAAAAACAAAGAGCUUUUGUUUUAUUUUUUAAGAAUUUUAAUUCUUACUUUUGGCGCCUGAUAAGUUUGGUGAAAAUAUAUCUUUAAACUUUAUUUUAAUUUUUUUUUAAUAUAUGUUUGAGCGCACUUUUCUCCCGCUCCCACUCUCAAGUUGUAAUUUGGGACCAGAUACUAAUUUAUUUAGAGACUAGAUUUAGUACCUUCACAAUAAAACAUAGAAUUAGGGAAUAGAAUAUAAUCUCGUCUCUAUACAUGUACUUUUAAGGACAAGAUUAAUAGCUAGUCUCUAAAUGUUGGUCUUAAAUAAAGCUUUUUCUACUAGUGUUGUCACACCCCGAGCCUACACCCUGGAUGUGGCCGGCACUCGAGAAACAUUGUUUGCCCCAAGAAAACCCUUGGUCUGGCUUACUUACUCAGCGGAAAACUUUACUCAAGAUAAAUACUUUUAAAACAAGUAAACUGAACUGCUCAAAAUAUAACUUAGAAUGUAUUAUAAUAACAUUCACUGCCAAAGUGGCAACUCAAGUCUCAACUUAACUGAAAAGGAAAAGAAAAGACUCAUGAACUAACAUCACUGACUCUGUCUAUGAAGCCUCUAAAUAACUGAAAUGGACGUCGAGACAACAUCCAUGGCAUCCUAAUGAACUAAAAUUUUGAAAGAAAUAAAAAGGAUCCUCCGGAAAGUUAUGAGGCUCACCAAUUGACUCUGAGAGCUCAACUGGUUCAACGAGGCACUAGAUGCUGAUCCUAAUUACCUACAUUUGUAUCAUAAUAAGAUGCAGGCCAACUGGAAUCAGUACAUUGAAUGUACGAGUAUGCGAGUUGGAUUGCUAAACACAACAAGGCUUGAAAAGAAUUUGAAAGAAACACUUACCUUGACUUUACUCAACUCUUGAAUAACUUAACUCAAUAUAAAGCAGUAAACAUGUGCAAUAUAUAUAAAGCUUGUAAAAUAGUAGAAAACAACUUAGUUUGUUAAAGAAAAGGCAAUAACAAACUCAAUUUUACUCAUAUAAUAAAGUAAUAUAGUUUCUGUGGGAGUUUCUCUAAUCGACAACCACUACUAUGGGCCUAAGUGGUGAUACAUCGUCUUGCCCACGCUGCCAAAACUGUCCUAUACUUUGUCAUUAUAUAGAAGGCUUAACUAAGUGGAUCCACUAGUCUAUGCUAAAAGCAUCUUAAGGAGUCAUCUAAAAAGUAUGACCCUUUACUACCCAUGAUGGCUACAAGGUUUAUGGAGACGUGAGUUAUCUGAACUCGAGCUCAUCCCUAUAUCGAUGCUCAAUACUAAUCCCAAAACAUACUUACUCAGAUGUUUGUAAAAACAAAACUCUUUCUUUGGUUUGAGAUAAUUACUCAAAAACUUAGCUUAAAAGCUCUCUUGGAAAUCUCAGUUUCCUUUCUUGCUCAAAUGUGAAAACAUUUUUAACUCUUGGGAAUACUUAGUUCCCGAAUAAUCUUUGAAGAAUGAACUUUAAUCUUACUCAUUACUGAAACUAGCUUAAAAGCUUUUUUGGAAAUCUCAAUUUCCUUUCUUGUUUAAAUGUGAAAACAGUUACUCUUUGGGAAUACAUAGUCCCGAUCUACUCUUUUGAAGAAAUGCAGUUCAAAUUUUACUCUUUACUCAACUCAAAACUCAAGUCUUAAAACAAAGUUAAAACGUUUGUAAUAGACUUUUGGAAAACUUUAUGAACUUCUCUUAACUUGACUCUUGACUUUUCUUGACCCGACUCUUAACUUCUCUUGACUUGACUCUUAACUUUCCUUGAAUUGAAUUAUGGAUUCAAGGAUUGUGAUUUGUGAUAGGAAAGAUCUCAUGAUGUUUAGGAAUGAUUUUAGAUAGCUAAACAUGAGAAAUGAUCAAGAAAUCACUUCCUGGAAAUUAGUCCGCGACGUGUAGGUGUAUUUAAAUUUAGUCGCGAAAAUAAAUUUUGAGGCAGAGAGGUUCGUAACCUCGCCGCAACGCGAAGGGAAAAUUACACUUCUGACCUGGUACCCAAUUUCUUCCCGACUUGUUCCUUCUUCGCUUUCUAACCCCAAUUCGCCUAAACUCGAUUCUUUUUAUCAAAUUCCCUUUAGAUUCAGAUACCCAGUAUGUAUACAUAAGAAUCUAACUCAUAUAACUCAAGGAAACAACAUUUUAACCUUAAGGAACUCCUCAAUAUCAACCUAACUCAAGAACGAAGGCCAAUUUCAAGAACACCAUUCAAGAUUCAUCAACUUUCAACUUUCUAGAACAAACUUCGCUGAAAUAAUAUGAUUGGUGCAUGGAUGAAUGAACCCAGCGCUAUGAAAGACUCACAUACCUCAAAGGGAUCACCCCUUGACGAAAUCCACGAGCCUAGCUUCAAGAACUUGACGAUUCCUUGCUCUUUCUCCUCCUUUCUCCUCUUAUUUUCUCUUCUCUCAAAACCCUAACUUGUUUCUCAAAAGCGUAAACUGAAUCCAAUCAGUUUAGACCCCAACUUAAUUACCAAAAAUGAAACUAAUUAAUUGGGUGGUGAAAAGACCAUAAUGCCUUUUUAAAAUCCGGAUUGGACUUUACUUCUUUGAACAACCCAACUUCAAAUGGGCAUAUCUCACGUAUACGAACUCGAAAUCGCGCAAACUUAGCGGCGUUGGAAAGAUUAUUCCAAUAUCUUUCCUAAAAUAUUUGGUAACACAACUAACUCACUUAAGAUAGGAGUUCUGGUCGUUUGAAGUUGACCAAAAAAACUCAAACUUAACUUAACCAAUUUUCCUCAUUUUUUAUUAUUUCCAAAAAUAACUCUUUCUAAUUCCAGAUCUUUCUAGUUCUUUCAAUUUGCGAGAUGUUACAAUAUCUCCUCCUUGGGAAAAUUCUUCCUCAAAUGAGAUUACUCUUAAUAGGCCAAGGGUGUAACAUUUAACAUUCAGCUAAAAUACCUAACAAGCAAUGCAAUUAGACCAUGCUAAUCUUAUAAAUAAAAGCCAAGAAAAGGAUUAGUACCUAAAUUUGGAAUUUCUCCAGAUUCGAAGAGAUGUCGAUAUCUCUUCUUCAUAUCUUCCUCAGCUUCCUCAAGUAGCUUCCUCAACAAACUGGUUCCUCCACAGAACUUUGAUUGAUACUACUUCCUUAGUCCUCAACUUGCGAACAUGGCGAUCUAGAAUCUGAACAGGAAUCUCUUCAUAAGAUAGCUAUCAUUGAUCCCAAUAUCUUCAGUUGGUAUGAUCAAUGAAGGAUCGCCCAUACACUUAUCCAACAUGGAGAUGUGAAAAAAACUAGAUGAACCGUGGCUAACUCUUGUGGUAGCUCCAAUUCAUAAACUACAUUAGCUACCCUUUUGGAUAUUCUGUAAGGGCCAAUAUACUUGGGACUAAGCUUCCCCUUCUUACUAAAUCGCAUAACACCCUUCAUGGGUGAAACUUUCAAGUAUACCCAAUCAUCUACUUCAAACUCUAAGUCCCUUCUCCUAACAUCAGUGUAGGAUUUCUGACGACUCUACGCUGUUUUCAACCUCUCUUGAAUGGCUUCCAUUUUAUCCAUACCUUGAUGAACUAAUUUUGGUCCUAUCAACCCAACUUCACCAACCUCAAACCAUCCAAUAUGAGAUCUGCAUCUUCUCCCAUAAAGAGCUUCAUAAGGAGACAUUUGGAUGCUAGAAUGGUAAAUAUUGUUGUACACAAAUUCAAUUAGAGAUAUGUGAUCAUCCCAAUUACCCUUGAAAUCAAUUACACAAUCUACCUUGAUAUCUCAAAUCACCAUCUCCCCCUUGUUCAAAGCCAUCACUUUUUGCCUAUGAACACUUGCCUUUAAUUCAAGCAAUAAAGGAUCUUGGUCUUGCUUAUCUUUUACUUCUGACACUAAUGAUGAUUCAGCCCUAUUCAUCACCACUACUCCUCCUUAUGUGGAAUCCAUUAGUUGAACUCCUAGUCGUGUAAGUCUAUACACCUCUUUUGCUAACUCUUUCUUAUCUUCCUUAAAAUGGGCGGUACUACCCAUAGAUAACCUGCUCAAGGCAUCAACAACAACAUUAGCCUUACAUGGGUGAUAAAGAAUACUCAUGUCAUAAUCCUUGAGUAAUUCUAACCACCUCCUCUGUUUGAGAUUAAGCUCUUUCUAACUAAACACAUACUGAAGACUCUUGUGAUCGGUGAACACAUCCACAUGAACACCAUAAAGAUAAGGACGCCAUAUUUUCAAAGAAAAUACUACGGCAACCAACUCCAGAUCAUGGGUUGGGUAAUUCUUCUCAUGAACCUUCAACUAUCUAGAGGCAUAAACUAUAAUUUUGCCAUUCUACAUUAGUACAGAAUCCAAACCAACUCUAGAUACAUCAAAAUACACCACAAAACCUUGAGUACCUUCUGGUAAGGUCAAAACUGGGGCAGUAGUCAACCUCUUUUUCAAUUCCCGAAAGCUUUUCUCACAAGCUUAAGACCAUUGAAACUUCACUGUUUUCCGAGUCAACUUGGUCAAAGGAGAUGAAAUAGAUGAAAAUCCCUCGACAAACCUUUUAUAAUAUCCAGCCAACCCCAAGAAACUCCUAAUAUCAGUUGGAGAUGUGGGUCUAGGCCAAUUCUGCACUGCCUCUAUUUUCUUAGUAUCAACUUUAAUUCCCUCUCCAGACAUAAUGUGAUCUAAGAACGCCACAAACUCAAGCCAAAACUCACACUUAGAGAACUUGACAUACAACUCUCUAUAUUUUGGAGUUUGGAGAACUAUUCUGAGAUGACUAGCAUGAUCUUCUUCAUUCCUUGAAUAGAUUAUUAUGUCAUCAAUGAACACGAUAAACAAACAUAUCUAAAAUAAGGCUUGAAUACUCUAUCCAUAAGGUCUAUUGUAACACCCCGAAUCCAAAAACAGACCAAAAAUGCAGAUUUUGAGAAGUUGCAGGUGCAACUUACGGUCACCAUCCAUGGACCGUAGGUCAAACCACGGCCCGUGCUGGUGGUACGUGAUUCACCACUGCAACCACUCCCCAAACUAGCUCAGAAAAUUAUCUAAGUCCUGACUCACGGACAGACCCACGGUCCGUAGAUCAGACCACAGUUCGUGGUCUGUGUCUGUGGAUCGAGACUUCCCUUACCCAGCCUCUGACACAAACUACGGUCGACCAGCAUGGACCGUCAUUCAAUGCACGUUCCGUAGGUCUGACCGUAGAUGAGGGUCAGCAGCCAGUUAGCUGAAAAUUGUUGAUGGAUCAACUUCAGAUGGUCAUAACUUUUAGAACAAAGGAAUUAUGUGUACCAUGACCUAUGAUAUGAUAGAUAAUUGAAUUCCUCUUUUCCAACGUCCACCGAGUUUGCUAAAAUCCGACAUCCAAGUAAAAAGUUAUGCUCAUUUUAGUGAAGCCCUAUCGGGCAGACUCGACCGACGAUUCCAAUCAACGAACCGUCGAUUGAAUGACGGCCCGUUAGUCCCGUCCGUCAGUCACUUCGACAGCAGUUAAGUCAAGGGGUUUUGGUCUUUUCCUAUUUCAUUUAACCCCUAAGGUACGUUGUUUAGACCCUAAAUCAUGAGGUUUUAGUCAGUUUAAGCCUAGAAACAUAACUAGAACUUAUCCAAGUCAAAUCAUUAAUCAAAACUUAGAAAAUUAGAAGCAAGAUUCCAUCAGUUCCAGCCUCGAAAUUGAAAAAUUUCUCCGUGGAAUUCGUCACUAGGUAUGUGGGAUUUCACUAGUGGGCCCUUUCACCCAUUAGGUCCCUAGUUUUCAGUCAGUUUCUUGAUUCCCUUAUUAUGAAUAGACCUAGGGUUUCUAGAAUUCAGUUAUACAUGCCUCAGUUUAUGAAUGCAUCAUUAUCAGAUUAAUUGUUGCAUUCUCAGUUUGCAUGUUCAGUUCGAGCUAUCCAGUAUUUACAGAAAUUCAGUCAUAACCAGUUAACUACUUAAUUUAUUGGGAGUAGCAUAAUACCGAGUUGGACUAGGGUUUCAGCGUACCCAUAUAGUCCCAGAACUACGAGCCACGUAGGUGUAAGUCCCCUCUGUGGGCAACAUCAGUUUAGUGAUCACGCCAGCAUGCCUCUAUACCUCUGGUAGGGUAUAUUGGGUCCUCUCGAUGGGGCGUAUACAUCGGACUCCACAUUUAGCUCAUGUGGUUUUAUGUCGGUUAUUAGUAGCUCCCACAGUUCAGUCAGACUCUAUUGCAUUGACCACAUUUACAGUUCAUUCAGUAUUCAGUAUUUUCAGUAUCUAUAUCAUGUUCAGAUUAUUUCAUUGCUUUAUUGCUUUGUUCAAUUAUAUGUUAUUUCAACUUUACUCUAUCAUGCAUGCUCAAUACCUCUCAAGUGCUGACGCAUACGUGCACUACAUCUUCUCGUGAUGUAGGUUCAGGUUCUCAGCAUCCAGAUCACGCUUAGAUUGAUUCUCGAUCUUCAGUUCAGCAGCAUCAGUGGUGAGUCCUCAUUCUUCGAGGACUAGUGACAUGUUUAUCUUUAUCGCUUUUAGUCUUUAGUUUCAGUUUUGCUAGACCUAGUUGGGGCAUAUCCCAACAUUUCUAGUCAAUUUAGAGGCUUAUUUCAGACAUAGUUAGAUUUAGCUUAGUAUUGAGUUAAUAUCUUCUUUGUAUUAAACACAUGAGUUAUCAUUUAUCUCAGUUAUAGUAUAUGGGUAUUAUCCAUCUUUUCAUUUUAUUUAUGAUUUAGCUUUCGCACAGUUUCUAUUAUUCAGAUUAUAUUUAGUAUGCUCAUGAUCAGGCCAGCAGGAUUAGCUUGGGAUCACUUGUGGUCCUAGGUCCCGUGUUCGCGUCUCGGGGGUAGCUCGGGGCGUGACAUCUAUGAACGCUGCAGGUGCAUUGGUCAAACUAAACGACAUGACUAGAAACUCAUAAUGACCAUAACUGGUCUUGAAUGUUGUCUUUUGAAUAUGACAUUCCCUUACUCAUAACUGAUGGUAGCCAGACCUGAGGUCUAUCUUAGAGAAACAUGUAGCACCCUGAAGCUGAUCGAAAAAAUAUUCAAUUCUCGGAAGAGGAUACUUAUUCAUGAUGGUAACCUUGUUUAACUGAUGGUAAUCUAUACACAUCCUAAGGAACCAUCUUUCUUUCUCACAAAUAGGACCGGAGCGUCCCAAGGUGAAAUACUUGGUCGAAUGAAACCUUUCUCUAAAAGAUCUUUCAAUUGCUCUUUAAGCUCUUUCAACUCUACUAGGGCCAUUCUAUAUGGCAGAAUAGAUAUGGGACGAGUAUCUGGAAGAAUGUCUAUACCGAAGUCUAUUUCUCUCUCAGGAGGGACUCCGGGAAGAUCAUCAGGAAAGACUUCUGGAAACUCUCUUACUACUGAAACUGACUAAAUAAGAGGUAUCUCAACACUAGAGUCAUUAACUCGGACUAAGUGAUAGACACACCCCUUGGAAACUAACUUUCUCGCCUUAAGGUACGAAAUAAAAUGACCCUUAGGCACUGCUGAAUUGCUCUUCAACUCUAUAAUUGGUUCACUGGAACUUGACUACUCGAGUUCUACAAUCUAUUGAUGCAUAACAGGCAUGAAGCUAGUCCAUACCUAGAAUGACAUCAAACUCUACCAUGUCUAACUCAACUAAUCAGCCAUGGUACUCUUGUGAUUGAUAGAAACGGGACAAUCACCAUAGACUCUUUCUGCUAUAAUAAACUCACCAACGGGUGUAGAAACACUGAAGGGCUCAAGAAGUUGCUUAGGAAAAACAUCAAAGUUGAAGACUUGGAUCAUACCAGUGACAACAUUUGGCGAAUCCAUAGACUCUUUCUGCUAUAAUAAACUCACCAACGGGUGUAGAAACACUGAAGGGCUCAAGAAGUUGCUUAGGAAAAACAUCAAAGUUGAAGACUUGGAUCAUACCAGUGACAACAUUUGGCGAAUCCUCUUGCUCUCGGCGACUAGCAAUAGCAUAAAGACAGUUUCCUUCUCCGUCUGCCUUUGAAGUAGCUCAUCUAGAUGCAGCUCUAUCUGGUGGAGCAAAUGAAGAAGACUGGGCUUUAUUACCCCCAUUACCAUUACUCUGUCUGGUCCUAGGACACUCUCUCAUAAAAUGACCAUUCUGGCCACACUUGAAGCAACUAGUGGAGUCAUCACGACACAUCCCUGAGUGGAUCCUACCACACUUAGCACAUGCAAAAGUCUUAGUACCCCCUUGUGCCUUACUACCUUGCGAGUGUGCAAGUCUAGCUCUGAAGUUCUGAGAAUUCUGACUAUUGUACUCACAUUUGUUCCUUGGUGCAGGUGCACUAGCAAAUGAUGGAGCAGGUCCUUUCUGCUUAUGUUGGAAAGAAGACUGGUUCGCACUACCCUUUUGCUGCCCAGAUUCAUUCCCUGGUGUCUUAGCCUUCUUAUUCUCAAACUCUUCUUUAUCCUUUAGCUGGUCCUUCUCAACUUGUUGCACAUGGAUCAUCAGCCUUGCUAUUCCCAUGUCACCUAUUAGCAUGGCUGCCUUACUUUCCUUAUCUGAGAGACGAGACAACCCAACAACGAAUAAACUCAUCCUACUCCUCAUGUCGGCAACUAUCUAUUUGCUUCUCUUAGUUCACGGGGAAAGAAACGCCCCAUGAAAGCACUCUCAAAACAGUCCAACUCACAAUCGGUUACGCGUAAACAUGAGUUAGAAAGAAACUUUUUAGAGAUAAAACUCUAACGCACGAAAUGAGUAUGAAAAAAGUGAAGGAAUUUCCUAAAUAUUGCAGCCUCCUAAUUAUAUAUGUGGCUCACUUCACACCAAUAACUAGGACUCUACAGACACGGCUUCCUAGAUUUCCUAGGACUCUUGAACUCUGUGCUCUGAUACUAAGUUUGUCACCCCCUAGCCUACACCCUGGACGUGGCGGCACUCGAGAACCAUUACUGGCCCCAAAUGAACCCUUGGUCUGACUUACUUACUCAACGGAAGACUUUACUCAAGAUAAAUACUUUUAAAACAAGUAAACUGAACUGCUCAAAAAUAACUUAGAAUGUAUUAUAAUAACAUUCACUACCAAAGUGGCAACUCAAGUCUCAACUUAACUAAAAAGGAAAAGAAAAAACUCACGAACUAACAUCACUGACUCUGUCUAUGAAGCCUCUAAAUAACUGAUUUGGACGUCGGGACAAGACCCACGACAUCCUAAUAAACUAAAAUACUGAAAGCAAUAAAAAGGAUUCUCUGAAAAGGUAGGAGGCUCACCAACUGACUCUGAGUGCUCAACUGGAUCAACGAGGCGCUGGAUACUGAUCCUGAUUACCUGCGUCUGCAUUAUAAUAAGAUAUAGGACAACUGGAAUCAGUACAUUGAAUGUACGAAUAUGCGAGUUGAAUGCUAAACAUAACAUAGGAUUGAAAAGAAUCUGAAAGAAAUACUUACCUUGGCUUUACUCAACUCAUGAAUAAUUUAACUCAAUAUAAAGCAGUAAACAUAUGCAAUAUAUAUAAAGCUUGUAAAACAGUAGAAAACAACUUAGUUCGUUAAAGGAAAUGCAAUAACAAAAUCAACUUUACUCAUAUAAUAAAGUAAUAUCGUUUCUGUGGGAGUUUCUCUAAUCGACAACCACUACUAUGAGCCUAAGUCGUGAUACAUCGUCUUGCCCACGCUGCAAAAUCUGUCCUAUACUUUGCCGUCAUAUAGAACACUUAACUAAGUGGAUCCACUAAUCUAUGCUAAAAGCUUCUUAAGGAGUCAUCUAAAAAGUAUGAUCCUUUACUACCCAUGAUGGCUACAUGAUAUAUGGAGACGUGAGUUAUCUUAACUCAAGCUCGUCCCAAUAUCGGUGCUCAAUACUACUCCCAAAAUAUACUUAGCUCAUAUGUUUGUAAAAACAAAACUCUUUCUUUGGUUUUGAGAUAAUUACUCAAAAACUUAGCUUAAAAGCUCUCUUGGAAAUCUCAGUUUCCUUUCUUGCUCAAAUGUGAAAACAUUUUUAACUCUUGGAAAUACUUAGUUCCCGAAUAAUCUUUGAAGAAUGAACUUUACUCUUACUCUUUACUGAAAACUAGUUCAAAGGCUCUUUUGGAAAUCUUAGUUUACUUUCUUGUUUAAAUGUGAAAAUAUUACUCUUUGGGAAUACAUAGUCCCGAUAUACUCUUUUGAAGAAAUGCACUUCAAACUUUACUCUUUACUCAACUCAAAACUCAAGUCUUAAAACAAAGUUAAAACAGUUGUAAAAGACUUUUGGAAAAUUUUUUGAACUUCUCUUAACUUGACUCUUGACUUCUCUUGACUUGACUCUUAACUUCUCUUGACUUGACUCUUAACUUUCCUUGAAUUGAAUUAUGGAUUCAAGGAUUGUGAUUUGUGAUAGGAAAGAUCUCAUGAUGUUUAGGAAUGAUUUGACAGAGCUAAACAUGAGAAAUGAUCAAGAAAUCACUGCUUGGAAACUAGUCCGCGAUGCGGAGGUGUAUUUAAAUUUUGGUCGCGAAAAUAACUUUUGAGGCAGAGAGGUUCGUGACCUCGCCGCGAUGCGAAGGGAAAAUUAUACUUCUGAGGAACAGGUCCGCGACGCGAACCUGGUACCCAGUUUCUGCCCGACUUGUUCCUUCUUCAUUUUCUAACUCUAAUUUGCCUAAACUCGAUUCUUUUUCUCAAAUUCCCUUUAGUUUCAGAUACCCAAUAUGUAUACACAAGAUUCUAACUGAAACAACUCAAGGAAACAACAUUUUAACCUCAAGGAACUCCUCAAUCUCAACCUAACUCAAGAACGAAGGCCAAUUUCAAGAACACCAUUCAAGAUUCAUCAACUUUCAACUUUCUAGAACAAACUUCGCUGAAAUAACAUGAUUGGCGCGUGGGUCAACGAACUUAAUGCUAUGAAAGACUCACAUACCUCGUAGGGAUCACACCUUGACGAAAUCCACGAGCCUAGCUUCAAGAACUUGACGAUUCCUUGCUCCUUCUCCUAUUCUUUUCUCUUCUCGCAAAACCCUAACUUGUUUCUCAAAAGCGUAAACUGAAUCCAAUCAGUUUAGACCCCAACUUAAUUACCAAAAAUGAAAUUAAUUAAUUGAGUGGUGAAAAGACCAUAAUGCCCUUCUAAAAUCCGGAUUGAUCUUUUCUUCUUUGAACAACCCAACUUCAAAUGGGCAUAUCUCACUCAUAUGAACUCGAAAUCGCGUAAACUCAACGGCGUUGGAAAGAUUAUUCCAAAAUCUUUCCAAAGAUAUCUGGAAAGACACCUAACUCAUCCUGAGGUAGGAGUUAUGGUCAUUUGAAGUUGACCAAAAAACUCAGACCUAACUUAACCAAUUCUCCUGAUAUUUUAUUAUUUCCAAAAAUCACUCUUUCUAAUUCCAGCUCUUUCUAGUUCUUUCAAUUUGCGAGAUGUUACACAUAUUAUUAAUCAACAAAAUAAAUCCAAAAGGUCCAGCCCAAAAUGGGCAUCCACUAGCAAAACAAGAAAAGUAAAAGGAAAGAAAAUCAAACAACCAAAAAAGGAAACAAAUUAGGGCAAAAUAAAUAUAGAAGCUACAAACGCGUUCUUCCCCUUUUCAUCUGGGAAACUGAACGCCUCCUUUGACGAAUUCCAGCUACUGAUCUUCAUUCUCCACACCGACGAAGCAUAGAAAACAUCAGUUACGUAGCUCAACUAUCGGUAUCAGAAAAGACGCUGGGCUAAUUUCAUCAUAGGCGACCUCAAAUCUCUUACACAUGUGUUGUGACAUAUGACCCAACGGGAACAUUCCUUGUCAAUCUCAUUGCCAACCGAAUACUAUGUAGGAGGUAACUUCCAUCCUUUUUGUGUAGAUAAUCAAAUCGGAAAUUCUUAGAACAUUGACGCAAAACUUUUUUAACCAAGCUAUUUACUAUAUCACUUUUGAUAGAAUGAGAUUCUGAAGAUGCUGAUACCACACAUCAAAAGUUGCACAGUGAACAACCAGAUCUAAAAGUUCUGCAAUUUUUCAGGUAAACAUACUAUAUACCUUCUCAAGACCAUUGAAUUAGUCCGGUUCUCAAGCCUUCAAGUAGUUGUAUCUAAAACUAGGGGUUUGUUGUUUAUAUAAGAGAAUCAAUUUUGAACUUCUUGUGGUAGUUGUUGCAAUGAAUUAUAGCUUAUAGCACCCACACAACAAGUAAUAAAAUCGGCAAUUUUAUUGCCUUCUCGUAGUACAUGAUGCACUGUACUAACGCCUUUUGCCCUCCAAAACCUUAUCCUGUCAAUCUUCAUCCUUAACUUCGAAGGAGUAUUCCAUGUACCCUCCACCAUAUUCAACAAAACUAAUGAAUCUGUCUCCAAUCGUACAGGAACAAAAUUGUUCCUCGUGCAAUAGUCAAUCACAUUCCCCAAAUCCACUCUUCUACGUAUAAAUUAGUGUUAACUUCAAUUCUUAUAACAUAGCAUAAAUAAACUCCCCUUCAUCACUUCUCAUGCAAAAACCUAAUGAACUUGGGUCUGGGUUACCUUUAGAGGCCCCAUCCGAAUUGCAUUUAAACCAUCCCUGUAGAGGAAACUCCUACUUAACCAAUCUAAAAUGAAGAACUCGCAUAUAUUCUUCGAAGUACUGCACCAUUUGUGGCCAGUUAAUUGGUAUAUCCUUCAGCCGAGGAUAUGUCACAUUUGCAAGCAUAUGAAGAAUGUGGCUAAUAUCACUUACAACUCAAUUAUUUGUCAUAAAUCCUCCAUUAGUAACCACAUUUCUUCUUCUCAUUAAAUGCCACAAAAUGAUUUAAGGAGCAGAUUGAUACAAUGACAUAAGUUUUUCCCCACAUUCAGCCUUCCACCAUUCUGUAAUAGCCUGAUUGACCUGUAUAAAAGGGCCUAACAACCCUACAGCCAUAGUAAAGUUUCUCCAAAUACUUUGUGCAACUUCACCAGUUAAAAAAAUGUGUGACAGUCUCUUCUUGAAAUUGUCGACAACAUCUACACCUAGACUCCCCAUGAUGCCACAAUGUCAUCUAUUGGUAGCUUUAGAUUCCACAACCUCCAAAUAAAAAAGAAAAUUUUCAUAGGAAGACCUUUUACCCAAAAUUUCUUCCAAAACCAUCUUUUCUGCUUUUUUGGUCUCUGAAUUUCCCUAAAAUUUCCUUUAGUAGAUGGCAUCCACCAUGCUCUAUCUUUGUCUUCCAAGCUCUCUCAUAUCAUGAGAUUCUUUGUCACAUGUUCAGCAAUUUGAUUAGGCAAAUGUUGAUGUAGACUUUCCUAAUUUUAUUUUUCAUUAUCCAUAAAAAAAUUUACCUCCUUGUUUAGAAAAACAUAAUUUCAACCAAGAAGCCCAGAUUAGAUCUGCCCUCUUCCAAGUUGCUUCAAAAGAAUUUUGAAAAAUCUUGUGCAACUCAUUCAAAGCGCAUUUAGUAAGAGCUAAAGUUGAUAAAAGAUAUAUAGGCAUGUUUUGCAACACAUUUCUAAUCAAAACAACUUUGCCACCAAAGGAUAAUAACUUACUCUUUCAGUUCUGCAACUUUCCUUUUACCUUUUUGAUGAUUUCAUUAUAGAAUAUCUUCUCUUUCUUCAAUAAAAUAUUGGGCAGCCUAAAUAUAUGAAUGGGAACACACCUUUUUCCAUUCCUAUGACUAAUCCCACCUGCUGCACCUUUUUCGGGGUGGCCCAGUGGUUUGGGCUUGGGACUUCCAUGUUGGAGGUCUCAAGUUCGAAACCCCUUGCCAGCGAAAGCAAGGGGUUUGCCUUCUGGGUCGAGCUCGUCGCACUGGGCUUGCCUAGUGCGGGUUACCUCUCCUAUGUGGUUUGCGAGCUAUUGCAUAGGAGCGGGGGUUUUAUCAUGUGCGCACCCAAAGGGUAGCGGCUGUGGGUUUUCCUUGUCAUAAAAAAAAUAUCAUGUUAAUUUAGCAUUUAAUUCUAAAUAGAUUUUUUUAAAACAGAGAAAAUACAUUUAUGUUUUGAGAUUGUUUAAAUUUUUUCACUAAACUGAUAAAAAUAACAAAAAUACUUGUUCCUAUAAGUUAUUGUGCAUGAAAAAAGAGAACCAAAAACACAUUUAUAUCAUGCUAAAAAAAUUAUGUUCAUUAAGACAAAUUAUGCAUAUGUAGAACUUCAUGUAAUAGUGAGACAUGCUUCUUAGCUCUAAUUUUUAUGUAUGAGUGAUAAAUAAAAAAUAUUAAUAAAAGAAGUCUUGUGAAAUAAAAAGUAAGCACUUUAAUCUUUGUUGAUCAACUGACCUGAGAUCUCCUCAUAUUUCCUCGGCACUUCCAUAACAAGAUCAAGAGAUACUUUAUCUGUUAAGGUGAAUAUUAUAGUGUCAUCUGCAUAAGUCAAAUGAUUUAGCUUCUCACUCCAUCUUGGUAAGCCAUAUCCCUUAUACAAACUAUUGUCAAACAAGGCAUUCAGUGAUGUGAUCUGGACAACACUUUUGCGGUUAGUAAAGACAGAGUUGGGGAUAAGGGAUCUCCUUGCUUCACUCCCCUAGUAGAGUAAAAAAAAUCCAUGACUUUGCCCAUUAAAAAUAAUAGAGUACCAGGUCUUUGCUAUUAAUCUUCAUACCAUGACAGUAAAAAUCUCACUGAAACCCAUCUUUCUUAGCACAUUAGAUAAAUAUAGUCAGGAUACCCUAUCAUAAAUCAUGGUCAUAUCUAGUUUGAUAACAACAUUAGAAGCUUACCUCUUUUUCUUAUAUCAGUCAAAAUCCCUUGAGUUAGCAACACAUUCUGAAUUAUGCAUCUUCCUUUUUGAAAAUUCAUCUUGAGUAGGAGAUAUGAACUUGGUUAGAAUGUCUUUUAUUCUUCCAUGUACCACUCUAGAGAUGGUCUUAUUAAUCAAAUUUUUUAGGCUUAUAGGCCUUAAUCUGAAAAUGAAUUGACCAACUCCCUUUUACGUAGCAGUACCAGAUUUGUAUGUGUGAUCGACUUGGGCAAGGUAUCACUAUUAAAAAGGCCUUUACUAUCCUAUAAACAUCAUAACCAACAAUGUCCCAACAUGAUUGAAAGAAAUUGACGUUCAAGCCAUCAGGUCCACUUGCACUUGAUCCCUCCAAUUGGAAAAUAGAUUAUUUUUCACCACCUCCAUUAGUGGUAUCAUUAGAAACUUCUCAUUAUCCCCUGAUUUACCAAAUUUGGUAUACAUUCUAAUAAAGAAAAAUCAGAUUCUUCUUCACCUAGUGUAAAUUGAUUUUUAUAACAACUUAUUGCCUCUUCAACCAUUUGAUCCUCUCUUUCAAGCCAUACUCCUUCUGCAUUUUAAAUUCUCUUGAUUUGAAGUCUUUUUCUUCUCCCAUUUACUAGACUAUGAAAAAAUACGCAAAUCAUGUAAUUUCAGCUUUCUGUCUCCAAAACUCCUCUUCAUAGUGAACAUACUUUUUCAUUUCCGCAUGAGCAUGUUGUAGAAUCAUUCUAUUAGCUGUUGUAGGCUCUUCCUCAAAGUUUUGUUCUUUAAUUCUGACUACUUCUUCUCUGAUUAUUAGUUGCUUGAAAAUAUCCCCAAAAGUGUUUCUACUCCACUGAUUCAAUGCAACUUUUAUCUUGUUCACCUUGUGCUUGAAAAUUUAAAAAGGAUGCCCUUCAAAAUCAACGGUCUAAUUGGGCAACUAUAUUUUAAAAUUCAGAAUGUUCUAUCCAAAAAUUUAAAGUUUUUUUAACUGUCUGAUUAUUAUUUGAUUUGUUUGGUCAUCUCUCUUAUUCUCCUUAAGAGAGUGAGCUAUACUCCCUAUGCCACAUCGCUAAAAAUAGUAAAAACUACUUGAAUUUUGUAGUGUUAAGAGUUAAUUACAUCUUAUUUCUAUUCGUUUUCAAAUUAAAAAAAUCCCCAAAAAUAUAAGAAUUUCGAAUAUAUCACUCAACGUCUCGAUACAUCGUGUUCCGGUACAUCGCGUAAAAGUGAUGUAUCCAAGAAUCUAAGAGAGAGUGAGGAAAAUAUGAUUUUUUGUAAUUCUUUCAAAUGGUAGGAAAUUUUAAAGAAUAUGAUAGGAAAUUUAAAAAAAUAUAGUAAAAUAAGAAUUUUGUAAUUGAAAUUAAAUAUUAAAUUCUUGAAAGUUAAAAGAGUAAAGAAAUUGAGACGAAAAAUAUUUAUAGAUUAAUGGGGAGUAAAAAAUACUUAAAAAUUAAAAAUAUGAGAUUAGAUUUUAGAUUAUUAUUUUUUGUUGUUAGUGGGCCCACAACGGUCAAAAAAUUGACAAACAAAUUCUCGAAAAGUUCGUGCCUCCAAUGGAUAUUCCGUUAGUCUUGGACCAGUUCGAUCUGGGCUUCUACUGAUUUGGGCCAAUUUUGGAUCGAUCCGAUCUGAUCCGAUUGACACACUUAGUUUGAAUUAUAUAAAUGACCAUCAAAAGGCAAACUAUUUAACUACAAAACGAAAAAUUAAAAUUACUUAUUUGUGUGAGAGUUCUUGAGUUCUUUCAAGUAUGUUUAAUUUUCAGUUUCUUUAUCUUUUUGGGCCACCAGUUACACUUGUGAAGUAAUCUAUGUGCGACAUGUGAGUUUCUAUGCGCUUUCAUAUGAAAUCAUUUUUUAGUCCUUUACAAAAAAAAAAUUAAUUUUAUGUCCUUUUAUAAAAAUAUCUUCAUUUUUCUAUACAUAAGUGAUCUGAAAAGAAUAUUUUCUUUUAUUCAAAUCCUAAGAAGACAAGAGAUCUCAUUUUGUUGUUUCCUUGUAUGCUUCUACAAACACAUUUUAAGACUUAUAUAUGGGCAGAUUCUAUUUCUUUAAGUCUGUUUUUGUUUGAGCAUUUUAUUUUUUUUAACUAUAUGAAAUUCAUACAGAGAAGUAGUAGAAAUUGCACAGAUUUAAGUUUUAAAAUGUGUUUGUAGAAGCAUACAAGAAAACAACAAAAUGAGACUUCUUGUCUCCUUACGAUUUGAAUAAAAGAAAAUAUUCUUUUUAGAUCACUUAUGUGUAGAAAAAUGAAGAUAUCUUAUAAAAGAACAUAAAACUUAAAAAAAUUGUAAAUGACUAAAAAAUGAUUUCAUAUGAUGAAAGUGCAUAGAAACUCACAGGUCACACAUAGAUUACUUCACAAAUGUAAUUGGUGGCCCAAAAAAGAUAAAGAAACUGAAAAUUAAACAUACUUGAAAGAGGAACUCAAGAACUCUCACACAAAUCAGUAAUUUUAAUUUUUCGUCUUGUUGUUAAAUAUUUUGCCUUUUGAUGGUCAUUUAUAUAAUUCAAACUAAAGGUGUGAAUCGGACGGGAUCAGGUCGAUCCAAAAUUGGCCCAAAUCAGUAGAAGCCCAGAUCAAACUGGUCCACUACUAAAGAAAUAGGAAAAAUUAUCCGUCGAAGGCACGAACUUUUAGAGAAUCUCUUUGUCAAUUUUUUGACCGUUGUGGGGCCCACUAACAGCUAAAAAAAAUCUAAAAUCUAAUCUAAUAUUUUUAACUUUUAAGUUUUUUCCAAAAAAAAAAACCGCCCCAUUAAUCUAUAAAAAAAAUUCCUCUCAAUUUCUUUACUCUUUUAACUUUUAAGAAUUUAAUAUUUAAUUUCAACUUACUCAAAACUAUUUAAUUAUCAUUUCUCUAUGAUAUCAUUUAUUAGUUACUCCAUUACUUAUUUUUAUUGGUUAUUAAUUUAUUAUUUUUCUUAAAGUGCUAUUAAGAUUAUUAUUAUUAUUAUAAUAUUACUUAUAUAACUUAUUACUAUUAGUUAUUAGUUUAUUGUUUCUGUGAAAAUGUUAGCAAGAUUAUUAUUACAGUAUUACUUUUCAGUUAUUACUUAUUAGUUACUCCCUCCAUUUCAUAUUAGUUGAAUUUUUGAGGCAUUUUUCAUUUUUCAAAUUAACUUAAUUGUUCAAUCUUCAAGACUAUUUUUAAAAUAUUCUUCCAAUUUUAUCCUUCAUGUGGAUUUUCAAUGUGAUGAUUUCAAUAAAUUUGAUAAUAAUAAAUAAGGGUAAAAAUGGAAAACUAUGUUCAAUUUAUGUCUUAAUCUACUUUUCUUAAAGGGUGUGAAAUACUUCAAAAAUUCAACUAAUAUGGAAUGGAGGGAGUAUUAUUAUUCAUUAAUACUUAAUACUUAUUGGUUAAUAGUUAUUACUUUAUUAUUAUUAUUUUUAUUUAUUAGGUAACUCCAUGAUCAAAAGGAUCAAGGAUUAAAUAUUAUUAUUAGCUAAUCAAGUGAUAUUAUGUUACCAUUCGAAUCAAGUAUUUAUUCUUUUGCGAAAAUUUGAUAUACUCGUUUCAUUUAUUUCUAUUUUUUUAGUAUUUUAUAUUUAAUUUUAGUUAUUUUAAUUAAACUAGCACAAUGAAUUUGAUGCAAAAAAGCUGAAAAGUUUGUUUGAGGUUGUAACGACCGGGUUCCGUCGUUAUAGAAAAGCCAAUGGGGGAAAAUUUGGGGACGGAAAACCUUUUCAUAGUAUUUGGAUUUUUUCCAACUUAGUCCAGAUUUGGACGAAAUCGGAGUCAUUAAGGUGUAGGGAAAUCUGGCAUUAAUCGGGUGAUUUAUUUAUAAUUUUGAUUACAUGAGGGGAUAGAUAACUCAUUAAGGAAUCCAUACGACUUUACGGAAUUGAAUGCAAGCCACUUUGGCGCUGGGUUUUGUCCCUCUGGCGGGGUAAGGGUCGCCGUGGCGGGCUAGAUGCGACUGAAAGUCGUAAAUAAACCCCUAAACGACUUAUUUUUGCACUUUUCAAUUUUUAAAGCUAAGGAACGAACCCAGGAGACUCUUGAGAGUUUUCCACCAUUCUUGAGGCUAAAGGUAAGAUUUUCACUCCCCGAAUCUGUUUUUCGAUCCGUAGAGCGUAAUAGAAUGGGUAAUUAUCGAUGGGGGAAGGUUUUGAAUUAAAAACCAUGAUGGAAAAAGUCCUAAUUUGGAUACUUGGGAUCAUAGGUAUGAUCUAGGUGCCAAGCCCCAAAAUCUAGGGGCGCAACUGGCUCCUAAUGCCAGAACUCAGGCCCGAGUCGACCCUCCUGAACCAUUUGCUACUAGCGCAUGGCAGCCACACGCAAUCAAGAAAAUAAACAAGUAUAUCUCGGCUUAAAACUAUGACAUCGGCCAGUAAGGCCCCUGUCAACAGAUCUAUAAAAGAAAUAUCUAUUCCCAAGAGUUUAUAUAAAAAAAUAGCCAACUAGCACAGAAGUCCAGAUUGGACCGUCGAGGCCACCACGAUCUCUAUACCAAAACUGAAAGCAGGUAUAUAUCAAGACAAUACAUCAAAUAGCUCACAAGCUUCAGCAAACCAACAAACUAGGCCAGCAUGGUCAUAACGUAGCUAUACACCACACACACUAGUCUGCAAGCCUCUAAGAGUAGAAAAGAUUGGCAGGACAGGGCCCAGCCUACCCAUAAAAAUAUCUGCAACAAAAGCUAACAAACCUCCCAACUCUGGCAACUCCGGAGGAAAGGGGUUAGCCAACCAGAUAGAAGUCAAUCUUGCUGAUGAGGAGGUCUACUGGGUCGUCUGUUGGGACCUGCAUGCAGCACCCUCAGGCAAUAGGGCAUCAGUACAAAAUAAUGUACAGAGUAUGAAAGGCUAUAGACUAAAUGAGCAAGUAUCAUAAUAUACCAAAAGCAAUUAGGUAAGGAAAUCAAUAUUUAGCUAAGCAUGCUAACCCACUACUAGAUCUAAAAAAAUACAAAAAUGAUCAAACAUCAACCUAACCAAGCCCCCAUAAGCUCGGUAGGUACAAACAAUAUACCACCUACCUAGGCUCCCGUAAGCCCAGAAGGUGCCAAAUCAAUCUACAUAACCCUAUCGGUAGCCCCUUGUCUUUGUAAGAAGUCACAUAGCCCUUUUUGGCAAUGAUAUAUCCCCGUAGGCAGCGCAUGACCCUCUUAGGCAACAACAUAGCUCUGUGGGCUGCACAUAACCCUCUUUUGCAUCAACAUAGCCCUGUAGGCAACACAUAGCCCUCUUUGGCGUCAAAAUUGCCUCAUAGGGAACACAUAACACUCUUUGGCAUCAAUACAACCCCAUAGAAAACACAUAGCCCUCUUAGGCAAUAACAUAGUCCUAUUAGACAACAUCAUAGCCCCAUAGGCAGUUCAUAGCUCAACCGCUAACCACAAUAGCCCCAAGGGCGACAACAAACAAUUGAAUAAGCUAAAGGUGAGCAAUUUAGCUAUAUAUAUAUAUAUAUAUAUAUAGUUUCCAAGUCAUUCCUAACUUAGGGUCAUUCUUAACAGAUUAUGAGUCCCUAUAAUAGGGGUUUAUAACCACUCAAUCAGCCAACCACUCACAAUUACAUCUACAAGAUCACCAACAUUAACUACCAUACUAUAUCAUUCCCAAGCUCUAAGGAAAUAUGCCGAACGAAGGGAAUAGCCUUAACAUACCUUUUCCUUUAUAAUCUAUGCUUAAAAUACCUCUGUCCGCACCACUACAACACUAAAUAAAAAGGUAAAAUCAAUUAGUAAUUAAGGAUAAAAAAUACUACGACAAUUCGACAAUCAAUACGGAUUCCUAUCGUAAAUUACUAUCCAAUACCUAAGGUAUCCGUAAACUGCUAAAAAUAUGGUUCAUACCUUUCUUUACACGCCCAUAUCACUUGAAUAAAUCAAAACACUAAAUAAAUGCCUGCUGCCACAACCUCCACGGAUCUACACCGCUCAAUUCACCGUGAAAAUUAUACCAAAACGACGAGCUCGCGACGUAGGGCAAUUUUUUAUAAGGAGCCAAGAAGAGAUCAUGAACAUACAAAGAUGAUUUGAGGAAUAAUUCUCUGAUUUUCGUGGGUUUCUUAUGAGUUGGAAUGAAGAAAAAUGAAGAAGAUGUUAUCUUAUAAGCUUCCACCGACCUAGGGGACCCACCUCACAUGCCUGCUUGCGCAGUCUUGCAAAAAUGUGAAUAUCUCUUUAUUGUGAAAUCUUAGGAACAAACGAUUUGAUGUGUUGUAAACUAGACUCAUAGCCCUUCGAUUCGAUAGGUCGUGGACCCCAUAACUCUUUAUAGAUUGAGAGAAAACCUCUGAGACAUUUGACCCAAAUUUCAGAGAAAUAUUUAAAAAGGAACUUAUGAUAACUUUCGCCAACUUUUAUUUUGCGACUUACCUAACUUCAACACUUAAAAUAUGACAUACCACAACAUUCUUAAUUUAUUACUCACCCUUUUUGUCUUUCCACGAAGGUACGAGUUAAUUUAGAUGUUUCGAAAAGUCGGGGUGUUACAUCCUUACCCCCUUAGAAACAUUCGUCCUCGAAUGAAAAAUCUGAGUCACGUGGUUAAGUCCUUAGGAGUUGGCCAAAAUUUAGGCAAGUAUCCUUUGUAAAUGUGACUAUCCAGGAACCUGAAACACAGAAAUUCUAACUUAGGCAUCUUACAUGACGACAUAAAUAGCUAAGCAUUAUAGCUCUGCAAUAACAGUGCGAGCAAAAUACAACGACAACAACCAUAAUAAUAAGCAAUAAUAUAAAAAUCAGAUAGGUAUCCUAUCUCACUGCACUAAUAUAAACUAAUAUGCCAUCACCUUGGGUAUGAAACAAGUGAGGAUAUUUGGACCUCAUGCCAUCCUCAGCUUCCCAGGUCACCUAUUCUCUAUUCUUGUUUCUCCACAAUACUUUAACUAAAGCCACCUCUUUGGUCCUCAAUUUACGGACCUGUCGAUCUAAUAUGGCAACUUGAGUUUCCUCGUAGGGACAACUCCUUUGUGAUCUGAACAUCCUCAACUGGGACAACCCGGGAAGGGUCUCCUAUGCACUUCCGUAGCAUCGAUACAUGGAAAACUGGAUGACCAGAUUCUAUCCCUGAAGGCAAUUCUAACUCAUAAGCCACUCAUCCUACCCUCCGAAGGAUCUGGUAUGGCCCAAUGAAUUUUGGACUAAGCUUUCCUUUCUUGCCAAAUCUCAUAACACCUUUCAUAGACGAGACUUUAAAGAACACCAGUCAUCGUUAGGCAUCUUACAUGACGACAUAAAUAGCUAAGCAUUAUAGCUCUGCAAUAACAGUGCGAGCAAAAUACAACGACAACAACCAUAAUAAUAAGCAAUAAUAUAAAAAAUCAGAUAGGUAUCCUAUCUCACUGCACUAAUAUAAACUAAUAUGCCAUCACCUUGGGGUAUGAAACAAGUGAGGAUAUUUGGACCUCAUGCCAUCCUCAGCUUCCCAGGUCACCUAUUCUCUAUUCUUGUUUCUCCACAAUACUUUAACUAAAGCCACCUCUUUGGUCCUCAAUUUACGGACCUGUCGAUCUAAUAUGGCAACUUGAGUUUCCUCGUAGGACAACUCCUUUGUGAUCUGAACAUCCUCAACUGGGACAACCCGGGAAGGGUCUCCUAUGCACUUCCGUAGCAUCGAUACAUGGAAAACUGGAUGACCAGAUUCUAUCCCUGAAGGCAAUUCUAACUCAUAAGCCACUCAUCCUACCCUCCGAAGGAUCUGGUAUGGCCCAAUGAAUUUUGGACUAAGCUUUCCUUUCUUGCCAAAUCUCAUAACACCUUUCAUAGACGAGACUUUAAAGAACACCAGUCAUCGACACAAAACUCUAAGUCCCUUCGUCGCACAUCUGAGUAUGACUUCUGUCGGCUUUGAGAUAUUAGCAACCUCUCCCGAAUGAUCUUAACCUGCUCCACUGUCUGUUGUACUAAAUCAGGUCCAAUCAACCCUGACUCACCUACCUCAAACCAUCCAAUGGGGGAUAACAUUUUAGACCAUACAAAACCUCAUAAGGUGCCAUCCCGAUGCUAGAAUGAUAACUAUUAUUGUAUGCGAACACAAUAAGAGGUAAGUGGUCAUCCUAACUUCCAUUAAAGUCCAGCAUGCAUGCCCGUAGCAUGUCCUCAAGUGUUAAAAUGGUGCGUUCAGCUUGGCUAUCUGUCUGAGGGUGAAAGGCGGUACUGAGAUUAACUUGCGUCCCUAAUCCUUUCUGGAAAGACUUCCAAAAGUUAGCAGUAAAUUAUGCUCCUCUAUCCGAGAUAAUAGAUAUUGGGACGCCGUGCAACCAAACAAUCUCUCGGAUGUAAAGCCCUGCAUAAUCUUCAGCUGUGAAAGUAGUCUUGACUAGUAAGAAGUGGGUUGAUUUUGUUAGUCUGUCAACAAUUACCCAAAUAGAGUCAAACUUACGACGUGAUCGAGCUAACCCUAUAAUAAAGUCCAUAUUAAUUGCUUCCCACUUCCAUAAAGGAAUGGCUAUCUUUUGGACUAGCCCAGCGGGCUUUUGGGUUUCAACCUUCACUUGUUGGCAGUUAGGACACUAUGCCACAAACUCAGCAACGUCCUUCUUCAUCUCGUGCCACCAAUAGAUCUCCUUAAUAUCAUGGUACAUUUUCAUCGAACCAGGGUGAAUAGAAUAACGGGAAUGAUGUGCCUCUUCCAUAAUCUAAUGUCGAAGCCCUGCAACAUCCGGAACACACAAUCGAUCGCUAUAUCUGAGGACUCCAUCUCCUUCUAUAUCAAAUGCUAAAUACUGUUAAUCCUGAGCCUUGGCUCUGAGCUGCUCUAAGCUAGGAUCCUCAUGUUGACGUGUUUUUACCUCUACAACUAGAGAUGAUACGGCUGUGUCCUGAAUUGCGACCCCACUAUCAUCUACCUCUAACAAUUUGACUCCCACGCUAGCUAACUGAUGUAGCUCUCGCGCUACCUCACGUUUCUGAACACCUAAAUAGGAUAAACUACCCAUAGAUCUUCGACUGAAGGCAUCGGCUACCACAUUUCGCCUUUUCCUGGAUGAUAUAAAUAUCCACGUAGUAGUCUUUCAGUAACUCAAGCCACCGACGUUGUCGCAGAUUUAACUCCUUUUGUCUAAAGAUAUAUUGAAGGCUCUUAUGAUCUGUGAAGAUGUCAACAUGAACGCCAUACAAAUAGUAUCUCCAGAUCUUUAACGCAUGGACAACUGCAGCCAACUCUAAGUAGUGGUCGGAUAAUUCUUCUGAUGUUUCCUCAGCUGCCUUGAAGCAUAUGCGAUAACCUUACCAUGUUACAUUAGAACACAUCCCAACCCAACACUAGAAGCAUUGCAGUACACCGCAUAGCCCUCUUAACCCUCUAGCAAUGCUAGAACUGGUGCUGAUGUCAACCUGUCAUUCAACUCCUGGAAACUAUGCUCGCAAGCCUCAGUCCAUUGGAACUUAGCUGCUUUUUGAGUCAGCUUCAAUAGUGGUGCUGAAAGUGAAGAAAACUCCUCUACAAACCUUCUGUAUUACCCAGCUAAUCCUAAGAAACUACAAACCUUAGUCGGAGUCAUGGGUCUAGGCUAAGUCUUUACAGCCUCAAUCUUUUGUGUAUCAACCAUAAUGCCUGCAUCUGGUACAAUAUGGCCUAGGAAAGCCACAGAGCUCAACCAGAACUCAUACUUAGAGAACUUUGCGUAAAGUUCCUGCUCUCGAAGAACCUGAAGGACUGCUCGCAAAUGAUCUGCCUGCUCUUUUUUGAAUGCUAAUAGACCAAAAUAACAUCAAUAAAUACAAUCACAAACAUAUCUAGAUACGGAUGAAUAUACUAUUCAUCAGGUCCAUAAAAACUGCCGGGGCAUUGAUCAAUCCAAAAGACAUAACUAAAAACUCAAAAUGCCCAUAUCUAGUUCUAAAAGUUGUCUUCGGAACAUCUUUCUCUUGAACUCGUACCUGAUGGUACCCUGCUCUCAAAUCAACCUUCGAUAAGUACUUAGCACCUUGUAAUUAAUCAAACAAGUCAUCGAUCCUCGGAAGGGGAUAGCUGUUCUUUAUAGUAGCCUUGUUCAGCUGUCGAUAAUCGAUACACAUCCUCAGCGAGCCAUCUUUUUUUCUCACAAAUAAUACUGGUGCACCCCAUGAUGAAACACUGGCCUACUGGCCUGAUAAAUCCUUUAUCAAGCAAAUCUUUCAGCUGAUCAUUCAACUCCUUCAGCUCAGCAGGAGCCAUUUUAUAUGGAGGGAUAGAUAUGUGUUGUGUACCUAGUAGAAUAUCGAUAGAAAAAUCAAUUUCCUAUUCUGGAGGGAUACCAGGAAGCUCGUCUGGAAAUAUAUCUAGAAACUCAUUAACUACCGGAAUAGACUGAAGAGUCGGUGGUUUUGCAUCUAUAUCAUGAACGCGAACAAAAUGAUAAAUACAACCCUUAGUAAUCAUCCUCCUCGCUUUAAGAUAGGAAAUAAACCUACCUUUCUGUGUUGUUGUAUCGCAUUUCCAUUCCAGAAUUGCCUCUCUUAGAAAGUUGACUCUAACAUUUUUUGUCCGACACUUAACAUAAGCAUAACAAGACGCUAACCAGUCCAUACCCAUAAUGACGUCAAAAUCGACCAUCUCUAACUCUACCAGGUCUACAGAGGUCUGACAGUCGAUAAUUUCUACCGUGCAACCUCGAUAGACUCUCCUGCAAUAAUAGACUCAUCAAUUGGUGUAGAUACAAUAAAGGGUUAAUUUAAUGACUCUUUUACUAUACACAACUUCCCCGUAAUAAAUGGGGUAACAUAAGAUAGAGUAGAUCCAGGAUCUAUCAAAGCAUAAACACAAUGAGAGAAAACAAUUAAUGCACCUAUCACAACAUCUGGUGAUGACUCUGAGACCUGUCGGCCGGUUAGUGAAUAUGUACGGUUCUGGCCACUACCAGAACUAGAUGCUUCCUCUCUACCUCCGCAUUUGCCUCUACCUACUGAAGUUUAGGGUCCACGCCCUGUAGGCUGUGCUGAGGAGGAGGAACCUACUACUGACCCGGUCGACUGACCUAUACCACCCUGACCUAUGGUCGGGAAAUUCCUCCACAUAUGCCCCUGCUAUCCACAAGAAUAAAAACCUGUGGAACCAUUCCUGCACUUCCCGAAAUGCAUCCUACCGUAAGUAGCGCAACGCGGUGGUGCUGUCCUAGCCUGGCCUGAACCCCUCUGCUGCUGAGAGCCUGAUGCUUGUGAACCCUCACCUAGGCUUGACUGUCCCUGGAACUACUGUGGUGGAGCUCUAGGUGGCCUACUAGAAUAUUAGGGUCUGGGAGCACCCUAAAAAUCUCCCGGUGAACCAGCAGGCCUAUUCUUUUUUUGUCUCUCUAUUGACCCUCUCACUCAUAUAAUGUAGAUGUCGGCGAUCCUCUAUUACUUGUGCAAAGGCCAGAAUUCGCAAGAUAUCCAUAUUAUCAUUUAGUGCAGCGGUAGAACAAGUGCCGAUAUAGUCUGAGUCAAGCCCUCCCACAAAUCUACGCACCCUAUCGUGCAUCGUAUCAACAAAUGUUGGUGCAUAUCUAGCCAAUGAAUCAAAUCUCAGCAUGUACACUCAGACACUCAUGUUGUUGUUAUACCCCAUUUUAACUCAAAGUCAAAAUGUGUACAACAUAUUGGUGAUUUCCAAAUUAUUCACAAACUUGAGAAGUCGCCACCUAAUUAUUAUGGUGAAUUAGGGCACCUAUAACGAUUAAAGUCUAUCGUCUAAAGUUAACUUCAUUUUAAGGUAUGCUAAACAUGAGAUUCUAGGUAAGAGUUGUAGUUAUCCUAAAGGGAAGGGGUAAGUCAUCUUUUAAGAUUCGUUAAAGACGGUUACCGGUCAAACUUAGGUUAAUUAAUUAAACUAAAAAUUAGUGCUAAAGAAUUUGAAAAAAUCAUAAGUUGGAAAACAUUUUAACAUUAAAAAAAAACUCUUUUAUAUUUUGAAAGAAUUAACUUGCAUUUUUCUUUUUUGAAAACAAUAGAUAAUCACUUGUUAAGAAUGACAAUUGUUUGUACAAAAUUUGAUACCAAAAUGUAUACUAAAGAAAUAUGUUUGUCCAUGAAGUUAAUAUGCAUGCCUUUAAAAAGCAUUGUUUACACCUUGAAAUCGAUAACACAUUCUACACUUGAAAGACUCUUUCGACUUUAAAAAAAAUGACAGAGCUUUUCUAAAACAAAAUCAUUUGUUUAAAGUAACUUUAUUUUAUUCAAAAUUUAUUGCUAAAGAUCUGAAAAUAAUAAUGAUAAAAAUAUUUGUUUUUUGCAGAAGCAUUGUAAGGAAUUAAAAACUCCUUUAAGACAUUUGUUGUCAAAAAAAAAAAAAUCAUUGAAAAGUUUACCGAUGUCAAAAUUUAUUGCUAAAGAUCUGAAAAUAAUAAUGAUAAAAAUAUUUGUUUUUUGCAGAAGCAUUGUAAGGAAUUAAAAACUCCUUUAAGACAUUUGUUGUCAAAAAAAAAAAAUCAAUGAAAAGCUUACCAAUUUUCAACCAAAGAAAAACUUAAAAGCCUAAUGGAGACAUUUGACAUCCUUAAAAGUUCUUUCUUUUUUAUGACCGACACUAAAGACUUGCAAAAACCAAAAAAAAAAACUCUCUGUUAACGAAAAAAUAACCCACGACAAGCAAUCAAGGAGCAACAAAUAUCACAUGACAAAUGCUCACAAAUGUCACUUAAGGUAAAGCGAACAAAAGAUGACUAAAAAUUAUAAAAGAACACUUUUCCAGAUUUCCUUGUUGGAUGAGUUUUGAGGAUGUAAGAGGCACAAAAAUGUGAGAGGAUGUCGUUUUUAAUGUCUAAUGGCGGUGAGAGUCUUUCAUGAAGACUCCAUGUAGCUCCUAUUGCGGGGUAAUGAAUGGACGCUUGCGGUCGCCAAAUCACACUCAAACUCAACUACGCUUAGGUUCGAGAUUUUCGCAAAGAGAGUUGAAUACUUUGAGCUUUUAGAAAAUCAAAUUAAUGCAAAGGAAAACUAAAGUUUCAAGAGAAGAAGUCGUCAUUCGCUGUGCAGGGAUGAAGAAAAUUUAUUAAGAAAAUUUCCGCAAACAAAAAUCGUCUACCCCAAAAUGAUUGAAAGAGCAAGUAUUUUUUCAAAACUUAAAGCUUCUAGGCUUAGCAUUUGGGCGGGAUUUUUUCCAGAAUAGAGUCAAGAGACCCGUUUGAAUUUGAACGUUGCGAUUUGGAUGGGCUUGGUCCUUCAUGUGAUUGACAAGAUUGUAUCACGAAAAUAGGGUAGCUAAACUCGGCUCUAUGAUUAAAGAAUAGUGGAGUUUGUUGAAAAGAGGAAAAGGAUAGAAAGUAGAGGAAGAGGCGGAGGUGAUCUGCUGCUACGCUUGCUACUGUAGGGUUUAAAAAGAAGUUUAGGCUGGUGCUAAAUUUUCUUUGUGGGCUGAUCUGAAAGUUCCGUUGGGCCAUAUUUUGGAGCGGAUUUGGGCUCGUUUUUCUGGCCAAUUUUGGGCUGAAUUGGAAGGUCUUUUCUCUUCUUUCUUUGUAUUAUUUUGGGCUUCUAACUUAAUAAUUAAUACAAUAUAUAUUAUGAUAUGAUAACAACUAAAAAUUUACAUGAUAAAAAUAUCGCUAAUAUAUAUACAAAAUAUUGACUUAUAAUUAACUUAAUAAGUACGAAACUAGAAAUAAGGUGACGACAAUUGAUUAUUUAAGAAAAGAGGUGUAAAAAGUGAUAAUAAUCAUUUCAACAAUAAAACCUAUAAUUUUAGUAGAUAAAUAGUCGUAAUAGUAAAAAUAGUUGUGAAAAAGUUCAUUUGAUACAUUAUUAAUUUAGAAGCUCGAAAAUGAUAAAUUAGAAGAAAGGAGGGUCAAAAUUGGGUGUCAACAACUUGUCCCUCUUUGACCAAAGAUGAUGUAAGAGUUUUUGGGCAAAGAAGUUGACGUAGAAGCCAAUUUUGUCCCGAACAACAAAUACGACCUUAGGAGAGCAUGAGACAAUAUGAGCAUGGGAUAACUGAUGAGGUAGAGGAUUUUGAGAACAACGUAGUCGCAAGCUUACAACAGUUUCCCCAAUAUUGAAUUAUGAUGUUACUAGGUAUUGUGAUCGAGAAGAGUAUUUGGGAGUGGAGUCGAGCAGAGUUCGAGGUGGACCUUUGAUCUUUGUUGGAAAGCUAAACUUUCCCAAAAAAUUGCCCCAGUUCACUGCUUAGAUAAGGUUCCACAUUGCAUUGUGUCCCUUGUUGCUGCAUGUAGAUUGUGCUUUCUGCCAAAUCUUUACAAAAUUGUUAGGAAAUUAUAUAAAGCUUGAAAUAUAUAUAAAAAAAACAUCUUAUGAAAAAUGUCAUAAGAAAGAUGCGUCAUUUCUGAAUUAAUAUUCAAGAUGCGAUUAAUAGAGUAUAUUGCAUUUUCUUGAAUCAUAAAUAAUUGCUUCAGAUUAUGCGGCUGCAAAGUCUCGUUAGUAAAAGAGACAUAUAUAUAUGUAACUUAAUUUUUCAAGAAAUUUAAAAUGCUUGCAGUGCAUAAUAAAAAUAAUUAAGACAUUGCGCAAUAUCUCCUUAGAGACUGCUAAGCUUUCAAGAAAUUUAAAAGAUAGCAUGCAUUGCUCAUAUGUAUAAAAUGAAUAAUUAAGGCAUUACAAGAUGUCUCAUUAGAGACUAAUAUGCUUUUCAAGAAAUUUAAAAGAUAGCAUGCAGUGCAUAUCUAUAUUUAAAAAUAAAUAAAUAAUUAGAGCAUUGCGAGAUGCCUCAUUAGACACAGAUGAGAUUAAAAUGUCUUAUUGGAGGGCAGACUAACCCAACAUGUCCUAUUUGAGGGCAGUUGAACUCGAUAUCUUCUAUUUUAGGGUGAAUGAACCCAAAGUAUCCUAUUUUAGGGUGGAAGGACCCAAUGUAUCCUAUUUUACGGUGGAAGAACCCAAUGUAUCCUAUUUUAGGGUGGAAGAACCCGAUAUAUCCUAUUUUAGGGUGGAAGAACCUGUUAUAUCCUAUUAGAGGGUGGAAGAACCCGAUAUAUCCUAUUUUAGGGUGGAAGAACCUGAUAUAUCUUAUUUUCAGGUGGAAGAACCCGAUAUAUCCUUUUAGAGGGCGGAAGAACCCGAUGUAUCCUAUUAGAGGGUGGAAAAACCCGAUAUAUCCUAUUGGAGGGUGGAAGAACCCGAUGUAUCCUAUUUGAGGGUCGAAGAAUCCAAUAUGUCCUAUUUUAGGGUGGACUAACCCAAUAUAUGGUAUUUGAGGGUGGUAGAACUCGAUAUAUCCUAUUAGAGGGUGGAAAACCCCAACAUAUCCUAUUAGAGGGUGGAAGAACCCGAUAUAUCCUAUUAGAGGGUGGAAAAAGCCAAUAUGCGGUGCAAACUUACAAAUAUAAAUUUUGGUGCAAUGCGAUGAGCUUGGUGCGAUUUCUUUGCGGUAACAAACAUUCAGAAUCUAGUAUGAAGAACUUGUUGCAGUGCCUUUGCAGUAUUGAAUAAUUAAGGUACGGUGCCUAGUGCAAUACUUCGCAAUAAUGCAUAUGUUGCCCAUAACUUAGGAGCUUCAAUUUCAAUGAAAGUUUGCUGCUUAUAAAUUCUGCACUCAAAGAAAAAUUAUGAAUUUCAAAUUUGAUUCUAGUUGAUGUUGCACCAUCUGAAUCUUGCAAAUUUUGUCUUGAUGUUGAGCCUUGUGGUGUUAUCAUUCAAGGAUAACAAAAAUUCAACCUCUACAUUACUCAAAGAAAACUUGUUAGUAUAAAAGAAAAUGGCCUUGCAUUGAACCAUGAAGCUUUUGCUUUGAAUCUGCAUUUCUUGUUGCUAUGGCAUUGAAGCGACUUGAUGAUGUGGAUAUGGCUUGUGAUCUCAACUUCUGCCUUUUCAAAUAAUUAUAGGCCAUCUAUAAAGUUGUCCCAGUCUUUUCUCUUGGGAGAGAAUGGAAUUUUAUUAUGUUGAGAUCGAACCCAGAAUAGGCGCCUACUUAUCCCGCUAUUAACAGGAAUCAGGUCAUACAUAGUUCAUUACAAAAGGGUAGAAAGGAUUGUAAAAGGGUAUAUAUUUCUUAAAAAGGAAAAGUUGCAGAGAUAAUGUCUUUGUUAGUCUUCUUGACUAGUUGCAUGCUUUCUUUUCAACUGCUUUGGUGCCAAUUUCAAUGGAUCACCCUUAACAACAAUUGUGCUUAUGAUAUUGCCAUUACUGGUUGAAGGAUAUAUUUGUAGCUUUAUCUUGCCACUUUCAAUCAUGCUUUGAAUCUUGAAUUUUAUGGCAGGACAACCUUCUGUAUCAUGUCCCUGAAUGUUCGAGUGGUAAGCACAAUUCUUGGUGGAUCAAAGUGUUUAGGUGUAUACUCAGGAAUGAAUCCUUUUCUUGAUUGCAGAUGCCCAUUUGCUCUCAAUCUCUCAAAUAGAUGCAUAUGGCUCAACCAAAGGAGUGAAGGAGAAAUGUUUCACCUUCUUCUGGUGGUCACAAGCUAGAUUGUGUUUGGUGCAACUGUUGUUUGCAAGGAUGGUGGAGACGUGCAUUGCAGUAGUUGGAAGUAGCAUGAGAUUGCAAAAAUUGAUCACUUGGAUAGCAUUGCAGCUGUUCCAUAGUCAUGAAAAUUGGGUUGUUUUCUCUCAUCAGAUUUACAAGUAUUUUCGCUUGGAAGGUUUGUUGGACAACUUUUGUUGCUGAGUUGCUUACAAUUCUUCCUCCUUGAAUAUUAUUUUCUAUAACAUCUCGCACCUAGAAACGACUAUAAAGAGUUUAAAAUAUGAAAAUAUUGAUUUUUGGAAAGAAUAAGGAAAGCUGAAAAUUUUGUCUAAGUUAAGAAAGUGAGUUUUGGCCAUUUUCAAACGGCCAUAACUCCUAGCUCAGGAUGAGUUAGGAGCAGAUCUUGAUAUGGUUGGAAAUCCCUUGUAGAGAUCUUUCCAACGCAGCCAAGUUUGUGCGAUUUUGACAACGUAUGAGUGAGUUAUGCCCUUCAGAAGUUGGGCUGUUGGAUUGAGGAAAGUCCAAAUCUGGAUUUAAGGAAGGGCAAACUAGUCUUUUCUCUAAUUAAUUUCCUAAUUUAUUUUUAGGGGUUUAUUGGGGUAAAAACAGAACUUAAUUCAGUUUUGGAAAUUAGAAUACGCUUAGGGCUUGGAGAAAAGAGAAAAGAAGAAAGGGAGAAAAGCCAAGAUUUCGCCAAGAACGUCAAGCGUUUGGAGUGGAAUUCGUCGGGCACGUCCCCUGUAAAAGUAUGUGAGAUCUUUUCGUGUUGGGUUAGUUCACCCACACACCACUUGUUUCAAUUCAGUGAUUUGGUGUUGUUUACUUGUUAAGAAGUGAAGUUCUUGAAGAACAUUGUUGAAUUCUUGUUGGUUGAUUGUGAUUGCCUAUUGUUGAUUUAACUCGUGUUUUCGGGUUGUUUUUCGAGUUAAAUCUAUUGGGUAUUGAGGGUACUAAUGUGUAACGACCCGAGAGCACCCCCUAGUCGUAACAUGGCGUACUCGACCCCGAAUGGAUCUCAUACAAGCCACAUAGUCAUUCAUUGCAUUCAAUAAUGAAAAUGGUGCAGAAGCAAAAACUAAUUUAAAACCCAAACAUUCAAACUUCAUUAAAACAACUUUAAAAAGACAUAGCGGAAGUCUAAGUCUCACAUGGCCAUCUUAGACACAAUCUCAAAACAUAAUUAGGGACACAACCCCUUACAAUCAAAACAAUAACUAAAAGUGUCCAUUACAUGAACAAAAGAAACUUAAAAGUCUUGUCCUCGAAUCCAUGAGGACAUACUAAGUCUUGGAGGAAGGCAAUCCAACACUUCAAACUAGCUAGGAGGAAUCACUUGCCGGAACCUACACUUGUAGUAAAAAUAUGAAGAAUAUGGAUUAGUACACAGAAAUGUACUAAGUAUGAUGACUAUGCAAAACAUGCCUAAAAAAGGACUUUUUGGUUAGAAACCAUGCAUUAUGCCACUUUUCGAAAUAUCAUGAACAAUUGCAUAAAAGACAUACAAGACAAGCCUAAUCAUCAUAUAAGUCACAAUACCACACUUUAACAAUAUCAACAUGAAAACCUUCACCUUUACCUUGGACCUUCACCUCAAGCAACCCUUAUGCUAUACCUUGUGCAAUGGAUGGAUAGCGUCCCAUACCACCAUCCAUACUAGUACCACAUUUAGGUCACCUAAAGUAAACUCAUCAUUCCUUUCUUUUCACCUUUGCACAAUAUUCAUACAAAAGCGAUAUAUCAUUUAAUAAGGUAUAACAAGGGAAAAUAAUUCAUAAUAUAACCCAAGUAUAGCAUGCAUAACAAAUUAAGCAUUUGAGAGCCAACAUUCUUUAAUAACCUUAUCUAGGGCACAUUCAUGUCACAGUCAUUAGGAUUUAGAGAAACUCACUAUGACCCUCUCCAAGCCUACUCGUGCAAUGUAUAGGUAGCAUCCCAUACUACUACCUACACUUCGUAGAACCUGUCAAGAAACCAUAAUGAAAUCUCACAUGAUGGGAAGUAAGCAUUAACCGACAUAGACCAUGAGAGCUUGUCAUGGAAUCCGGUGUCAUAAGUCCCCACACCGUAAAGAGGUGGUCUACUUGCCUAAGGAAGACCGGUAUAUAGCUUAAUGGAUCCACUAGCUACCUAUGCGGGCACAUAGUUUAUGGGAUAAGGUAGACGAUCAUUGAAACUCAUGCCUAACCAUUGGGGGAGUUUCCAUCUAACCAAAUCCGCUCGGUGCUUAGCCUACAUUCCCAUAGAAUAGUUCAUUACUUUGACAUCAUCACACAUGAAAGGGUGCCAUAAGCCUACCGAUUCAAGGUACAUUUAGGAAAGCUCAUUAACUCCACUUGAAAGGGUGCCAUGGGCCUGCCGAUUCAAGUCUCAUCAUUAACCUUUAUGGAAAGGUGCCAUAGGCCUACCGAAUCCAAGGUUCAUUACUUAUCAUUAAUGGAAGGGUGCCAUUAGCCUACCGAUCCAAGGAUUCAACAAUCAACAAUAUAAUCAUUUAUACAAGAAAAGGAUGCACAAGUUCUACCAAUUCGAGACAUACAAUAUAUAUUGAAGAAUCUUUCAUAUCCUAUCAUCAACAUUCAUGAGUGUCAAAUUGAGAAAAAACCUUUCAAUAAUAACACAUUUAUAGUCAUAACAUGAUCUCAUUAGCUCCAUUGAAUUCCCAUUCAUACAAUGUCAUGAUAACACUUCAAUUUCUCAUACUAUGCCUUCAAGGACAUGGUCACAAUGUACAUAACAAGUAAACACCUCCACCUUUCAAGUGGAUCAACCUCAAGUUAACAAUUCUAAUUCAACAAGUAGCUUCUCAUAUCUUUUCCUUCAAGGCCAUAAACUUCACAUACCAAUAUACCAACAAUACACCAUAAGGUAAGCAUGGUAAUGACAUACUUCAACAAUCUAAAGCCAUUUAAACAAGUUCUAUUCAUAUACCCCCACUUCAUAAAGGCACAAACUAGGAAUAGAGAGAAAUUAUGGGUUCAUAGAGUAUUUUCAUCUUAAAUCACCAAUACAACAACAAUAUAACAACAAGAUGCCAUUAGAAGCCUUUUAAAACCAUUUGGUGAAAGAACCCAUGAGAUUGAGUAAAACCCUAGGUUUUCAUAAACUUGAAAUCUUUAAAAGUUUACUUUUAAGUUGACUCUAGGGUGAAAGCUAACCCUAGAUGAAUGGUCACCAUACCUUUGUUAAGACUUCCUAAGAAAUUUAAUGAAGAAAUCCUUGAAUCCAAAACCCUAGCUCCCACUCCUUCUUCUACCUUGAGUUAGAGAGAAAUAUAGAGAGAGAGAACUUUGGGAUUUGAUUUGGGGAAAAAUAAUAAGUGAGUGACUUGUUUAAAAAACUUAAAACCUUAUAUAAUUAUCAUGUAAAUCAUUUAAAACAACCCCACAUAAUAAAACAAUUAAAAUGAAAUUACCAAAAACCCCCAACUUGAGGCUACCCGUCAGGGACCACGCCCAUCUAAACGGGUCGUGAGGGGCACCACGGCUCGUUGUGGUGCCCGUGAUCCUUGAGGUAGUGUGCCUCCCAUCCUUGCCAAGCCCUCCAAGACCAAGACAAGUCCACGGAAGCUCCCACGAUCCGUGGUUCACACCACGAGUCGUGGUGAAGCUCGUGGUCAUGGGGCAGCGCCUAGGCAAAGUUGCCUUGCCUCCCUUGAGCCUAAGUGAACUCCAAGUUCGCUUUCACGGACCGUCUAGGGCACUACGGCUCGUGGUGGUGCCCGUGAACUAAGGGACAGUAUCUCCCUCAACUUGCAACAUCUCCCACCAAGUUAAGGCAAACCCUACGAUCCUUCCCACGGCCCGUGGUCAUUACCACGAGUCGUGAAGUGGCUCGUGAAGGGGUGCCUUGGCUUGGCACCAAACUUGAGCAUGCUGCCUUGUCACCACGGGUCAUGAAGACCCUCGUGGUCUAGGGAGGCAGUAGUUAGGACUAGUUUUAGGUAGCCUAGGUUCCCAAACCAUGGCCUACACCUAAAACCCUUAGCACUUGCCCUUAACUCAUGACAUUAACCCCACAGUAAGGCUCUAGUUUAACCUAUCAUUUUCCGAGUCUUUACAUAAUGGUCCUAAGUGUUUGGGGAAAGAACCAUAGAAGUUUAGAGGGUUUUACAGAUGAAAAACGAAGGAGAAAAAUUGGAGUUUGCUGGGCAAGGGGUUGGGGCGCCGCGCCUCUCAGAGCGGUCCACUUCAGAGUCUGAAGUUUGGCCUCUGAGGCGACGCGCCAGCUAGAGCGCCACAACUUCACCUCUGAAGUUUGUGCUCUAGCACCCCACGCCUCUCAGAGCGCCAAGGACACCAGUGCACCCCAUCCCUCCCCCAUCUUUUCGUACUUGUUCCUAAGCGAUGUACCUAUGUUUUCUAAGUUGAUUCCAACACUCUAAGGUACAUUUAAAUAUAAUGAAAUCAUCCAUAAACAUGAGAUCAUGAACCUUGAAUCCAUAAUCCAAUUCAAAGGAAAGUUAAGAUCAAAGUCAAAGAAGUUAAGAGUCAAGUCUAGAAGUUAAGAAGCAAGUCAAAGAAAAGUUUCUUAAAGUUUUCAAAGAGUCUUUAACAAUGUUUUAAAUUCAUUUUAAGACUCAAGUUUUCAAGUUAAGGAAAGAGUAAAGAGUGGAGUUCAUUCCUCCAAAAAGCUAUUAGGGAACUAAGUAUUCCCAAAGAAGUUUAUAAAUAUUUUCACAUUGAGCAAGAAAGGGGAACAUCGAUUUCAAGAGAGCUUUUAAGCUAAGUUUUGAGCAAUUACCUCAAUUCAAAGAAAGAGUUUUGUUUUUACAAACAUACGAGUUAAGUAUAUUUUUGGAGUAGUAUUGAGCACCGAUACGCGGAUGCGAGUUCAUAUUAGCUCAAGUCUCCAUAAACCAUGUAGUCAUCAUGGGUAGUAAAGGAUCAUACUUUUAGAUGACACCUUAAGAUGCUUUUAGCAUAGACUAGUGGAUCCACUAAGUUAAACGUUCUAUAUGACGGCAAAGUAUAGGAAAGUUCUGGCAGCGUGGGCAAGACGUUAUAUCACCACUUAGGCUCAUAGUGGUGGUUGUCGGUUAGAUAGUCUCCCACAAAAGUUAUAUUACUUUAUAUAUAUAUAUAUNNNNNNAUUCCUUCUUACUCUUUUCAAGAUUAAGUUGUUGUUUAGCAUUCCAACUCGCAUACUCGUACAUUCAAUGUACUGAUGCCAGUUGGCUUGCAUCGUCUUAUGAUGCAGACGCAGGUAACCAGGAUUAGCAUCCAGCACCUCGUUGAUCCAGUUGAACACUCAGAGUCAGUGGUGAGCCUCUUUGCAUUCCAGAGGACUCUUUUAUUCGCUUUCUAGUUUAGUUUAUUAGGAUGCUGAGGGGUUUUGUCUCAACAUCCAUCUCAGUUGUUUAGAGGCUUCAUAGACAGUUAGUAGUUCAAUUGUCUUUACAUUAUCAUUCAGAUGUUGUUUGAAGACUGAGUUGUCAUUUUGGCUAAACUAUUAUUUCUUAAGUUGUGUAUGAGUUAUAUUUUCUUAUGUUUAAGUCUUCCGCUGAGUUAAGUAAGCUAGGACAAGGGUUCGCUUGAGGCCAGCAAUGGCCUUCGAGUGCCAGCCACGUCCAGGAUGUAGGCUCGGGUCGUGACAUUUUCAAUCUCUUUGCCAACCUUAAUCAAAUAAGAGAAGUUGUGUGCACAAGUUCCAAGCAGCUUUUCAUAAUAUAGCCCUUCUUGAACAUGGAUGAAGGUUGAGAUGAAUUCCUCUUCGGAUAAUGAAGGAUGCAUUUUUGAAGCUUCUAACCUCCAUCGUAUGGCAUAUUCUUGAAAAGAUUCAUGCGACAAUUUCUUCAGUUUGAGUAAAUUGGCUAUAUGCAAUUCAUCUCCAUUAUUGAACUCAUAUUGCUUUACACAGUUACGGGCCAUAUCUUUCCAUGUAUGCCAUUUGCUAAAAUCUUGCUUAGUGUACCAAGCAACUGCCAAUCCUGAUAAACUUUGAAUGAAUAAUCUCAUUCGUAUGGCUUCAACAUGCCCAAUACUAGCUAAUCUGCUGCAAUAGUCCUUUAAGUGAGCGACGGGAUUUCCUUUCCCGUUGUAAGUGUUGAGCUUAGGUAGCGUGUACCUUGGUGGAAGUUCAACAUUUGGAUGCACACAUAAAUUCUCAUACUUUAAACUCUGACAAUUCCUUGAGCGUAACUAUUCAUCAAAGGCUUCUCUCAGAUUGUGGAGUUCUUUUCCCAAAUCUUCAUGGAAAAUUGACUGAUUAUCCUUCUCACGUCUAGAAUAUAGAUGAGCUGCUAAUUGGUUAUGCUUGUUUUCUUUGCAGGGAAAUAAAAUUGUGGGAGGAUGGAUAUUUGGCGUCAUAGUGACUUGAAAGUUAUUGGGAUUGAUAGUGUAUAUUGAGGGCAUUUGUGGAGAGAUUAUAUAGGUAGAAGUUAGGCGAGGAGAUAUGGUUAAACAAAUAUUCUGAGUUGAGCUGGAAGCUUUAGUAGUGAUAGGAAGAAGGCUAAAUGUAGUUUCCAAAUUGAUCAAAUUGUUUCUUCGAGCCACAUUCUUCUCACAAUCAUCAUUUUGUUCUUGCACAAAUAUCAUGCCAUUGUUGAAUGCUUUCAAUUUCUCUGCCAUUAUAAUUUCGUCCUUAAUGCAGAUUCGCCGCCAAAAUAGAGUUCAAUGUUAGGCAACCUCUAAAGAAGAAACAAAACUAUAAAAACAAAAAUAAAUUAUUAGUGCAUGAGAAUAUAUGAAAUAAAUGCAUAAAUAAUAAAUAUUAGAUAAAAUAGACUAUGCAUGUGAUUUUGUAAAAUAAGAAUUUUAGACUGGAGGCAAAGAUUUAAGUCUAAGGCGAGUGGACGAGAGAGACGUAUUGGCUAAUAGGCUCUAACGCUAAAAUGGAAGGAAAGAGAAUUUGAUUUGGAGAAAGGUUUACAUAUGUCGAGCAUCAAAUUCUUUCUUCAACUUGAUCCCUAUCCUUUGCAAAUUUUGGCAUGCUUCCAAAAAUUAUCUCAAUUGCAUGUCAAAAAUUAUGCCCCAGCUUCAUUCCCCUUCUCAUAGAAAUACUAAAAUUUUAUAAUAAACCGAUCGGGCCUUAUAUAGGCUGCCUACGUAUCCACCAAGGAAAUCAGGUCGAACGUAGUUCCAAUUACAAGAAAGAGAUACACUAAAAUUUCUAAAUAAAUAUGACCGAGUCCUUAUAUGGGUUGCCUACGUAUCCACCAAGGAAAUCAGGUCAAGCGUAGUUUGCCUUACAUAAAAAGAAAUUUAAAACAUACAAAUAAUUGAUCAUUUAGGCUCUCAAAAAUACAUAAUUGUUUUCAAAAGAUGAUACACAAAAACUAAUUGUCUUGCUUUAUGCCUCUUAAAAGUCAUUUUUUGAGAAAGCCCUCAUACGCCUAAUGGUUGUUCUGAAUGAAACCAUUCUUGGUACUUCGCUCGGCUAUAUCAUAAGUGCAUGCAGUAGAUACCUGAAACGGUAAAUUUGGUGCAAUAAUCCUUGGUACAACAGUUGCUUGACUGUGAGAAGGAAUUUGACUGAUAGAUUGUGGAUAAAUCGCUCAAUUAUGACUUGACAUCGGCAUGACGGUCGAGAGUUGAUGCCAAACAAACUUAGGGUGAGCUACCCGUCGUUGAAUGAUCGUGCCACUAUCCAAUAGACUUUGGAUCUCUUCUUUUAAUCACCGGCACUCAUCAGUAGUGUGACCUAACAUGCCUGGAAAGCACCUUGUUUGGCUGGGUUAAAAGGAUGCAAAGGAAUUUCACGAGGCUUUGGUUGCAAAAUUCCUAAUGAUCUCAACUUUUCGAAUAUAAAUGAAAUUAGUUCACUCAAAGGGAUGAAAGUUUGAGCUUUUCUCGCUUCAGGCACUAGUGGAGAAACAUUUGGUGCUUCAGUGACAAUUGUCUUCCCUUUAUCCCUAGAUUGUAGCUCAUUCGAACAAUAAUGCCCCAAAGUUUAUUUUGCUACUUUGUUUUGAGAUUCAUGUCCUUUCAUUCCCUCAGGAGACUCUAUAGACUUCCUUUUCAACAAACCACACCCUUUAGAUGCGCUAUUAGGAGGCCUAUAUUGCUUAAUAAAAUCUUUGGUCAAAUCGACCCAAGAGAGCCAUUUCCUUGUGUCUUGGUUUGCAUACCACAUCAAGGCUGGCCCUGUAAGCGUCCUAAUAAAAAGUAUAAUAUUAAACUCAUUGCCUUUCCCUAUGCUUGCUAACCAAUCAAGAUAUGCCUUUAUAUGGUUCUGGGGAAGACCUGUCCUAUCAUACAUUAGAAUAUCAACAAGGUUAUAAUGUGUGUCGUUCUCAUUUUCCUUCUCAACCAAAUUUGUCCCAAGUUGUGGAGCAAGCUCAUUUGUGAAGAAAAUUUGGUUAGACUCGGCAUUAAAAUGUCUUUGAUCAUUUUCUCCAUCUUUGCUAGUUUCACUUGAAUCGUCAAAUGCCUCAUUUUGUGGAAGUGGAUGCAUGUCUAAAAAGUGUUGAGUAUUACAAUCAAAGUUGGGAUAUCCAGUUGCACGAAUAGGAGAGUAUCCCUCUAGAUCUUCAUCGGAGGAGUCCCUAAAGUUGUAAUCCAAUGAAUUUUCAUUGGAAGAGUUCUUAAGAUCGGCUAUCAUUUCCUUGAUGCCAUCAAUUUCUUGUUCCAUUUUUGCCACUUUUCCCUCAAGCUUAGCAAUUUUAUCCCGCUAUGACUCGGCUUCUUCACAGUUAAACUCGUCUUUAACUAAGUCAAUCACAAUUCGAUCGGCCAUGUUUUCCUUGAGUUUGUUUGUCCCUUUGAUAUUCAACUUAAGUCAACCUUUGAAAGGAAAAAUGAAAUAUUUGGUAAGCGUGGAGUAAGUAUGCGAAAGGUCAAGAGUAGGGCCGCUUGAUCACUCCAUCUACUUUUAAAGUAUACGACUUAGCCAUUCAUUGCGUCUUGAGCCACACCGUCCUCUAGCCCUGCCGAGCAUUUAAAAACCAACGAGAUCUGGUCCUAUAAGGAAUACUAUUUAAGAAAAUAAACAAAUAAUAAUAAACCAAUUUGAUGGAAAAAACUCGAGAUUAAGGAAAUUAUGGUUAAUCGAGCACACGAGAGAUGGAAUUGGAAGGUUGAAUGACCUUAAACUCUAUUUUAGUAUUUGGGGAUUAAAAAUUGUCAAGGAUGAAGAAAAUGUCAAACAAAUGAAAAACCUUUGACAUUUCUCUCGACUUGCGUGCCGAUACUUGGAAUUAGUGCGUAAAAAUAAAUAUUGACAACCCCUAAUAAAAAUAGCACGGCUAUUUUGAAUUGAAGAAGUGUUGCUCUUGAUGGAGAAAAUUGAACAAAUAUCAACAAGUGCUAUUUGGUAGAUCGCGCGAAUCUACCAAUUUAAGAAGCAACAAAUAUGUGAAAAAUGAAAGAAAUUGAAAGUAAAAGUAAAAGCUCCAUACGUAGAUCGAAUGCCAAAUGGAUUCUACGAAAUGCGGAACUAGUGAAAAAAAAGGCUUUUCUCGAUAGAAAGCUAAGAUUGUACCCGUAAAGGAGGGACUUGAAAAAGGUCGAGAAGGUAAAGAUUUAUAAGAGUGAAUUUUGGCAUGGCUCUAUAAAGUUUUAACGGGAAAAAAAUAUCACACCUAAUGAAUGAUAAACAAUUAUGCCAAUUUUUUAAAAAGUAAGAAGAAAAUUUUUAAAGCAAGUCGCGGAUACGAAUAUUGAGAGGAUCGGAGGAAGGAAAAUAGUUUUUAAAUUUUAAAGCAAGAAAGUGAUUUUUUUUGUAAGAUAUAAACCUAAGAAAAUUUUAAAACAAGGUCAAUAAAAAAAAUUACGCAAUCCUAUGAUGAUUAUGAGCCUAAUUGAUGCUUUAGAAUUGUAAAAAUGCACUAAGCACGAAAGAUAAAUAUAAAAAGAAAAGAUAUAUGAACAUGACAUAAGAAUUUGUAAAAAUGCAACAUGUAUCAAUUAAAGAAUAAGAUGAAGGCAAGAUAAUUUCUCUUCUGAAAAGAUAAGAAAAAAAAAACAAAGAUGAUGUUAGUAAUAAUAAAUUAAAAUCAUGGUGCAAAUGAAUUCAUAUAAGUCACAAAACAAUUAGGCAAGCAAAUAUUUAUAAAGCAUGUAACACAAAUAUAUCAAAUAAUGCGUCCUAACAUAUGGGUGGCCUCUUUAUGCCAGAGGUAGGCCUAACGCGUAUUUGAAAAAUAAAUGUGCCAAAAUAUGUCAUUCCAUUGCUCUUUAAUUAAUUAAACGAAUCUAUUCCCAAAAUUAGAUACAAAAAUAGCCUUAAGCUUUAUUACAUAUCAAGAAAAUUAAAAAUAAAGCUCUAUGUCGCUUCUACGCAUCUUCGUCUUAUGACAUGCUUGUGGUUUAAUCUCCACAGGCCAAAAAUUGACUUCAUAGUCAUCUGCAUCACAAAAGGGUUAGUAAUAUCCUCCCUCCUAAAGUUUAAUUAAUUUAGAACAAAUGGUCCAUAUUUUGGCACAACUAUUAUUCAAAUGAUGUACACAUAAAUGAUACGAGUCACUCGGGGUCGUGAACCCACUUCGACAGUUUGAUAAAGUUGACUAAUGAACUUAAUACACCAAGGAUAUUAAGCCUCUUAGGUUUAUAUGAUGCAUGUACCGCAAAAGGUAUUGAUUUAGCUCUAUCCUGGGUUGAUUAAGAGUGGGUUUACUAGACACAACGCUCCCGAGUGGACAACUCGAGUGAGAAGGCUACGCGUUCACACAGAAAAAGAUCCGGACACCCCGCGCAUAUGCCAACUCUCCUAAAUUUUGGAAUUUUGAAAGAAAUUUGAGGGUGCGCAAAACACACCUCGCGUGUACGUGUGAUAGUGUGAGUUUUCCAUAAUUUGAGGAAUUAUGAACGGAAUAACAGUUUAUAUGAAGCAGUAACAAGUAAACAAUUUAUAUAAAACAGUAACAAAUAAGCAGUUUAUAUCACAUAAACAUGAUAAGUAAAGCAUUUAGACAUUUAAAAUAAAUAAAAAACAACAAAAUUGAAACAAGUAAAAGUUAAAAACUUAAUUAUUAACCAAGGUUUGUCAUGGUUUAGAACCUAAAGUUCCCAGUAAAGUCGCCAAGCUGUUAUACCACAUUUUAACUCAAGGUCAAAAUGUGUACAACAUAUUGGUGAUUUCCAAAUUAUUCACAAACUUGAGAAGUCGCCACCUAAUUAUUAUGGUGAAUUAGGGCACCUAUAACGAUUAAAGUCUAUCGUCUAAAGUUAACUUCAUUUUAAGGUAUGCUAAACAUGAGAUUCUAGGUAAGAGUUGUAGUUAUCCUAAAGGGAAGGGGUAAGUCAUCUUUUAAGAUUCGUUAAAGACGGUUACCGGUCAAACUUAGGUUAAUUAAUUAAACUAAAAAUUAGUGCUAAAGAAUUUGAAAAAAUCAUAAGUUGGAAAACAUUUUAACAUUAAAAAAAAACUCUUUAAUAUUUUGAAAGAAUUAACUUGCAUUUCUUUUUUGAAAACAAUAGAUAAUCACUUGUUAAGAAUGACAGUUGUUUGUACAAAACUUGGUACCAAAAUGUAUACUAAAGAAAUAUGUAUGUACAUGAAGUUAAUCUGCAUGCCUUUAAAAAGCAUUGUUUACACCUUGAAAUCGAUAACAUAUUCUACACUUGAAAGACUCUUUCGAAUUUAAAAAAAACGGCAAAGCUUUAGUAAAACAAAAUCAUUUGUUUAAAGUAACUUUUUUUUAUCCAAAAUUUAUUGCUAAAGAUCUGAAAAUAAUAAUGAUAAAAAUAUUUGUUUUUCGCAGAAACAUUCUAAGGACUUAAAAACUCCUUUAAGACAUUUGUUGUCAAAAAAAAAUGGGAUAAAGGUCUGAAUAAUACCUCAACUUUGGUCGGAUUUGCUGUUGCGAUACUAAACUUUCAUGAGUAUCUAUUACCUCCCUAGACAAUUUAAUACCGUAUUUUAAACAUAUAUAUUUGCCCACAUGGACAUAAAAAAUAAUGUAAAAUUAUAAAUAGUAAUGUAUCCACGUGGGCACAUAUAUACCUUUAAAAUAACUAUUAAAUAGUUCAGGGGGUAAAAAAUACAGUAUUAAAUAGUCUAGGGAGGUAAUAGGUCCUUAUGAAAGUUUAGUAGCGCAAGAGCAAAUCCUACCAAAGUUGGGAUAUUUUUUAGACCCUUAUCCCAAAAAAAAAUCAAUGGAAAGCUUACCAAUUUUCAAACAAAGAAAAACUUAAAAGCCUAAUGGGGACAUUUGACAUCCUUAAAAGUUCUUUCUUUUUUAUGACCGACAUUAAAGACUUGCAAAAACUUUUUUAAAAAAACUCUCUGUUAACUAAAAAAUAACCCACGACAAGCAAUCAAGGAGCAACAAAUAUCACGUGACAAAUGCUCACAAAUGUCACUUAAGGAAAAGCGUAACAAAAGAUGACUAAAAAUUAUAAAAGAACAUUUUUCCAAAUUUCCUUGCUGGAUGAGUUUUGAGGAUGUGAGAGGCACAAAAAUAAGAGAGUAUGCCAUUUUUAAUGUCUAAUGGCAGCAAGAGACUAUACGGCGGUGAGAGUCUUUCACGAAGACUCCAUUUAGCUCCUAUUGUGAGGUAAUGAACGGAGGCUUGCGGUCUCCAAAUCACACUCAAACUCAACUACGCUUAGGUUUGAGAUUUUCGCAAAGAGAGUUGAAUACUUUGAGCUUUUAGAAAAUCAAACUAAUGCAAAGGAAAACUAAAGUUUCAAGAGAAGAAGUCGUCAUUCGAUGUGUAGGGAUGAAGAAAAUUUAUUAAGGAAAUCUCAGCAAACAAAAAUCGGCUUCCCCAAAAUGAAUGAAAGAGCAAGUAUUUAUUCAAAACUUAAAGCUUCUAGGCUUAGCAUUUGGGCAGGAUUUUUUCCAAAAUCAAGUCAAAACCCAUUUGAAUUUGAACAUUGCGAUUUGGAUGGGCUUGGUCCUUCACGUGAUUGACAAGAUUAUGUCACGAAAAUAGGGUAGCUAAACUCUGCUCUAUGAUUAAAGAAUAGUGGAGUUUGUUGAAAAGAGGAAAAAGACAGAAAGUAGAGGAAGAGGCGUAGGUGAUCUGAUGUUGCGCCUGCAGUUGUAGGGUUUAAAAAGAAGUUUGGGCUGGUGUUAAAUUUUCUUUGUGGGCUGAUCUGAAAGUUCCAUUGUGCCAUAUUUUGGAGCGGAUUUGGGCUCGUUUUGCUGGCCAAUUUUGGGUUGAAUUUGAAGGUCUUUUCUCUUCUUUCUUUGUAUUAUGUUGGGCUUCUAACUUAAUAAUUAAUACAAUAUAUAUUUUGAUAUGAUAACAACUAGAAAUUUACAUGAUAAAAAUAUCGCUAAUAUAUAUACAAAAUAUAUGACUUAUAAUUAAUUUAAUAAAUACGAAAUUAGAAAUAAGAUGACGACAAUUGAUUAUUUAAGAAAAGAGGUGUAAAAAGUGAUAAUAAUCAUUUCAAUAAUAAAACCUAUAAUUUUAGUAGAUAAAUAGUCGUAAUAGUAAAAAUAGUUGUGAAAAAAGAUAAUUUGAUACAUUAUUAAUUUAGAAGCUCGAAAAUAAUAAAUUAGAAGAAAGGAGGUCAAAAUUGGGUGUCUACAGCUGCCUUAUCGGAGGUUCAGAAAUUGGUCUACCUGGCCAUCCCUAAUCUCUCAAGGCAAAUAAUGAUCUAUGAAAGCUUCUGUAAAGCUAUCCCAAGUGGGUAGAGAUGUAUAUUUUCCCCUAGAUCUCUCCCAACUUUCGUACCACAAUACUACAACAUCACGCAAUCGAAAUGCUGCUAACUCAACUGACUCAGUCGCUGAGGCAUGCAGGACUCUAAAGAUCUGAUGAUGUUGAUCAACAAAGUGCUGAGGGUCCUCUAUGUGAUAUGUUCAUGUAAAUUGUGGAGGAUUCAAGGUAAGAAAUCCAUGAACUCUUGAACUUUCGAACCGUUUAGAAGGUCUGGCAACAUCUGGCGCAACUGGCUGGCGCUGUGCAGCUACUAACUGUGCUAACAUACAUAUUGCACUCUUGAAAUACUGGUCAGAUGGAAUAGGAGGAACUAGAUGUGGUACUGCUGGUAGAUUCGGAGGUCUUGUAGCCCUCGGAGGUUCCUGAAACGGUGGAGAAGCUAUAGGAGGCUGAGAAGAUGUCUCCCCCUGGGUCUCACAAUGGGAUACCUCCACCUGCGAUACCUUGCCAGUACCCUCGCCUGCAGCUGUAUCUAGCCACUGGCUAGUUGUGGUCUGUCUAGUGUCAGCCAUCUCUAUCUGCAUACAAAUAUCAAUUAUAAGCCAGAAACCUCAACCCUUAAGACACCGUUCUAUAGCACGAGUUGAGCAAAAGAAUUAUAGUAAUUCUAACAUGCCCGGUAGCUUCUUGCUUAUCGAAUGUGGUGCACAACACAUUUAUAAACAAGACUCUAGUAGACACAGCCUACAGACUCCCUAGGAUACAACAUUGUUCUGAUACAAAGUUUUUCACGCCCCAAAAUCAAGGGGCGCAACUAGCUCCUAAGGCCAGAACUCAGGCCCAAGCCAACCCUGCUAAACCAUUUGCUACUAGCGCAUGGCAACCACACGCAAUCAAGAAACAAACAAGUAUAUCUCGGAUUAAAACUAAGCCCUCAGCCAGGAAGGCCUCUGUCAACAUAUCUAUAGAAGAAACAUUUACACUCAAGAGUUCAUAUAAAGAAAAACCCAACUAGCACAUAAGUACUGAUUGGGCCGUCAGGGCCACCAUGAUCUCUAUACCAAAACUGAAAGCAGGUAUAUAUCAAGACAAUACAACAAAUAGCUCACAAGUUUUAGCAAACAAACAAACUAGGCCAGCAUGGCCAUAACAUAGCUAUACACCCCACACACUAGUCUGCAAGCCUCUAAGAGUAGUAAAGAUUAGUGGGACAAGGCCCCAGCCUACCCAUAAAAUAUAUACAACAAAAGCUAACAAACCUCCCAACUCUGGCAGCUUCGGAGGAAAGGGGCUAGCCAACCAGAUAGAAGUUAAUCCUGCUGUUGAGGAGGUCUACUGGGUCAUCUGUCGGGACCCGCAUACAUGAAUUCAGCACUCCUAGGCAAUGAGGCGUCAAUACAAAAUAAUGUACAGAGUAUGAAAGUUUAUACACUAAAUGAGCAAGUAUAUACCAAAAGCAAUCAGCUAAGGAAAUCAAAAUUUAGAUAAGCAUGCUAACCUACUACUAAAUCUAAAAAAAUACAAAAAUGAUCAAACAACAACCUAACCAAACCCCCAUAAGCUCGGUAGGUACAAACAACAUGCCACCUACCUACGCCCCCAUAAGCCCAGAAGGUGACAAAUCAAUUUACAUAACCUUAUCGGUAGCCCCUUGUCUUUGUAAGAAGUCACAUAGCCCUUUUUGGCAAUGAUAUAUCCCCGUAGGCAGUGCAUGGCCCUCUUAGACAACAUCAUAGCUCUGUGGGCUACACAUAGCCCUUUUUUGCAUCAACAUUGCCCUGUAGGCAACACAUAGCCCUCUUUGGCGUCAAAAUAGCCCCGUAGGCAAUACAUAACACUCUUUGGCAUCAAUAUAUCCCCGUGGGAAACACAUAGCCCUCUUAGGCAAUAACAUAGUCCUAUUAGACAACAUCAUAGCCCCCAUAGGCAGUUUAUAGCUCAACCGCUAACCACAAUAGCCCCAAGGGCGACAACAAACAUUUGAAUAAGCUAAAGGCGAGCAAUUUAGUUAUAAAAAAUAAUAUAUAUAUAUAUAUAGUUUCCAAGUCGUUCCAAACUUAGGGUCGUUCUUAACAGAUUAUGAGUCCAUAUAAUGAGGGUUUAUAACCACUCAAUCAGCCAACCACUCACAAUUACAUCUACAAGAUUGCCAACAUUAACUAUCCUACUUUAUCACUCCCAGGCACUAAGGAAACAUGUCGAACGAAGGGAAUAGCCUUAACAUACCUUUUCCUUUAUAAUUUAAACUGAAAAUACCUCUGUCUGCACCACUACAACACUAAAGAAAAAGGUAAAAUCAAUCAGUAAUUAAGGAUAAAAAUUAUUACGACAAUUCGGCAAUCGAUACGGAUUCCUAUCAUAAAUUACUAUCCAAUACCUAAGGUAUCCGUAAAGUGCUAAAAAGAUGGUUCCUACCUUUCUUUACACACCCAAAACACUUGAAUAAAUCAAAAUACUAAAAAAAAGCCUGCUGCCACAACCUCCACGGAGCUACAUCGCUCAAUUCACCGUGAAAAUUAUACCAAAACGACGAGCUCGCGACGUAGGGCAAUUUUUUAUAAGGGCCAAGAAGAGAUCAUGAACACAAAAGGAUGAUUUCAUGAGUAUUUCACUAAUUUUCGUGGGAUUCUUACGAGUUGGAAUGAAGAAAAAUGAAGUUAUUAUCUUAUAAGCUUCCACCGACUUAGGGGACCCACCUCACAUGAUUGCUUUUGCAGUCUCGCGAAAAUGUAAACAUCUCUCUAUUCUAAAGUUGUAUGAACAAAUAGUUUGAUGCGUUGGAAACUAGACUCGUAGACCUUCGAUUCGAUAGGUCGUGGACCCCAUAACUCUUUAUAGAUUUGGAGAAAACCUCUGAGACAUUUGACACAAAUUUCGGAGAAAUAUUUAAAAAGGAACUUGCGAUAACUUUUGCCAACUUUUAUUUUGCGACUUACCUAACUUCAAAACAUGAUAUAAAACCCUUGAACACUUAAAAUAGGACAUAUCACAAUAUUUUUAAUUUAUUUCUCACCCUCUUUGUGUUUCCACGGAGGUACGAGUUAACUUAGACGUUUCAAAAAGUCAGGGUGUUACACUAGGGUUGUUAGAAUUGUUUGUAAUCCGGGUAAUUAGUGAUUAUUUAUGGAUGUCCGUGUUAUUAUGAUUGUUUGUAGACCAAGAACAAACGGAACGAAUCCAGAAAGGGAAGGAUCAAGUUUCUUAGGGUGUCAAACUUUUUUCGAGGUAGGUGAUGGUUGUAAUUUUAUGAUUGUGUGAUGUAUGUUUGUUCUUGUUUCAUUAUGAUACUUGCAUGUAUGCGAAUGUUGCAUUAUGGAUCACACUUGUUGUAAAUGAGAACCCUUAUGCGCAUCAUGAAGAGAUAGAGUAGAAUGUUGAUGUUGAGAAUAUUGAGGAUGUGGGACAAGAGAAACAUGUGCAUGCUGAGACUACCGAUGUUCCUCCCAUAGACCUAGUGUUAGCUCGACAGAUCAUGUCAUUCUUGAAAGGGUUGGUUAGUCCUGGAGUACUUCCUGCAGUUCAAGCAACUCAAGCUCCCGUUAAUCCCCCUAUUGCUAGCACUGCGCCCAAGACCGGUGGAAUGGGAGGUAAUGAUGCUUUCUUCCGUCCUUUGUUGGGUUCUAUUAUGACUGGUAAUGAGCAUGAAAUGUUGACUAAGUUUUUGAAGUUAAAGCCUCCUUUGUUUCUUGGUUCUGAGAAUGAGGAUGCUUAUGAUUUUAUCUUAGAUUGCUAUGAGAGGCUUUAUAAGUUGGGAAUUGUCCAUCAGCAUGGGGCUGAGUUUGUGUCCUUUCAACUUCAAGGUGAGACUAAGCAGUGGUGGAGAGCUUAUGUGGAAUGCAGAUCUUCUACUUUACCUCCACUUACUUGGACCCAAUUUCAUGCUCUGUUUUUGGAGAAAUAUGUGCCUAGGACUUUGAGAGAACACAAGAAGGAUGAGUUCAUGGAUUUGGAGCAAGGUGGUAUGACUGUGGUUGCUUAUGAGGCCAAGUUUCAUGCUUUGUCUAGAUAUGCUACUCAAUUGGUGACUACUGAGGAAGAGAGAAUUCGGUUAUUUAUUAGGGGACUAAAUUAUGAGUUGCAAAUAUUAUCUAUUCAUAUGACUUCUGCAGAGAGGAGCUUCAAUGAGGUAACAGACUGUGUUAAGAAAUUGGAGGGGGUGAGGCAAGACGAUCACUCUAAGGCAUUGGCAAAAAGGGCCAAGAAUUCAAGCAACUUUCAAGGUCUUAUUCCAGAAGUUCAAGGAGGCCAACGCUGACAGCCAAGCCAAUUCAGUCUGCUAUGCCCGCUUCUACGGGUAAUUUCUUGGGAAAUCCACCUUAUAAUUCAAUUUAGGAUAGCUAGGGAGUUGCACCUUCGACGGGCAGGCCAUCUUUUGAUCGUACAUGUUACAAUUGUGGUGAACCUGGGCAUAUGAGUAGAGAUUGGCUCCACCCAAAUGUGUUAGAUUCCGCGCAGCAGCAGUCUAGAGCAGUGGUACCCACAGGGAAUGGUAAUAAUGGUCGAGGGCAUCCACAAGGUGAGCGAGGAAGUAAUCAGUGAGGCCAUAGAGGUAGAGAAAAUGGUAAUGCAGACAAGGGUAACGUGCAACCAGGCAGGGAAGUGGCUCGUCAAGAUGAUAGGGCUCAAUGUUAUGCACUUCCGGGCAAGAAUGAGGUAGAGGCAUCUGACAUAGUGAUCGCAGGUACUAUUCUUGUCUGUGACCGGAUGGCUAAUGUGUUAUUUGAUCCGAGUUCUACUUAUUCUUAUGUAUCCGUGCAAUUUGCCUCAAGGUUUGAUAUAAUUUGUGAUAUGCUUGAUGCCCCUGUCCAUGUUUCUACCCCAGUUGGAGAGUCAGUCAUAGUUACUCAUGUCUAUCGUGCUUAUCCUAUUAUGUUUAUGGGUUUUUAGACUUGGGUUGAUUUGGUGAUUCUGGAUAUGACUGAUUUUGAUAUAAUCUUAGGCAUGACUUGGUUGUCCCUCUAUUAUGAUGUGCUUAAUUGUAAUACUACGUCUGUAACUCUAGAAAUUUUAGGAAGGGAAAAAAUAGAGUGGGAAGGGGUGUACAAGCCUAAGCAAGAUAAGAUCAUAUCCUCCAUUCGGGCAAGGAAAUUGAUAGGGCAGGUUGUUUGGCUUUUUUGGCUCAUAUUAGGGAUGUUGAAAUUCAGGCUCCAUCCAUUGAGUCUAUUCUUGUGGUGUCAGAAUUUAGAGAAGUGUUUCUUAAUGACUUACCUAGUAUGCCUCCGGAUAGGGAUAUAAACUUUUGCAUUGAUUUAGAACCUGGUACUCAUCCCAUUUCCAUCCCUCCAUAUCGCAUGGCUCCAGCAAAAUUAAGAGAGCUUAAGGCUUAAAUCCAAGAGCUUCUUGAUAAGGGAUUUAUUCGUCCUAGUACUUCCCCAUGGGGUGCUCCAGUUUUGUUUGAUAAGAAAAAAUAUGGUAGUAUGAGAAUGUGUAUAGAUUACCAGUAAUUGAAUAGGGUCACUAUUCGAAACAAGUAUCCUUUGCCUCUAAUAGAUGAUCUUUUUGACUAAUUGCAAGGUGCAUCAUUUUUCUCCAUGAUUGAUCUAAGGUCUGACUACCAUCAAUUAAAAAUUAUGCCUAAGGAUGUGCCAAAGACAGCGUUUAGGACUCGCUAUGGGCACUAUGAGCUUUUAGUUAUGUCUUUUGGUUUGACCAAUGCGCCUNNNNNNNNNNNNNNNNNNNNNNNNNNNNNNNNNNNNNNNNNNNNNNNNNNNNNNNNNNNNNNNNNNNNNNNNNNNNNNNNNNNNNNNNNNNNNNNNNNNNNNNNNNNNNNNNNNNNNNNNNNNNNNNNNNNNNNNNNNNNNNNNNNNNNNNNNNNNNNNNNNNNNNNNNNNNNNNNNNNNNNNNNNNNNNNNNNNNNNNNNNNNNNNNNNNNNNNNNNNNNNNNNNNNNNNNNNNNNNNNNNNNNNNNNNNNGCAUGGCUCCGGUAGAAUUAAGAGAGCUUAAGGCUCAAAUCCAAGAGCUUCUUGAUAAGGGAUUUAUUCGUCAUACUGCUUCUCCAUGGGGUGCUCCAGUUUUGUUUGUUAAGAAGAAGGAUGGUAGUAUGAGGAUGUGUAUAUACAACCGACAAUUGAAUAGGGUCACUAUUCGAAACAAGUAUACCUUGCCUCGAAUAGAUGAUCUUUCUGACCAAUUUCAAGGUGCAUCAGUUUUCUCCAAGAGAUCUAAGGUCUGGCUACCAUCAGUUGAAAAUUAGGCCUGAGGAUGUGCCUAAGACGGCAUUUAGAACUCACUAUAGGCACUACGAGUUUCUGGUUAUGACCUUUAGCUUGACUAAUGUGCCUGUAGCUUUUAUGAGUUUAAUGAAUGGGGUGUUCAAGCCAUUUCUUGAUUCUUUCGUUAUAGUCUUUAUUGAUGAUAUUUUGGUCUAUUCGAAAAGUGAGGAAGAGCACGCCGACCAUCUUCGCAUUGUUUUGGGUGUUCUUGGGAAACAAAGGUUGUAUGCUAAAUUUUCUUAAGUGUGAAUUUUGGUUGACUUCGCUUGCAUUUUUGGGACAUGUAGUGUCAAAAGAAGGGGUAAUCGUAGAUCCUUAAAAGAUUGAGGCGGUUAGGAAUUGGGUUCAGUCUAGCUCUGUGAUGGAGGUUAGGAGUUUUAUGGGGCUCACUAGCUAUUAUCAUCGAUUUGUGAAGAACUUUGCUUCUAUUGCCACUCACUUGACCAAUUUGACCAAAAAGGAGAUACCAUUUGAAUGGACCGAAAAAUGUAAGGAGAGCUUCCAAAACCUCAAGACUCUCUUGACCACCGCACAUAUUCUAGCAUUACUGGUUGAAGGUAAAGAUUUUAUUGUUUAUUGUGAUGCUUCACAUUCUGGUUUGGGUGCUGUGUUGAUGCAGGAUAAUAAUGUUAUAGCUUAUGCCUCGCGACAAUUGAAGGUGCAUGAGAGAAAUUACCCAACACAUGAUUUGGAGUUGACAUCAGUAGUUUUUGCUCUUAAGAUUUGGCGGCAUUACCUUUAUGGUGNAUGAGAGGAAUUACCCAACACAUGAUUUAGAGUUGGCAGCGGUAAUGUUUGCACUUAGAUUUUGGGGCAUUAUAUUUAUGGUGUCAAGUGUGAGGUAUUUACUGAUCAUCGCAGUUUACAACAUGUGUUCACUCAAAAGGAUUUGAAAUUUAGACAGCGAAGGUGGAUGGAGUUACUUAAAUAUUAUGAUGUNNNNNNNNNNNNNNNNNNNNNNNNNNNNNNNNNNNNNNNNNNNNNNNNNNNNNNNNNNNNNNNNNNNNNNNNNNNNNNNNNNNNNNNNNNNNNNNNNNNNNNNNNNNNNNNNNNNNNNNNNNNNNNNNNNNNNNNNNNNNNNNNNNNNNNNNNNNNNNNNNNNNNNNNNNNNNNNNNNNNNNNNNNNNNNNNNNNNNNNNNNNNNNNNNNNNNNNNNNNNNNNNNNNNNNNNNNNNNNNNNNNGCCACAUUCAUUGACGAGAUCAAGGCCAAACAGUUUGAGGAUGAGAAUUUGGAGGAGCUUAGAAAGAAGAUUGUGAUUGGUAAGGCACAAGAGACCACUCUUGAUGCGGAAGGUGUACUUAGUUUCAAUGGAAGAAUUUGUGUGCCUCAAGUUGAUGAUUUGAUUCAAAAGUUGUUGAUAGAGUCCCAUGGUUCGCGAUAUUCUAUUCAUCCGAGUGUGACCAAGAUGUACCGAGAUUUGAAGCGAAACUAUUUGUGGUCGGGCAUGAAGAAGUAUAUAGCGGAGUUCGUGGCUACGUGUCAAAAUUGCUAACAAGUUAAAUAUGAACACCAAAGGCCUACAGGUUUGCUUCAAAAUAUGCCAAUUCUGGAAUGGAAAAAUGUCAAUUCCGGAAUAGAAGUGGGAGAGGAUAGCCAUGGAUUUUGUGGUUGGUCUUCCCAAUACCUUGGAGAAGUUUGAUUCUAUUUGGGUAGUGGUUGAUAGAUUGACUAAGUCAGCCCAUUUUAUUCUAGUAAGAAUAGAUUAUAAUGCUGAACAAUUGGCUAGGGUGUAUGUGAAAGAGAUAGUAAGGUUGCAUGGGGUCUCUCUAUCAUCUCAGACCGUGGUACCCAAUUCACAUCCAAGUUUUGGAGGAAAUUACAUGAUGAAUUGAGCACACAACUCACUUUUAGUACAACCUUCCAUCCACAGACAGACGGGCAGUCAGAGAGGACUAUUCAAGUAUUAGAAGACAUGUUGAGGGCAUGUGUGAUUGAUUUUGAAGGGCAUUGGGAUAAUUUCCUACCUUUGUGUGAAUUCUCCUAUAAUAAUAGUUAUCACUCUAUCAUAGAUAUGGCACUAUUUGAGGCACUCUGUGGGAGGGAUGUAGAUCACCCAUAGCAUGGUUCGAGGCUGGAGAUGUGAAACCAUUGGGGGUCGAUUUAGUGAAGAAUGCUCAAGAUAAGGUGAGGAGUAUUCAAACUAAGCUUCUAGCAGCCUAGAGUAGACAUAAAAAGUAUGCGGAUCAUAAGGUGAGAGACAUGGAGUUUCAAAUCUGUGAGAAUGUUCUUCUUAAGGUAUCACCCAUGAAAGGGGUGAUGAGAUUUGGCAAGAAGGGCAAAUUAAGUCCGCAAUAAUUGGUCCAUUUGAGGUCCUUGAAUGUGUAAGAUCGGUAGCGCAUAGGUUGGCUUUACCUCAUAGUCUAUCGGUUGUUCAUCCGGUAUUUCAUGUGUACAUGUUGAAGAGGUAUCAUGGUGACGGAAAUUAUAUCAUUAAGUGGGAUUCAAUUGUGUUAGAAAAAGACCUCCAAUAUGAGGAGGAACCGAUUGCAAUUCUUGAUCAUGAUAUGCGUAAGCUGAGGACCAAGGAGAUUAAGUUCGUGAAAGUUCAAUAGAAGCACCGUCCAGUUGAGGAAGCUACUUGAGAGACCGAGAGGGACAUGCGAGACAAGUAUCCUCAAUUGUUCGUCGAUUCAGGUACUACUCCAUUCUUUUCUUAGCCUAUUUUUCCUAAGUUGUCACUCGUGGACGAGUGAUAGGUAAAUUGGUAUCUAUUGUAACGACCGGAUUCCGUCGUUAUAGAAAAGCCAACGGGAAAAUUUGGGGCCGAAAAACCUUUUCGUAGUAUUUGGAUUUAUUCCAACCUAGUCCAGAUUUGGACGAAAUUGGAGUCAUUAAGGUGUAGGGAAAUUUGGCAUCAAUCGGGUGAUUUAUUUAUAAUUUUGAUUACAUGAUGGGAUAGAUAACUCGUUAAGAAAUCCGUACGACUUUACGGAAUUGAAUUUGGGCGAGUAGAACUCCCGGAAUCGAUCUUAGCGUGAAGGAGAUUUUCUGAGUGUCGUUGGUUAGAGGUGUGUUGUGAAAUAGGGGUCUUGGAAUUAUUAAAAUAGCUUACUAUUUCGUGCAACCCGCUUUGGCGCUGGGUUUUGUCGCUCUGGCGGGACCACUAUAGCAGGGUGAAGGCCGCUGUGGCGGGCCAGACGCGACUUAAAGUCGUAAAUAAACCCCUAAACGACUUAUUCAUGCACUUUUCAAUUUUUAGAGCUAAGGAACGAGCCCCAGGUGACUCUUGACAAUUUUUCACCAUUCUUGAGGCUAAAGGUAAGCUUUUCACUGCCCGAAUCCAUUUUUCGAUCCAUAGAACGUAAUAGAAUGGGUAAUUAUCGAUGGGGGAGGGUUUUGAAUUAGAAACCAUGGUGGAAAAAGCCCUAAUUUUGAUACUUGGGAUCAUGGGUAUGAUAUAGGAUUGUUAGAAUUAUUAGUAAUCCGGGUAAUUAGUGAUUGUUUAUUGAUGUCUGUGUUAUUAUGAUUGUUUGUAGAUCAAGAACAAGUGGAACGAAUCCGGAAAGGGAAGGAUCAAGUUUCUUAGGGUUUCAAGCUUGUUUCGAGGUAGGUGAUGGUUGUGAUUCUAUGAUUGUGUGAUGUAUGUUUGUUCUUGCUUCAUUAGUAUACUUGCAUGUAUGUGAAUGUUGAUACUUAUGAUUGUGAUUGUGAUUGUACUGUGUUGAAUGGAUCGGUUGCCACGUUCUGGCAUAAUUAUGGGAUCGGUUGUCACGUUCCAGCAUAAACAUUGGAUCGGGUACCACGUUCUGGUAUGCUAAUUGUUUGGGUUUAGGUUCCAUGAAAGGACCAAUGACUUGUCAUAAUUGUGUAUAUUAUUGAGCAUGUGAUAAUCGAUAUUGUAUAUGUUCGGUAUUUUGCAUGUUUAUAAUGUUGUAUUGACUUGCUUAUGUUACACUUAGUGGGAUAGCCGCGUGAUCCUAUCAUUACAUUGUAGUUGUGUUCUGAUACUGCACUUGCUCUUAUUUUUGUUGAGUACACGACAUUUUUCGGCUGCUAUUGACAAACCUCGCUUAGAAGACCAGUGAUCGUUCGAAUUCAAGGGUGAGUCAAUUCUUCCAGGCCGCCAUGAGUUCUCUUUUCGUCUAUGUCCACAUUUCAGACUUAGACUUUUCUAGUUAGUUGAUUAGUUCGUUAGUUUGGGGUUGCAUCCCUUCUUGUUUAGACUUGUUGAACUUUAGAUGUUUUGGUACAUUGACUUUCAGGUUCUAGGUGUAAUUUCCGCAUUGUUAGUUGUUAGAUCUUUUGGAAGUUUAUGGGAACUUCAGUCUUAGAUAUUAUUCCUAUUUUUGUAUCCUUAAAUGCUUUAGUUUUUGGUUUAGAUGCUUGGUUGGGGUUGUAGUAGUGGUUCUCCCACCGGAGGGUUAGUGUGGGUGCCAAUCACGACGGUCUGGGUCAUGACAAAGGUUAUACUAAUAGAGGUAAAAGUAGAAACUCAAGAGGUUUUAUUUUUAAUACCGUUUUAUUUCUACCUUUUUCAUUUUCUUUAGAAAUAUUAUAUAAAUAUUGAAAUAAUAGAAUUCCUAAAUAACUGUUGAUCAGUAGAAUUUCUUGAAGAAUUUGAUUUAUGAGCAAAGUGUGUGCGCUCAAAGAAUUUGUGAUCAACAAAAAAAUAAUAUUGUACUUGGAUAAAAAGGAAAGAACUUUGGAAAAUAGAAACAAAACAGGUAUAGGUCGUAACAAAUAAGGAAAUUAAAGCAAGUUCAAGUAGAAUUGGAUUGAUUAAUCAAACUAGGUUUGAUCUUAGAGAGCAAAGUGUAGAAAACAUUUAAUAGUUUCAGGAUUGAAAAUAUAAGUACAUUUAAUAGUUUAGAGAAUAUAUUUUUUUCAAUCAAUCUAAAACACCUAUUUCUACUUGGUCUCCUUCAAUACAUACAAAGUGCACUAGCACAAGAAGUCGAAGCUACGCCAUUUUCAUGAUCAAGAUAAAUUUUUGAUUUUGUGUUACAAUCAUACCAAUGGCUUUUCCAAUUUCCAUAUUAGAUUAUGAACAAAUAAUUUCAUACUUUUAAGAGUCAUUGAUUUAAUUCUCUGUGUAUAUACUAAAACUUUAUACACUUGAUCAUCUAUUCUAUAAGUAAACAGACACAUAAACGAAUAUAUGAUCUAUUAAUUUUUUUAUUAAAAUUGAAUAAAAAUUAUACUAUGAAAAAUAUUAUAUCUAAAUACAUGGUUAAUAAUAUAAUCUCAUAAUUAAUAAUAUAUAGCCCAACAGUAAUUUAAAAUUAAUUACUUGAAAAGUUAAUGAAAUUUUAAGGUGAAAUCCACGAAGAUAGGCCAUGAUUUCUUACUUUUUUGAGAGAGGAGUUUUUCACAAAACAUUAUAUGUGUAUUUUGAUUUCCGCACUUCACUUUUAGUUUGCGAUUGAACCCGAUUCUUUAAAAAAAAUUACAUAACAAGGUAAACACAUAUAUAUACACACAUUAGUUUUUCGACACGUGUAUUACACGCGAUUAUCAAUUUAGAAAAUAUAUGUUAUAGUAAAUAGUUUUGCUUAUUUAAGUGAAGAUUUGAAUAAUAAACUUUGCACAAAAUAAUAUUACAAAUUCUUUUGUGAAUGUUCAAUGUGGAUCGUCAUAUAUAUAUUUCUCUUAUUCACGGGAAUCUAUGAAGAUGGUCAAUCAAAAAAUUUAUUAGUUAAAUGCAAUAAUGCAUAUAUUUAUUUCAAUUUGAUGAGGUUCAAUCAUGUAAUUAGUCGUAUCUCAGUAAUAUUACCUUAUAAACGAUAUUUGUUGUGUAUUAUUCUUGAUCACACAAUUUUUUUUUAAAUGCAAGAAGAAGAGUAGGAAAUUAAAAAAAAUUAUGGUUGAAAAAUGAGAGGAAGCCCCUCUAUUUAUAGUCAACAAAGGUAGAAUGAACAAGUGUUUUUUGUGUCUUAUCUGAAAAGUCAUAACCUUUCCGAUAAGUCAUAACCCUUUGGAAAAGUCAAAACAUAUUGACAAGUCACAACUCUUUGGAAAAGUCACAACUCCAUAAAAAAUCACAACCCUUUGUAAAAAGUCACAACUUAUCGGAAAAGUCACAACUCAUCGAGAAAGUGACCUUUCUGAGAAGUGACAACCCUUUGGAAAAAUCACAACUUAUUGAAAAAGUCACUACUCAUCGAAAAAUCACAGCCCUUUGAAAAAAGUCACAACUCAUCGGAAAAGUCACAACUCAUCGAAAAAGUCACAAACUAAGUUAAGGAUAUUAUUGUAAUUUAACAUUCAAGUUAGGAGUUCAUGUUUUUAAAGUAAUAUAGAUAUAUAUAGAGAGAAAAAAAUUCUCUCUCCUCUGCCCCUCUUUUCCUUGCCUCUCUCCUCCCACUGCCCUCUCUCUCUCCCUCUCGCUCCUCUCUCUCUUCAUCCCACACAAUUGCAGCCCAAAAAAUAUUUCGCAUAAUAUGAAAAUUGUAUUUUUUUUAUUAUGUAUCAAAUAUAUUUGUAUUUCAUAUCAAUUGUAUUUGUGAUAAAACUUGAUAUAACGAAUACAAUAUGUAUUGAUCCUCUCUGUCAACGAAUACAAUAAUUUGACAAAGAGUAAACUUCAAGAAAAUGAAAAGAAACAAAAGCUAAUUCAUUCUGUUUUUAUUACUUUACAAGUAUAUUGCUAUAUUUAUUUUUCGGUUACUAUAUCCAUUGCGCAAAUUCGUACGUCUUUAUUUGUUGUCUGUUAAUAUUAAAAAUAAUUUUGAUGUUGCAUGUCUAUAAUUAUAAUAUUCUUCAAUUAAUUUCACUUGAUAUUUUUUUUAAAAUAAAAAUAUUCUCAAAUAUUGUUUUCACUGUUUAUUAUACAAUUCUACAUCUAUAAUAAAAUACUAGUUACUAGAUAUAAAAGUCCGAACAAGCCCGUUUGCUAAGAAUUGCUCAAGUGAGCAGUAGUGGGUCCCAUGAAGCUUUCUCUCAGUAGCCUCUUAGUUUUCAAUAAAAGAAACUCAGUUCCUCUCUUUGUAAAUUUAGAAACUUGACCCUAAGCUCCUCCCUAUUCCUCUUCUAAUAGUAAAAAAAUAUAUAUAGUAAAAUAUAUAGUAAUAUCCACCAAACUAUAACAUUUACUAAAGGCAUAAUACAUAAACAUGACUCUUAACUUGGUUUUAACGGACAUCUAUGCCCUCCAACUUUGAGUGUGCACAAGUAGACACUUAAACUUGUAUAAAAUUGAACAAGUAGACACACAUGUCCUACAUGGCAUAAUACACGUAGGACACAAAAUUGUCACGUAGGGUGACAUGUAGGAAACGUGUGUCUACUUAUUCAAUUUUAUACAAGUUUAAGUGUCUACUUAUGCACACCCAAAAUAAAUAUGACUUAUAACUUGGCUUUAACGGAUAACUAUGUCCUUCAACUUUGAGAGUGCACAAGUAGACACUUAAACUUGUAUAAAAUUGAACAAGUAGACACACAUGUCCUACAUGGCAUAAUACACGUAGGACACAAAAUUGUCACGUAGGGUGACAUGUAGGAAACGUGUGUCUACUUAUUCAAUUUUAUACAAGUUUAAGUGUCUACUUGUGCACUCUCAAAGUUGAAGGACAUAGUUAUCCGUUAAAGCCAAGUUAUAAGUCAUAUUUAUGUAUUAUGUAUUUAUUAAAUAGUUCUUCUUUCCUUAAUUAUUCCCAAGUCCCAACCAUUUAAAGAAGAAAGGGUAGUUAAUUAAGAAGAUGAAUUAUUUGACUAUUAUUAAGAAGAUAAAAAUAAUAAUUACGUUCAAAAUGUACUAUACUAUAUUAGAUUAACCACUCAUCUCUUUGAAAGGAUAAUGAAAGGUAAGUAAAUCAUAUUUAAUUUUAUCAUCAAUAUAUUUAAAUUGGGGUAAGUUUUAAGUCAAAACUUCGUUAUCUAUGUUUUGAAUAUCGAAGUACUAUUUAGUCAGACCUUCAAGGAUCGUGACAUCUUGAUAUUUUUGACAUUGAUUCUCGAACUUCUAGAAUAUUUAGAUUGAUUCACCAUGCGCUUAUAUAUUUUUUCGAGAAAAAUAUUGUUAAACAUGCAUGACAACUGACAUCUACCUACAUUUUUUUCAAUAUUUCAAUCUGACCAUACAUCUGUUAUCUUGAUCAAUUCAAUAAGAAGAAUUUUCCAAUCAAACGAUGGAAAAUUAAACUCUUCAUCACUAAUUAAAUGGAUGAAUAAACAACACAUAUAGUAUAAAUUUGUGUACUCUUUGACUUGACAAAGUUGGUUCAUGUUCCUCCCACGAACAGUAUAAUAAAUAGGGGAAGAUCAAGAAAAUACCAUGGGAUAUUCCAAGGUUAUUCUUUCUCUAAAUACAAAAUAUAUAUCUUAUUUUAAAUAACGUAAUAAAAUAUUAACAAAAUAUGUGUUUACCGCACAAACAAUAAUUAAGUCUUGGAUUAUAAAAUUCAUUCAAACUUUGACACAAUUUAUUUAUAAUUAAGCUGAAAACCAGAAUCCCAAUACCCAAAAUAAUAAUAAUAAUAAUAAAAAUGUCUGCUUAAUAUACAGAUGAUAGAAAAUAGUAACAAGGCAUAAGUAUCCCUAGACUAUAACCGAAAUUCCAGAGACACACUUUAAUUAAACUAAGGUCCUAUUACCCUCUGAACCCAUUUUUUUUUUAAUUUUGUACACUUUUUUUACUUACGUGGCAUCCAAAUACAGGGGCAGAGCCAACAUACAUUCAGGGGUUCAUCUGAAUCCCCUUCGACGGAAAAUAUUAAUAUAUAUACAUGGUUAAAUUUUUAUUUAAUGUAUAUAUAGUUGAUGUCGAACCCCCUUCGGUUAGUUCGUGUGUUUACUUUUUCAAAUUUUGAGCCCCGUUGUUAAAAAUCUUAGCUCUGCCACUGUCCAAACAUCUCUCACACACCUCAACUACGUGGAGCUAUAGAGUGUGCUACGUAAGUCUAAAGGUGUACAAUAUUACAAAAAAAAAUUGGGUGGGGGGUAAUAAAACCUUAGUUUAAUGUGUCUCUAAAAUUUCGAUUAUAGUCUAAAAUACUUGUGCCUUAUCCCUAAAAAAAUAGGUAAAACUAACAGAAAAAAAAAAAGAAAGAGAAACAAGUAGUAAAGAAGAAGCUAAUUGUGUUUAAAUCUACACAACAAAAGUAAACCAACUAAUUAAUAAUGGCUGGUCAUGAUUAGCACUAAGUGUUUCCUAUAAGCUGUCUUGCUUUUAUUAAGGACUUAAACAAAUAUUUACUUCAAAUAAGUGUUGUAUCCUCGUGUGAAUAAUUGUUUUAUAAGUAUAUUUUAAGACCAAACAUAUAUAACUAAUUUAUUUGUCUUCCCUAGUGUAGAUUUUCUCCCCAACAACCAAGCUGCAAGUCUGGUACUUUAUUCAUUCGGACUAAUUUAUAUGACAUUAUUUAAAUUAGUAUAUUCUUUGAUUAUUUGUGUGUUUAUUAAUCAUUUAACUAAGAAUAAAAGAUGAUUUUAAAGUUAAAUUAUUUUUCGUUAUAAAAAUGUAACAUUUUUUUGGAACAAACAAAAAAAAAUGUAUCACAUACAUUGAGACAAAGAAUUAUUACUUUUUUCUUCAUUCUUUUCCCUUUUUGACUCUCUCUGAUCCAAUUUAUGUGACAUUCUUUCUUUUUUAGUCUGUCACAUAAAGAAUAUUCAUUUUUUUUUACAAUUAGAAACUAUUUAAAUCUAAAAAAAUUCGUUUAAUAUUCUAAUUAUUCCUUAGUGAAAUGAUUUAUAGCCACAUAAAUGAUAAAUAGUACUCCCUCCAUUUCUAUUUAGUUGUUAAUCAUUUUAGGUUUCACGCCUCUUAUGAUGUAUUUUUUUUAUCAUAUUGAUAUGCAAAUAAUUGUAAUUUAUAGUACUUUUCGUAUAGUUUUUGAAUAUAUCUAAAUUUUUUGUUUAAAAUAUCAAGUUAAUGUAAUCCAAUUUAACUUUGAAAAUUAGUCAAAUUGACUUUUGAAAAACGCAACAUGACAAUUAAAAGUCAACGGGGGAGUAAGUUUACCAUUGUGUGAUUAUUUAUUUUUUUCUUGAAGUCAAAUUUUUAAUAAAUGAACAUAAAUUAAUGGCUUAAGUCAUUUAUAGCCACUUAAAGUUGUCCUCAUAUUUCAUUUGGACACUUCAAUUAAGGUUUGUACCAUUGAACAUUUUUACCAUUUCGAAUUGAUACAUAUUUGACAUAUUUUUGACAAUCAUCCAAAAUAUUAAGUGUGUGAGUUAUACUUGUGAUGACAUGGCACAAGGACGAAUCAAAUUAUGACAUGUGUCAUUUGGAUCCAAAAAAUUAUUUUUAAAAUAUAUUUUAAAUGAUAAAAGUAAAAUAAAAUUUUGUACCCCUAAAAAAUUCACCCACCCACCCAAACCUUCCCACGUUACCCAUCAAAAUUUACGCCCCCCGGCGUCGCCUUUUUUACUUCUUUUUUUCUUCUUCUUCUUUAUUAUAAAUCAACAAUGGUAGAUUAUUUAGAUUCAAAAUUUUAAAAAACUUUAAUAGUUACAUUGUUGCCCAAUCCACCCAAAUUCUUCCCCUUCUACCCAUCAAAACAACCACUCUUUUCUUCUUCUAUCAACAAUGGCGAAAUACCCAUUUUCUUUCAGUUGAAUAGCAUCAAAACUUUCUAUUUGUUACCUUUACCUUUUUCUCAUUACUAAUCAUUUAUCACAAUUACAAUAGAUAUAUAACAACAAACUUUUGCCUGAAAAAAUCAAUUCAUAUUUUUUCCAUCUGAAUAAAUGGAUGUUUGCCGAAAUAUUGAAGAUGUAGAUCUACAUAAAAAAGAAGAAGGAAAAAACAGAAGAAGAAGAACGGGAAAGGGUGAGAGAAAGAGAGAGGUGGAGGGGGUGGGGUGUGGGGUGCGCCUGUGUAAAAAGAAUUAUGAAGAUGGUGAAUGAGAAUAGUACAUGGGUGUAAUUUUGGGUUAGGGAAGAAGACUACAUUUUCAAAAAAAACAAAAAUUCCCUUUUCAUUAAUUUUGGUAUAUAAGUUAGAAAGAAAAGAAAAAUUAUUAAUUUCAAUAGAUUUACAUACCUAAAGAGAGUGUAGCACAUGUUUUUUGACAUGUCAACAUUUUGUGUCGGAUAGAAAUGACUUUUGAACAAAUAAAGUGUUCAAUAGAUACAAAGAUAAGUUGAGGUGUUCAAAUGAAAUAUGUGGACAACUUUAAGGGGCUGCAUAUGACUUAAGCCUAAAUUAAUUUAUUUUGAUUAUUUAAUUGACCAAUCAACAUGAAUUAGUCAUUUAGUUUUACUAUGUUGGUUAAAUUCAUACUUUCAAGGCUUAUAACCCUCAAGGGUAAAAUAGAAAGAAUAGUGUCAUUUAUGCAUUGAUUUUUUGAAAUGACAAAUACUCCCUCCGUCCACUUUUAAUUGUCAUGUUUCACUUUUCGAAAGUCAAUUUGACUAAUUUUCAAAGUUAAAUUAGAUUACAUUAAUUCGAUAUUUUAAACAAAAAAAAUAGAUAUUCAAAAACUAUACGAAAAGUAGGGGUGUCAAAAAGAUAUGAAAAACUGAUCGAACCGACCAAACCAUACCGAAGUGAUUUAUAGGAUAUUUUAAAUAUAACUGUGGACUUUUAUUAAUCUUAUAACCGUCCUGAAUAAUUGGGAUGGUCUUUUUAAUUUAUAUAAAAAUCCAAAAAAUACCGAACCGAACCAAAUAGUCUUACAUAUAUGUUAUACUAGAUGGGAAGGCCCGUGGCAAGCACGGGCCCAAUAGUCAAAAUAUUAUGUUUGUUAAAAUAUUAAUAUUAAUGAAUCAAGGGUGAUGGCUUUUGCAGAAGAUGGAUAAUAUUAUAUACUAUUAGAUAUAUUGAGAAUGUGUACAACAGACAUCAGUAUGAUGCUGACUUGCAAAAGAGCAAAUGAAAAUUUCAGAAAGAACGAUACAUGAUCAGUUAAAGCGGGGGGGGGGGGGGGGGGGGGGGGGGGGGGNNNNNNNNNNNNNNNNNNNNNNNNNNNNNNNNNNNNNNNNNNNNNNNNNNNNNNNNNNNNNNNNNNNNNNNNNNNNNNNNNNNNNNNNNNNNNNNNNNNNGUCCUUCACAACUCCCUCUUCUAAAUAAGGGUAAUAUUUUAUAUACUACCACAUAUGUUAAAUUUAAUAUACAAAUAUAUUUGGGCAAAUUACAGAAAUCACAUACUUUUAAGGCAAAAUUACAAUCUAUCCCUUAAAAGUUUAUAAUUACAUAAAUCUUCAAACGGAUACAAUAAUAUAAGUGCUGAUACAUUAAUUUGAUGCACGAGAUACAAUAAUAUAAGCGCUGAUACAUUAAUCUGAUGCGCGAGAUACAAUAAUAUAAGCGCUGAUACAUAAUCUGAUGCGCGAUAUACAAUAAUAUAAGCGAUGAUACACUAAUCUGAUGACGCGAAAAUGAGGAAUUUUGGAGAUUUGUAAAACUUAUAGGAGAUAAUGAUAAUAAGUAAACUAAAAUGUGGGAUUUCUCUAAUUUUUCCAAUAUAUUUUAUAAAUUCCUUUUUCAAAUACAUAAAAAGUUAGGCCUCUAGACUUUGGGUCUGUAGUUGAUUAGAUUAGUUUUAACUUUUUAAAGGAUUCAAUUACUAGACUCAUACGUUCAUAAAUCAUACCCAAUUACCCAUAUUAAAUAUAAUAAUAUUGAUAUAUCAAAUAAUUAUCUUAUGGCUAAAUACCAAAACGGUAAAGCCUAACGCGCUAUAUACUAGUUCUAUUGAAAGUUUAUCACUAACAAAAUAACGAAAAUUAGUCGAACCGUAUCGAUAUCGAAAAAAAUCGACAUGAUUGGAAUGGUUUAAAAAAUCUAAUUUUGGUCAUGCAUUGUAAAAUAACCAAAAUAUUGGGAUGAUAUUUUUUAAAAAAAAUAAUCGACCGAACCGUCUCAUGAUUGACACCUCUAACGAAAAUUACUAUAAAUUACAAUUUUUUGCAUAUCAAUAUGUUGAAAAAAAUAUAUCGUAAAAUAUUAGUCAAAUUUUUUAUAGUUUGACUCUAAAAAAGAAAACCAUGACAAUUAAAAGUGGACGGAGAGAGUAUUAAGGAACAUCUAUUUUUAAUAAGAACGGCGUAUAAAUAGAAAUGAAGGGAGUACUUUAGAUUAAAAAAUUUGAAGAUCUUUUUAUAUAUAAAAAAAAUAAAAAUUCAAUCUCAAAUUUAUGAGGCUAAUAUGGGAAUGAUAUUUUCCAUCUGGGUCGAAUAACAGAUCCCACUUUAAAAUAUGCAUAGGGUACUUCUGUUUCUGCGUGUGAUAUAGAACACAUAUUUCGAUAGUAAGUUUAUGUAUACCUAUAUUGCACUUUAGUAGCUAGUGUACAUAAAACCUUGACAAAGGUUCAAGUACUUGAGAAUGAUAAAAAGAGUUGACAAGUUAUAUUAUAUUAGAAUUGAUAUCAAAUAAUCGUUGACGAUAUCUUUAAUAUAAUCUAGUGUUCAAAAUAAUAAAUCGUGACGAAGAUCUUGAAUUUAAAUCUGACAAAUGGUAUGAAAAAAUCAAUGAUUGACAAAUAAAAUACGCAAUUCAAGUAUAUUUUACUUUACUUAAUUAAAAAAGUGACAUUCUAAACUUAUAUAGUCCAUAUACCAAGAUAUAAUGUUAGUGGGCUACAAAUGAGUUAUAUAUUGUGCAACAUGUAAAAUCGUAAGAUAUAAAAUACAGUUCGUGCUUUGGGGGGGGGGGGGGAUAAAAGACUUUCGUACAAGUCCUAACAUUAUUGUAUGGAGAUGUGUUCUCCUAUGGUGAAUGUAAUGCGGAUUUUUCAGUCUGACAAUAUAUGAAAAAAUUGAAUACGUAUAAUGAAUGAUUAUCAUGUCUAGCUAGACAAUAAAUAUUACAUGACAGUACAAUUUUUGAAGGAUUUUAAAGCGAUUCCAUUGAAUAGUACCCCAAUGGCUAUGAAAUCUCUAACUAUAAAGAUCGAUUUCGAUCUCAUUAAAAUGGUUAGAAAAUACCAUGUCAUAGUGCAAUUGGUGCACUUAUAUAUCCUACUAUUUUGAUUCAUGGUAUAAUAAUUAUAUUAAUGUGGAUACAAAGUAUAACAUCACACUUAUUGAUGGAGAUAUUAGAGUACAUCAGAUAUUGAUACAAAUUAUUUAUUUUGAUCAAUCGUGUCAAAGUUUAUUGAUUAUGAAAUUGCAGAUAAUUAUUUGAUUUAUAUGAAGUUUAAUCUCAAGAAAGUUAUCUAUUUUCAUGUGGAAAUACUGUCAUAUCAAAUCCACAAGACCGUCAAUUUUAUUGUAAGUGUACCUCAGUGCUUAGUUGUUGUUACUAACAAAAACGAGCAAUUUGUCCACGCCGACAAAGUCACGAAUUGCGUAAUUGUGAAAAAUGUAUUUGGUUGAGAUCAAUAAGUCAACAUAUCUAGAAAAUAUGUGACCUUCCUUCGAAAAGAGAUAUUCCAACAAAAAAUAUGAAGACAUUAUUUCAUGUAUAGCUCAAUUAAGAGGACACAUCAAAGGAGAUGAAACAAAAUAUAUCUUACCAAAAUUCUUAUUUUACUCAUGUAUUUAAAAGAAGGAUGAAAUAGAUGUUCAACACGUUCAUUCAAGUGAUAAUUUAGCAGAUAUAUUCACCAAUAUAUUACUAACUUUAACCUUUGAGAAGUUGAGAUACAAAAUUGGAAUGCGUCAUCUUUGAGUUGUUAAAUGAUGUCUUCAUCGGGGGAAUAAAUACGCGUUGCGCUCUUUUUUCCUUAACCAUAUUUUAUCCCACUGAGUUUUUCAGAUAAAGAGUUUUAAUGAAGCAUCAAACAAAGCGUAUUAAUACAUUUUUUUCUUUCACUGAAAAUUUUCUUUUACAUGGACAUCUAAAGGGGAGUGGUCUAAAAUCAAUGUCCACAUAAAUAUACUUUGUAUGUAACAUAAAUGUACACAAUAUAUUUUGUGUUGUAACAGAUAUGUACACACAAUAUACAUUGUGUGUAAGAUUGAUAUACAUGCAACACACUAUGUGUUGGAAACUAGCCAUCCAUACAAUACACUUGGGAGCCGUUUGGUUACUGGUUAGAGUUAUGCAUGUAUUAGUUAUGUAAGAUUUAGUUAUGCAUGUAUUAGUUAUGCAAGGUUUAGUUAUGAGGGUAUUAAUUAUGCAGAGUUUAGUUAUGCAUGUAUUAAUUAUGUAAGGUGUAGUUAUGCAGAUAUUAAUUAUGCAAGAUUUACUUAUGUAGGUAUUAGUUAUGUAGGGUUUAGUUAGGUAAAUAUUACAAUACAUUAGUAAGCUAAUUUUUAUUUCUUAAUUUCAAAAAUAUUUAGUGAACUAAUAAUUAUUAUACCCAUUAAAAUAAACAACUAUCUAAAUAACACAUUAUUAUUAAAAAAAUAUCAAUAGAUAAAAACACUAAAGUAAAUAACAAAUAACUAAAAAUAUUAUAAUACAUAUAUAUGGCAGUGCGUUGCGAAGAAACUAAGCAAAUAAAUUAAUUACAAUUAACCAUCACUGUCUUACCGCCAAAGAAAACAGUUAAUAAAAAAUUAAGCAAAAAAUCUAAAUUAAUUAAGCAACUAACAAGACAAAAAAUCCAAAAAAAAAAAAUUGAUAGUGUUUUUUUAUUUACAUAUAAUAACCAUUUGAUUUGUAAUAAAUUAAUCUACAUUUAAAAGUGAAGUCAGGGGUAAUAAUUCCUGCCAAAUUACUUUGAUGUGCAAGAACUUUCGUUCCAGAACUUGGCAUCGAGUUUUCUACUAUUACUUAAAAUGUUUUUCACUGUGUAAGUAAUAAUCUUGAAUUUUGAUCGUCUUUACCGUGUGAAGUGGCGGUAAAUGGAUGGGUUGGUUCAAAUUUGGGUUAGUUGAAAAUGAGUCAACAUAAAAUGGGUAAUAACAACCCGCCCAUAUUUGAUAUAGGUAAAAAUGGAUUAGAUAACAAAUGGAUUGGGUAAAAUACUAGUUUACUCAUAUUUUCAUGAGUAAAUAGUACUCUACUUAAGAAUUCAACAUGGAAAAAAUAUUUUACUCUUUUUUUAGAUGAAAUAUGUUGAAAAUGUUUCAUUUAGUUUUAUUGUAUCAUAAAAGUAAAAUACAAAAAAAUCCUAUAACUUUUCAAUAUAAAAUAAAUUUAUGUUUUCCUCGAAAAUGUUUUCCUGAAAAACAAAUAGAUUUUUAACUUAUUUUCUCAUGUUUGGUUGGUGAGUAGAAAAUAUUUUCCGAAAAAAAUUUGUAGUUAUUUGAUUUAUGAAUGAUUUUUUUUUUGAGAAAUAUCUAUUAUUUUUACUAGAGUAGAAAAUAAUUUUUGAAAUUGAAAAUAUUUUUUAAAAACAAAUUUAAAUUUUUUUUCGGGGUUGGGGAGGGAGGGAGGGNNNNNNNNNNNNNNNNNNNNNNNNNNNNNNNNNNNNNNNNNNNNNNNNNNNNNNNNNNNNNNNNNNNNNNNNNNNNNNNNNNNNNNNNNNNNNNNNNNNNNNNNNNNNNNNNNNNNNNNNNNNNNNNNNNNNNNNNNNNNNNNNNNNNNNNNNNNNNNNNNNNNNNNNNNNNNNNNNNNNNNNNNNNNNNNNNNNNNNNNNNNNNNNNNNNNNNNNNNNNNNNNNNNNNNNNNNNNNNNNNNNNNNNAUGAUUUGCUUAUUUUACACUAUUAUUCAUUAUCCAAUAUAAAUUAAACAAAUAUAUUUAAAAUAUAUUUAGAAUUAACAAAAUAAAUGUACAUUUAAAAUAGAUAUUUUUGAAAGGCCAAAGACUUCACAUUUUCAAUUAUAUAGAAAAAUAAUUAGUUUUAUAGAUGAACAUAAAAAGGAAGAGAAGUUACAAUAUAUUUGAUAAUAUCAUGAAUUUUGAGUGAAUAAAAGUUAGAAGCUUAACUCAUUUGGCUAAUUCAUAUUUUACCCAUAUUAUCUAUAUUUUAUCCAUAUUUUUAUGGAUUGAAUAUGAAUAUCAACCCAUGUAAAAAGUCACUCACCCAACCCACUAAAUAUGGACAGAUUAGACCAGUUACCAAAAUAUGGGAUCAUUUUGCCGGCAAUAACCAUGUGCAAUAGUGCAAGUUAUCUCCAGACUCAAGAGUAGACCAUCUCUUUUAUAUGAUGUUUUAAUAAAUAAAUAGUAUAACUCUUUUAAAAGCACACAUAAUAAAAAAAAAUCGAAAGUUAAUUGAAAAGGAUAAAUAUGUAAUUUUAUUAUUUUAAUUCAUGUAUAACUAAUACUCACACAACUUAUUCGACAUUCUACCAUGCAUAUAAUUAUACAUAGAUUUUCUCAUAAGUUAUGUGAGUAUUAAUUAUGUAAAAUUACUAAAACACAAUCAAACACCGUAUAAAAUUAAUACAUAAAUAAGUUUUAUACAACAUUUGAAACCUACCAACCAAACAUGGUAUAAAAUUAAUACAUGAAUAAUUUUUAUCCAUUCACAAACCAAACAAUGUAUAAAAUUAAUACAUGAAUAAACAAGUUAUUCAUGUAUUAGGCUGAGCUUUAACCAGUUACCAAACGGCCCCUUGGUACCCAAGUAUACACAUGAAAAAUAAAUAUUCAUAUAAUAUAGUUGUUUGGUUGGGAACUAGUUAUCUCAGGAUUAACUAUUCUGGGGUUAGUUAUCCUGGGAUAACUUAUCCCACCAUGUAUAUGGAUAACUUAUCUCACUAUGCUAUAAAUGGUGGGAUAAGUUAUCCCAAAUAUGUCAAUCAAACAAGAUAUUUAAAUUUUAUCCCAUGCCUAUUUUUUUAUCCCAAGACUAUUUAUAUUUAUCCCUCACACCAAACGAGUGGUGGUGUGUAUGGUAUAAGGGUUUGAAAAAUACCCUAACUUUGAUCGACAUUGCUAUUACGAUACCAAACUUUAAUGAGGACCUAUUACUCCCCAGACUAUUUAAUACCAUAUUUUAAACAUAUUUAUUAGCCCACGUGGACAUAAAAAAUAAUGUAAAAUUAUAAAUAGUAAUGUGUCCACGUGAGCACAUAUAUACCUUUAAAAUACACUAUUAAAUAGUUCUGGGGGGUAAUAGGUCCUUCAUAAAAUUUGGUAUCGUAACAGCAAUUUCGAUCAAAGUUGGAAUAUUUUUUAGACCCUUAGCCCUAUACUAUAUAUAUAUAUAUAUUUUAUGACAAGGGAAACCCGCAACCUCUAUCAUUUGGGUGCGCACAGGAUAAAACUCAUGCUCUUAUGCAAUAGCUUGCAAACCACAUAGGAAAGGUAAUCCGCACUAGGCAAGCCCGGUGCGACGAGCUCAAUCCAAAAGGCAAACCCUUGCUUUCGACUUCCUACAUGAAAGUCCCAAGCAAAUCACUGGGUCACCCCAAAGGGUAUAUAUAUAUAUAUAUAUAUAACAUAAGACAAGAGUAAGGGAAAAGAAAAUAUUUUCUCAUCUAUCUUUCUUUUUAAUUUUACUACAUUAUCUUUGUUUAAUAACACUUUUCAAUUCUUUUUUGGAUGAAGAAUGCUCACCCAUUUUCCCUCGCUUUUUUUUCCUGUUAUCUUCUUGCUUCUCUUUUUCCUCCUCUACCUAGUCCUUGAUAUGCAAUUGUAGCUUAAAGGAUAUGAAACAAAAUGAAAUAGCAAAAGGGAUGAAUUUAGUGGAAGAAGAAUAAACUAUAAAAAAAAAAAAUUAAAAAGAAAUAAGUAAAGAAAAAUAAAUAAAAAUAUGAAAUUAAAUGAAUUUAACACAUGGCAGACAACGAUCGGUGAGCAAUUUUUCCUUCUUAUAGUUGAGGUUGAAUGAGAAAGAUUGUAUUUACCCUCGUACUUUUUUUUUAAUUAAAGAAUGCUACACUGUACAUGCUUGAAAAACUCGAAAGUCAGGUUAUGCAAUGACCAAAAUUUGGUAUGAUUUGUCCAGUGUCCACAAUAGAUAAACUAUAAGACACUCAGCUUGUAAGUUACAAUUCAAUAGUAGGUAAAACUUACCAGAUACCAUUUACCAUUGGCAACUUUCAAGCUACGAAUACGAUAAUUGACGAUACAUCUAAAACUGUGAACUGACAAAUGAUCCGAUACAAGAUAAAGAAAAAUGACAUGACAACUUUAAAUUCAUUUAUACCAUACACUAUCACUAUCUGAUUCUAUACUGGUACACACAAUUGACAUUGUAAAUACUUUUCACAAACCUGUGCACAAUAGUCGUAAACUCGUAUACCCAGUUUUAUUCCAUGGGUGCACAGACAAGUAACCAGCCACUUUGUUCCUCAGAACUAGACAGGAACAUCAGUUGUUUCUGAAAGUUCAGGACCAUUAUCACUCUUUCAUUCACCUGAACCCGGAGGGAGUAGCUUGAGCACCCGGUCCACCUGGUCUCGACAUAGCUCUAGAUUGGAGGAGCAUCUCUUCAUAGUUCUGAUUACAAAAAAUCAAUGUGAACAGCAUGAAACAAGAAAGCCAGCAUGGUAAUUGGUAAAUAUCUCAAAGUAAAUUUACCCGUUUGUCAAAUGCAUCGUCACUUGAACUAAUAAUCUUAUCUGCAAGGCCAUAGUCAAUGGCCUCUAGUGCCCUGAAAUAUUUAGGGCGUAGGAUAUCUUUCUUAAUUUCUUCCUUUGGUUUUCCAGUUCCUUGUGAUAAUAGUUCAAGGUAAUACUCUGAGUUUGAUUCUAGUUCUUUGGC
rnacentral:lncRNA from 1 species